GGUGUUCCAAGAAUCGAAUGCACAAACAAUGGAUACUCUUUUCAGAAGACACUCUACGACACCGGAUCUAACGACAACAUAAUGGCCGCAGUCACUUAUCAGCUCUUGCAUGGAACCAUGCUCCUACAACCAAGAUACAUUAGCUUCAGACAAUUUUUAGGUCAUUGACAUGGGAGAAGACGAGUAUGAUCCAUCCACCAUCCUUGGAAGACCGUUCCUAAACACUAUCAAAGCCAUUAUCUAUAUUGGAACCGGAGAAUUCCACAUGCACUUCCUCUCUGAGAAGGUACGCCACUACUUUAAUGAUUCUAACUAUAUAGUUGAAGAUUCUAAGCAGGUCAGGACAAGAAGAAGACAACGCAACCGCAACCAGAGGAGGCAAAUCAUCAAGGACGGACGGGUAGACUAUGAAGGAGAAGUGAUAAGUACUGAAGACAUUCAACUUGAACAGAACUGUCCUGAGGAGACCGUAGCACCGAGUCAGGUGUGGAAAGAGAACAUAGUUAUACACAAAGAGGAGGCGCCACCGGAAUCACCGACUACGCCACCUAGCGAAUCCCAGGACGACUGAAAACAGAAAAUCCCGUUCGGAGGACUUAAAAACACCGAACGCCUUGCCAAGAGGUAAACUUGGUAGCUAUCCUUUUCCUUUCAAUUAUUUAAAAUAGUUUGCUUAGUUAAUCAGGUUCAUGCUAUCUUAAGAAGAAAAUAAAAAUGUUAAAAAACUGUAAGCCCCAUGUGAGUAGACGAGUGGCAUAAAACCCAUAAGUACAUUCACUGUGGUGGCAUAAAAAUAAAAUAAAUAUUUUUCUGCUCUAUAAAAAACAAAAAUAUAAAAACAGGGAGUAAUAUUUAUUAAGGAUUCUCAACAUGAUAAAGGCUAGAUAUUUAUGCUAACACUUAAUCAGUUCCACAAGCUUUGUUGUCUAUUUGAGCUCUACAGAAUUUAAGAAUCAAGAAGACUAGCAGACGGAGGACAUUCUAAUCGCUGUCAAAAUACUGCUGACUUUCAAACACACCUCUGCCACCUGCUAGCUACAUCAAGAGAAAUUACGUCAAAAUUCAGCUUGGGGGAGAGCACCCCCAUUUAUCUCGAUAAGUAUUUCUAUCUAUCUUUAUACUUAUACUAUAUUAGAAUAUAAAUACACAUAACUAUGAAAAACCAAAUAAAGAUUUUAUGCUUUGCUUAGUGUGUUUAAUAAAUAAAUAAAGUGGCUAUGCUAAUCUGUAUCUAAUAAAACUUAAGCAUGGAUAUGAUGAAUAGUUGCUCUGCCUAAUUUGCAAAUUUGAAGUUCUCUCUCAAGUUUAGAUAUAACUGUUAUAAUUUAAGGCUUGCUCUAGACCUAAACUUGUGGGAUGAAAACUUGAUCUCAAGUCUAAGUUGUUAACGGAUACGAUAUGGGAAGGUUGAGCUGCUGUUUAUCUGUUCCUAGAGAUGCUAGAAUUCUGGAGAAUUUUAUCUUUGAAAAUCUUUAAAAUGUUGCAUGAUGAGUUUCUGUAUGAUGAGAGUUUAAAUUCCUACCACAGCCAUAUAUACAUGCUUGCUAGACUUUGAGCCACACAUUUAUUAUUUACUGCUUAUGAGCAUUGAGUGUGGUCAAGCUGUGUAGACCCUUAGGAGCUUGUCAUGUGGUUAAAUCAAGAUUCACUUGCACGUUCACUCAUACAUGCUACUUCUACUCCGGAAGUACCAUCCACAUAUAUCUACUCAUUUCCAUCUCCACAUUCACCCAAAAAUUAUUCUACUCCUAAUCCGGGAGAGAAUAGCCAAAAAUAUUAUCCUAUCCCUGUUAUUCCCUGUGAAAUAAAUGCUCGAGUUAUCCUGGUUACUACCACUUGCUAUAUUAUUUAAGGAGAUGAGUGCUCUAAAAAAAAGAAGAAAAAAAAGAAAAAAAAAUAAUAUACGAGGAAAUAAAAAGGGGCAAGUGCCAGGAACCUCGAAGAAAAGAAAAAGUGAGACGAGAGGUAAAAAUGGACAAGUGUCCGACAGUAGAAUUAGGGGUACAAGAUACCCACCUGAGAGGAAAGAAAAAGAAAAUAUAGAGCAUCUCAUUCUCCCCAAAAAGGUUCAAAGUGCAAGAAAGGUAUGUAUCCCCUCAAAAGAGCAAAAGUAGAAUUAAACUUUCACCAUUAUUAUCAUCAUCAUCACCAUACACCAUUCAUUCACCACACAUGCACAUCUUGAUUUGACUUAUUGACUUGUUUCUCUGGAUCCAUGGUUUGACUAUGCAAUAAAUGUCUUGUAAGUAUGUAUUAGCUGUCUCCCACCUAUGAGCUCCAGAUAUCAAAACCUUAUUAGAAUAGGGUGAGCGAGAAGGCAAUAUCACUAUGCCUCAUACCAAAAAUACCACAUACUUUGAGAGAAGGCAUAUACCAUCAAUGCCUUGGUAAGGAUCCAGAAAUACCACAAGAGAGAGAUAUGAGAGAGUCAUACAAGGAAUCUCUGAGUUUUAUUUGAAAAUAUGCAAAAACCCCAGAGCUAUAGCUGAUCAAGAAUAAGAGACAUGGCACUUGACUAGACUGUUCUAUCUUUUAACCACUCAAGACAGAAGUGACGGUUACAAGUCCUAUGAAGUAGGUAAAGUAAGUAAGUUUUAAGUCUUAACAGUUUAUUCUAACUCAGAGAUGAGAUCUUGCUUAAAUGCAUGUGUACUUCUAAGAAAUGAAACCACUGCAGAAACUCUUGAGUUCAUCCUUGCUCAGGGACGAGCAAGAGGUAAGCUUGGGGGAGUUUGUUGACGGUCCUUAAGUAUCAAAUUUAAUUAUCAAUUAAACAAAGAAAAGGAUCCAAAUGAAAUCAACAUCUAGACUUAGGGUUUUAUCUGACAGAAUUCCACGAGUUUUGGUGUUUGUCUAUUUCUGCAGGGGGUUAUCAGAAAAUAAGGAAGAAAGGCCCACAUGUCGGGAAUACAUAGAGAUAUCAACCCACCGCGCAAUUUUCUACCAUCUAGAAGACUCCAGAAGCCACGGGAAGGAAGCGGAGCCCGAAAGGGGCCAGGCCCAGGGCGCCCGCCCUGAGGACCUGGGCGCCCGCCCACCUCUGGACUCCGUUCCGGACUCUCUUCGCACACGACGUUCCACCGACCUAUUGGAUCCAGAAUAACAUAGUACCACCUCGCCUAUCGACCCAAAAACGCAUAGAAGGGGAGGACUAUAUAAGGAGACCCCCUCUGGCCCCUGGAGGAGACAAGAAAUUAUCAUAGAGAUUGAGGGGUGCCCUCGAAGGAAAACCUCUUCUCUAAAUAAUAUUACUUUUUAGGCUUAGCAACCAAUGUAAAGUAGAAAUAGAUCUUCUAGUUUCUACUAGAUUGAGAGAGAUAGAGUGGAGGUAUGGAUCGGAGGAAGGCCGGCCUGUCGGUGUCUACUCCGAGUUGUACCUACGGGAUCAAGUCUCCUAACCCGAGGCUUGCUUCUAAGAUUCUUCAGUAAUUCGACUUCUAAUACUAGUAAGUUCUUGUUUUAUUGUUCUUUGGUUUAUGAGUUUACUUUAAUCCUCUUUCGGUUGAGUAUUAGAGUAAUCACUUGUUAGCGUAAACGUGAUGUUUAGGCUAGGGUACUCAUAGAUAUCCCCUGACUAGCUGGACCGUGGUAGUAGCGAGGAACGUGACAUUUCCGAGUUACCUUUGCAGAUCACAUCUCAUUAGCAGGACGGGUAGGUUUAUAGGUGCAGGUCGAACAUCCUUUGUAUUGUCUAGAUUCCGUGAGCCUCCCCAAUAGAACAGUAGAUCAUCCUUACUAAGGUUAGAACGAGACUACGGUUGCAGUCUUCUCUAUACAUCACUCACAUCGAGAGACAUUCUUUGUAGCCUAAAGGGAUAGUAGCAAUAGAUUUGGUUAGUCAGAUGCACCCUUUCUCCCAGUGGUAAAAAUAUAAAUACGAUACUGUGGAAAACCUCCCGGGUGAAAUGCUCACCGAUAUCCGUGCGCUUGCGGAUCAUUUUCUAAUUGCGUUACCAAAUAUCAACAAAUUUCUCUACUGCCAUCAAGAAUCAAAUUAGCUUUAAUAAAAUGAUUGAAUCUCAGUUAAAUCAAAUAGCUGCUGCUGUUCCUGCUACUAACCCCGGUAUACAAUCACAACCGGAAGGAUUAGAAUCUGCAAAUCUUGUAGACAUGUUUGAUAAAGGUAACUACUGGAGUAACCCGUUGCGGAAGUUACUAGUGACCAUCUGCCGGUCAAGAGAGGCGAUCCAGGACGCCCCAUCAUCCCGAUCUCCAUCGGGAUGGUGGACUUCCCAGAAGCACUCUGCGACUUUUGCUCCAGCGUCAACAUUAUUCCCAGGGUACUCUAUGAAAAAAUCUUAACAUAUCCUUUAUUAGAAACAACUAUGUGUUUGUAGCUUGCAGAUCGGACGCUAAGCUUCCCAAAGGGAAUAUUGAAGAACCUCUGUGUCCGAGUUGGUACCUUGUAUGCCCCAGCAGACUUCAUGGUGAUAGAAACCAUUAAUGAUGAGAGGGCACCGGUCAUCUUAGGGAGGCCAUUCCUAAACACCUUGGGAGCUGUCAUUUACGCUAGUGCUGCCAAGAUCAGUUUCUACAUCAAGGGGAGGAAGGAGACGUUUUCCUUCAAGAACAAGACUACACAAAUCUCAGAGCAAUCCCAACAUGAACCAAUGAAGAGGACCAACAGGAGGAACAGGAGCAAGCAAAUGUGGACCGAGUCAGCUAAGAUGGUCACUGCAGUUCAUGGAGGUCAAGAUCAUCGACUUAAGUCACCGUUCCUGACCAAGAAGGACGACCCGGUUUGCUAAGCAUCCAGUGCUCCAUUAAUGGAUACAACUUCUACAAGACACUUUGUGACACCGGAUCGGGCAUCAACAUAAUGGCCGCAGUCACCUAUCAGCUCUUGUUCGGAAACAUGCCCCUAAAACCGACAUACAUUCAGCUCCAGAUGGCAUAUCAGACAUUUCGAGAGGUUGCAGGUAUAGUAAUUGAUGUCCCUGUCAAAAGAGACGAUCAUUUUGUCCAUACAGACUUUCAGGUUAUCGACAUGAGAGAAGACGAGUACGAUCCACCCAUCAUCCUUGGGAGACCAUUACUCAACACCGUUAAAGCAAUCAUCUACAUUGGAACUGGAGAAGUCCACAUGCACUUCCCCUCUGAGAAGGUACGCCGCUAUUUUACUGACCCUAACUAUAUAGUUGAAGACUCUAAGCAGGUUAAGACAAGAAGAAGAUGACGCAACCGCAACCAGAAGUGGCAAAUCAUCAAGGACGGAUGGGCAGACUACGAAGGAGAAGUGGUAAGGUCUGAAGACAUAAAGCUUGAACAUAACUAUCCUGAGGUGACCGUAGCACCAAGUCAGGUGUGGAGAGAGAAGAUAGAUAUACACGAAGAGGAGGCGCCGCCGGAACCACCAACUACGCCAUCCAGCGAACCCCAGGACAACUGAGAAAAUGGAGAGUCCCGUUCGGAGGACUUAAAAACACCAAACGCCUUGCCAAGAGGUAAACUUGGUAGUUAUCUUUUCCUUUCAAUUAUUUAAAAUAGCUAGUUGAGUUAAUCAGGUUCAUAUCAUCCUAAAGAGAAAAUAAAAAUGUUAAAAAAAUAGUAAGCCCAGCAUAAAAUCCAUAAGUACAUUCGCUGUGGUGGCAUAAAAAUAAAAUAAAUAAUUUUUUCUGCUCUAUAAAAUGAAAAUAUAGAGAGUAAUAUUUAUUGAGGAGGCUCAACAUGAUAAAUGCUAGAUAUUUAUGCUAACACGUAAUCAGUUCCACAAAUCUUUGUUGUCUAUUUGAGCUCCACAUAAUUCAAGGAUCAAGAAGACUAGCAGACGGAGGACAUUCUAAUCGCUGUCAGGGUACUGCCGACUUUCAAAUACACCUCAGCCACCUGCUAGCUACAUCAGGAGAAAUUACGUCAAAAUUCAGCUUGGGGGAGAGCACCCCCAUAUAUCCCGCUAAGUAUUUCUAUCUAUUCAUAUACUUAUACUAUAUUAAAAUAAAAAUAUACAUAACCAUGAAAAACCAAAUAAAGUUGUGCUUAUAUAUAUAUAUAUAUAUCUUUUGCUUAGUGUGCUUAAUAAAUAAAUAAAGUGGCUAUGCUAAACUGAAUCUUAAUAAAGCUCUAGCAUGGAUAUGAUGAAUAGUUGCUCUACCUAAUUUUCAAAUUUGAGUUCUCUCUCUAGUUUAGACAUAACUGUUAUAAUUUAAAGCUUCCUCUAAACCUGAACUUGUGGGAAGAGAACUUGAUCUGAAGUCUAAGUUGUUAACGGAUAUGAUAUGAGAAGGUUGAGCUGUUGUUUAUCUAUUCCUAGAGAUGCUAGAAUUCAGGAGAAUUUUAUCUUUGAAAAUCUUUAAAAUAUCACAUGAUGAGUUUCUGUAUGAUCAGAGUUUAAAUUCCUACCACAGCCAUAUAUACAUGCUUGCUAGACUUUGAGCCACACAUUUACUUUUUACUGCUUAUGAGCAUUGAGUGUGGUCAAGCUGUGUAGACCCUUAGGAGCUUGUCAUGUGGUUAAAAUCAAGAUUCACUUGCACGUUCACUCACACAUGCUGCUUCUACUCCGGAAGUACGCAUCCACAUAUAUCCACUCAUUUCUAUCUCCAGAACCACCUAAAAAUAUUCUACUCCUAAUCUGGGAGAGAAUAGCCAAAAACAUUCUCCUAUUUCUGUUUUUCCCUACGAAAUAAAUGCUCGAGUUAUCUUGGUUACUACUAUUUGCUAUAUUAUUUCAGGAGAUGAGUGCUCUAAAAAAAGAUACGAGGAAAUAAAAAGGGGCAAGUGCCCGGAACCUCGAACGAAUAGAAAAAAAUGAGACGAGAGGUAAAAAUGGACAAGUGUCCGACAGUAGAAUUAGGGGUACAAGAUACCCACGUGAGAGAAAAGAAAAAAAUAUAGAGCAUCUCAUUUUCCUCAAAAAGUUUCAAAGUGCAAGGAAGGUAUGUAUCCCCUCAAAAGAGCAAAAGUAGAAUUAGACUUUCACCAUUGCUUUCACCAUUGUUAUCACCAUCAUCACCAUACACCAUUCAUUAGCCACACAUGCACAUCUUGAUUUGACUUAUUGACUUGUUUCUUUGGAUCCAUGGUUUGACUAUGCAAUAAAUGUCUUGUAAGUAUGUAUAUCUCCCACCUAUGAGCUCCAGAUAUCAAAGCCUUAUUAGAGUAGGAUGAGAGAGAAGACAAUGUCACUAUGCCUUAUACCACAAAUACUACAUACUGUGAGAGAAGGCAUGUACCAUCACUGCCUUGGUAAGGAUCCAGAAAUACCACAAAAGAGAGAUUUGAGAGAGUCAUAAAAGGAAUCUCUGAGUUUUAUUUGAAAAUCUGCAAAAACUCCAGAGCUAUAGCUGAUAAAAAAUAAGAGACAUGGCGCUUGACUAGAUCGUUCUAUCUUUUAACUGCUCAAGACAGAAGUGACGGUUACAAGUCCCAUGGUGAAAGGUAAAAUGAGUAAGUUUUAAGUCUUGACAGUUUACUCUAACUCAUAGAUGAGACCUCAUUUGAAAGCAUGUGUACUGUCAACUUUAAAGGUAUUAGAACAACUUCUUAUCCAUCGCUGAGAUUAUCCUUGCUCAGGGACGAGCAAGAGGUAAGCUUGGGGGAGUUUGUUGACGGUCCUUAAGUAUCAAAUAUAAUCAUCAAAUAAAUAGAGAAAAGGAUCUAAAUGCAACCAACACCCAGACUUAGGGUUUUAUCUGACAGAAUUCCAUGAGUUUUGGUGUUUGUCUAUUUCUGCAGGGGAUUAUCAGGAAAUAUGGAGGAAAGGCCCACGCGUUGGGUUUACAUAGAGAUAUUAACAUGCCGCGCAAUUAUCCAACAUCUAGAAGAGUCCAGAAGCCACGGGAAGGAAAGGGAGGCGGAUCGGGCCCGGGGGCAGGGCGCCCGCCCUCCCCCCUUGGGCGCCCGCCCUGGCCUAAGGGCCAAUCACGUCCAACUUUGCGGAUCAUGCUCCACCGACCUAAGGGAUCAAGGAAAACCGUGCGAUUAAUGUCAGUUUGAUCCAACGGCCCGCAUUCAUUUGGAAGGACUAUAUAAGCAGACCUCCUGGCCCCUGGAGGAGAGCACCUUUGAACCCUAAUUCAUUUAUCCAUCUCGGGAGAAGAAGCCUCUGAUCAAGCCCUAGAGCCACCACAUCAAUAGAUCUCUAGUUUAGCAUAGCUACAUAGGAUUAGAACUAGAAGGAGUCAAUCUUCGAUUGGUUUCUGGAUCUGUCAAGAGGAUUCUUGGUACUUCCUCUAUUGUUCUUCAAUUGUUCAUCUUUGUUCUUCAAUAAUAUUAAUAUGACUUUGUUCUACUUUAAUAUAUUGAUUAUGACUUUGCUCUACUUGUUAUUAUUUGCAAUUAUAUUGUUCUUAGUUUAUCAUAGUUAUAUGCUUGGCUUAGUUAGAUUGUAAUUAUAUACACGUUUAGGAUCGUAUAGCGUUUAUCCAUGUGUACAGUGGGUAAAUGAUAAGUAUUGUGUAGGCGUGGGGCCUAUACCGUAUUUAUCUGCGAUUGUACCCUAUAUGCCAGAUCGUGGGGUAGUUCGUGGUAGUGACAGCUCCAUUGAUUCUUAUAUAGUCCCCAUCUCGUGUAUAGGGCUGGUAGAGCAACAUUAUUACAGGGGAGUGAUUGCUCUGUUUCUCAUCUUCCUUGAUAAUAUCACUAUGCAUGAGCGUAGUCCUGUCUCGCAAUGAUUGCCAAGUAUAAUUGAACUAACUAUGAUAUGCUAGACUUUAUAGUUAAGAAUAACUUAGGAAAUAUUCUUGUAGUUCGUCCUAAUUCCAUGCUAAUGACUUGCUAGAAUAUCUAUUGAGGUGCUUAUCAUUAUUUUAUGUGGCUAAGUUAUGCUGAUCAGAUUAAUUAACUUUGUCACCAUUCAUACUUUAUCUAUAUCUUAUGUGACAUUUAUCCUUGUAUGAAAGAGAUAGAUAAAUGCUCUCAAUUAUACAUGCAAUGAUAGAUACUCAAUUCUAUAUUUCAUUCCAUAAUCAACAUUGAUGUUUAGCAAUCCCUUCCUAGUGGUAAAAAUAUAAAUAACGAUACCUGGAAUACUUCCCGGUUAAAAUGCUACAUCAGUAUGAAUCUGUGCGCUUGCAGAUCUCAUUUAUUUUUCAUUCAGAAGAGAAAUUGCGUAUUUCAAUACCGCAUCUCUCAUGUCAUGCUGGGGAUGACAACUUGGCUUAAGUGGUAUGAGGGAUAGGUUUGGCAUUUUUGGCGCCAUUAUCAGAAUUAGAAAACUAAGUCUACUUUUGGUAGUGACGUUAAGAAUGCCCAACACCAGCUCCACUUAUAAUCAGCCUUGCAUGAUCCUUGGUGUCUUUUGUGUGUUGUUAGACGGGUAAGUCUAGUUGAGUACAUCCUCGUACUCAGGGUUUAUUCCCACUUGUUGCAGAUGACAUCUUCUAUGACGGAUUCUGCAAGACCUGUCUCCACCCCACUGGGGAUGAGGACUAAACCGUUAGGCGCGGUUCUCUAACGACUUCAUACCUAUGAUGCUUUUGGUGGAUUUGAUGAAACCCUGUCUGUAACAAGAACCAGUAAUGUGUUGUGAAAAUUAUGUUGCUUCUGCUACUCGAACUUGUGUUGUAAUAAAUUAAGUAAACUCUGAUGUGGUGUCGCUUCAUCGACAGUGAAUGAACUAUGUAACAAUCGUUGUGUUGUGCUGAACUAUUACGAUCUUGGUUCGUUGCAAAGAUGGUUUGAAAUCCUUAAUGGUUUGAGUUCACUACUGGCAUUAUAUGGGCUCAAGUUUGGAAACUUGAUUACCUACGCGAUCGUUUCUACACUUGAACUCUUAUAAUUUGGUCGGUUCUGUGACAGCCUUGAUUCUCUAUGGAUCCAUUAGUUGACUUUAUAUUACAUGCAUUGCAAGUAAGCUUAUCCUUGUUAUUAGCACUCCUAUAAGCUCUACCAUAUAUAUACCUUUAGCUAUAGGAGGCAUAACAUUAUUAAUGCCUCAAGAGAGAACCAUAAAUACAACAUACAUUGAGAGACUUAAGGUGUCAUACAAUUAAGUUGUGAGUUUUAUUCUGAAAACUAAUAAAAACUCUGAAAUAAUGGUUCUACAAAGAAUUCGAGACAUAGUGCUUAACCUGUUCUGUGUUCUGAUUACUCAAGGCUCAUGCAAAACAUGUAAAGCCCCAUGGUUAAAGGUAAAACGGUAAGUUUGAAGGUUAGAGCAAGUAUUGACUGAUCCAGAGGAGAAUCUUUGUUUGGGAGCAUGUGUACUCGGAAAGAAUGAAAACAUUAUAGCAACUCUUGAUCCAAAUACAUAUACUGCUUAGGCUUGGUUUGCCAAGGGGCUGGCAAAAGGUAAGCUUGGGGGAAUUGUUGACGGUCGAUAACGUCAACUUUUAUUAUAACUUUAGACCUGAAGUAAAACAUGAAAACACACUAGUAUAGGGUUUUAUCCGACAAUUUCCAUGAGUUUUGUAUAUUUUGUAUUUUCUAGGGUGAAUUUCAAGAAAGCUGAAAAGAGGGACUCUAGUGCGAAAUAAACAUGAAAACAUAUUCACCAUGGGAAACAUCACGAGAAGACUGAGGAAGGAUCGAGAAGGCACCUAGAGCAACGGGGGGCCUAGUGGCUGCUAGGUGGGGCCGGCCGCCCCGCCCUAGCACCGGUCGGUGCCCCCCUUUAGGGUUUCGCCCCCCUCUUCCGAAAGCUUUCUCCACCGCCUCUCCUGAUGCAUCUCGGCCCUUGGUUAAGUCGGUUUGAUCCUACGACGCACGCGCAUCCCAUCGGACUAUAAAUACAUUGGUAGACCCCCCGUGGAGACAACAACCAUUUCAUUAUUCAUCAAGGCCUCAAUCCAUCAAACAUCAAGCACCUUCAAGUUCAUCAAGAGCCUUCUAGUUCAUAAUUCUAGUUAGUUAGAUUAGAAGUAGAGUAGAUCUAGUUCUUUAUUGGGCUCUGGAGCCCCUAGCGUUGGUCUAGAGCACAAGAGUUUGGUAAUAGAUCUAGUUCUUAAUUUAUAGUAUUCAAUUGUAUAUUAUGGAGACUUUAUUCUUAAUAGAUUCAUAUGUUCUUAAUUGCAUUAGACAUUGUCUACUUUGAUUAUAUGUCUAGGAUAGUUGGUUUGAUCUUAUUGAAUUCAUGUAAUUGCUCGUAUAGCGUUUACCUAACCGAUCAUUGGGUAGAUGAUAGACAAUAUGUAGACGUGGUGUCUAGAUAUCUUGUUUGUCUGCGAGUGCCCCCUAACGUGGCGGGACAUAUGGUAGUCUGCGUAGGUGACAGCUACAUUAGUUCCUCUGUAGUCCAACCUAUUGGCAUUUCUUAGCGUCACUACUAAGAAUAGACCAUAGAUCCAUCCAUAGCAAUGGCACUAGAAAAGUUGGGUGUUGGCAUACCGUAACUAUCACUACAUCAGAGAGAUAACCCAAGGAAACUUGAGGGCGCCGACCUUAGCGGUGCAGUCUGGUAACAAUAAUUAGGAAUCCCGGAUUGGCCUUCCUAACUACCCUUACUUGAGAUAUGCAAAGCUGUGGCACUACGCUUGAAAGUGCACAAGGAUUACAAUCUUAAGUAACGGUACUUAGGUACGCCAAUCGAUAGUUCAUGAAUGAAGAAGUAAUGUAACUACAAGCGGACAGAACUAUCAUUGUAGCAUUUCAACCCGUGAGUAUUCAAGGGUGUCGAAUUUAUAAUUCCUAUAGGAAGGCAAAGGGAUCAAACAUGGUGUAAACAUGAUUACUUAUUGAAUGCUUGGUAGACAUAGAGUAAACAAGAAUAACCAUGAUAUUCAAGAUAGUGGACACGGGUUGGAUCAACCUCAAGGAUAAAAUAGAAGAGAAAUAAUAAAUAAAGAAUAAGGAAGUGAAUCUACUUGAGCAGGCAUGGGUCACAUAUAACUAUGCAUAGAACUGUUAGUGGAUCAUCUAAUUAGCAAUAAAUAGAGUCAGAACUAAGCCUGAGAUGAGGGGAGAUCCCCGCCGCUGGAUACCCAGCCGAUAGAGACUUUACAGAACUCCUAUCAGAAUACCUGAUCAUGGGGGAAUGCAAAGGAUGACAGAGCUAUCACUACCCUGCCACCUACCCCUCCACCCGAAAGAUAUGCGCACAUCCACUGAUUCCCGCAUACAUGAACACCAUGUUCACGUAAUUGCAAACAACUCCUAACCACCAUGGGCCCCACCCCUUCGAAGUGACCGGCUAGGCUAAGAGCAACCAUCACAUCACAGUGAACCAUCAUCCCAUUCCUAAUUCUAAUCCUAAUCAUACUAAUCUGAUGAACAAUGAAGAACAAUGAUGAACAUAUCAAAAACAUAGCACAAAAACUAAGAACUAGUUCAUAUACUAUGAACAUGAUAAGAACACAAUCAUACUCUAGUUCAUAUGCAUAAUCAUAUAAAGAUGAAUAGAACUUGCUCAUGCAAGAAGAUUGAAUAUUAUUCAUACCAAGAAGAUCCUUUCUUCCAAGGAGACAAGGUCUCCUUGCUAGCUCUUGCCUUGCUCUACCAGUAAUCUAGACUAAAGAUACAAGUGAGAGGUGUGAGGUAAAUUGACUCCAAAUGAUGUGUGUGUUGAAAAGGGGGGAGUGCCUCACUUUUUAUAGUGAAACUAGGACAGUUCAUCGCAUCUAAAUUUUGUAGUAGGUGAAACUGUCCUAUGCAUGGCAGCAUGCAACCGUCUCAGAAAGAUGGGCCCGGUUUGCCGCCUCUAGGGGUGCGCCCGCACCCUAGGUGGGUCCCCCUGGUCACUACCUUCGCUUGGUCAGUUUGGAUCUGGUCCUGGAUCUCUCCUGUGGUUACGAUCAGGCCUAGUUCUGCAUUGUUCGGACCUUUCUCUAUUUUCUUGGUUUGCGCAUUUCUAAAUACGUCUUUUGGUACUUUGCGCUUUCUUCGUGGUAUGGCACGUUUCCACUUGUUGCACUAUAAUUUCUAACACCCCAGUGUUAUGGUUGCAUAAAUCACAUGCAUAACAUGAGCAUCAUCAUCUACUCAAGCAUUCCAUGAUCAUCAUCUACCUUGAGCCAUGUCAUUUUAUGCAAAAAUGUGAUUGAAGUUGUCUAAAUAGGCCUCCUAGACUUGUGUUGGUGUGUACCAUGCUUGUGUUUGUGCUCUAUGCCUUGGUAAUUAGUUUAUCUAUGCUUAACUCAACAUUAGGAACAAUGUUCAUGUUGAUCAUUUCUCCAAAAUAAUCACUUAAGACAUACUUACACAAAUAGGGCCGAGAAACCUCUUCUGCUUAGGCUUUUAAAAAGUGUUUCAUAAAAUGUUUGCAUGUCAAAACUCUCUACAGCAAAGUUGUAGCAAAUUUUAUAAGUAACAAAAGUUGUUUUAUGGCCAUCUCAUGAAAAUGAUCACAACUAGCUCUAACGUGACCCACAAGGCAGAUUUGGGGCUGUUUCCAACACUUAGAAAAUUUUCUAAGUCCAGGAUCACAACAGUUUGCUCGAGGGUAUGUUGCUUAGCUUCCGGUUUGAAUUCUAGACCGAAUCAGACCUUGAUCAUGUAAGCAAUGUUGGAGUAUUCAUGUAGCUCUCCAGCAUAGAGCAAUUAGCCAGUAAAAUCAUCGAGUGGUUUAGGAGAUAAUCGCAGUGCAAGAUCGGGUUUCAGUCUGGUUCAACGACUGAAUGGAGUCGCCGUAAGUUCAGGGGAGCUCGCCGGUGACGCCAUGUGUCUGGACCCGUGGCAUCCGUACGUCGCCGUUGGUCCCGCUCGCCAGUCCUUAGCGCGUCCUACAGCUCGCCACGGCGCCCCGGUCGCGUGGACAGCUCCAUUUCCCUCCCGGUCUGCUCCCUCUCGCGUCUGUCGUUGUCUCCGCGUCGCCGCCGUUGCUUCGGCGAGCUCGCGCGCGCGUGUCUCCGUGUCUCUGGCCAAGCAACUCCGCCCAGCGCUCCGCUAGCUUCCCCGCAACACCGUCGUCGAGUUGGCUGUAGCUGCCGAGCCUCGGUAAGCCCGCAUUGCCUUCUCCGUCGCGAGCUUACCUCGCCGGAGCUCCGCCAUGGUCACCGACGUCGUGGCCAGGCCUCUGUAGUCCACCAUUCCUCCUUGUUCUUGUCCCAAAAGCUCCGCUAGGUCAUGCUGAUGCUCGUCCGCAUUCUCUUCCACUCUGUCUCCGGCCAGAGACGCCGGCGGUGGGCCGCGCACCACCGCCGUGCCGCCAUUCGCGAGGGCGAGGUACCUAGGGUCCAGUAGAGUUAGGGUUUCGGGUACCGCUCGAUGCGGAAUGGAGUGGGGAGCACGAUGGUGCCCUUGGCCAUUGCCGAGACCUCGCCAUCGACGAGAUCCCCGGCGGUCAAGUCGCGCCUCUGCUCUCGGGUCACUGGCAUGUGGGGUCCGUUGACUCGCGGGUCCCCCUGUCAGCCUCUCUUUCUCCUUUGUUUAAUUUAGGGUUUGAGCUGUUUUUGUAAAAAUCAUAUCUCUACUUCUGGUGAUCCAAAAAUUGUGAAACCGAUUUUGUGGUGUUCCUUGAGAUGGCUAGUUUUUAAUAAAAAUAUAAAAUGAACCAUGUUUUCUAGGAAAAAUAUUUACUAGGAUUUAAUCUUGUUAUUCAUGAGUAAAUUCAUAUCUCUUGUUAUACUCCUCCUUUUGCCAUGAAAUUUUUAUGGUAAUCUCUGUGUGGUGUUAGAAUGCUAUGAUAAAUAUUUCAUGAUUUGUGGAGUACUGCGUCUGUGAUAUGUAAUUUAUGAUUAAGAUAUGGCUUGUUUUCUUAACUAAAACAUAGUAAAUAAUUGAUGCUUAUGCUGGUGCUCUACUUUUGUGUGACACUUCUUUAUGGUAAUAUUAGCAUGUAAAUAAUCUGAAAUCUGCUGUUUGGCACCAUAUAAGCCAUGUUCCUUAAUUUAUGAAAUAAGUACCUUGUCACAUGUUAAAUGCUUAUCUAAACAUUGAUAUGUGCAAUUGCCCAGAAAAUUUUAUGGUGAUGUCCAUCUGCUAUGAUUGUGCUUGUGUAAUUUUUGUAGAUUUUUCUGAGCACUUUUGCUAAGUAUCUUGUAAUUAUGUCCUUUUAUAGAAUUAAAUGGAUAAAUGCAUUGUUAUUAAAUAUCUAGGGGUUAACAUAUAAUGUUCUGGUUAUCUUAUGUGAUACUUAUGCUUAUAAGCCAUGUGGUUGAUACUGUUUAUGUUUUGGCUAUGUCAUCAAAUAAUUAAUUGGUGGGUUAAAAGCUGUUCUGGACAGCAAGGGAGUAAUUUAACUUUUGCUUAAUGAUAACUGGGUUUUCUGGGAAACUUGUCUAAAUCAAAGUUGUUGUAAACUUUACGAACUAGCUGUGGUUUAAAUUUGGGAUCAUUUGGUCCAGUAGUUUUGAAGUUAUGAUCUUUCCAAGUUAGGUUCCAGAAAUAGGUGUUCUCUGUUUUUCUGGGACAGAACCUAGAACUUUGUUUAUAAGGCUUGCUUAACUUAUGAAUCUUGCUAUGAUGUUUAAAGAUGGUUUGUAGACAAUUUCAUAAGCUUUCCAGAAUGUCCUCACUCAUGUGUGUUGGAUCUGCCUAGCAUUAGUUAUGACCUGUUUACUGAGCUAAUUCUGAUAUGUGAUGCUUGCUGUUAUAGUAACUUGGUAGGCUUUGGCUAAGUUAACUUAUCAUCUUGUGUGAACUUGUUAUAACCGUUACUCCGUAAAUGAGUGUCCAAUGAGUCCAUUAUGUUAUCAAGCAUUCAUCUUUUAGUAUGUACAUCUUCUUAUUCAUCGAGCAUGCAAUAGGUGCAUCGGACGCGACCGCCUCCUUCGAGUUUCAAGUGAACCCCGAAGACCAGGAGGGCAACCCGGAGGUGGAGGUCCAGCAAGCCGGACUCGAGGAGCCCGAAGAAGAAGUUGAGUGCCCUAACCACGAGCCAGCUUCGUCGUGAAAGGCAAGCCCCGGAGCAUUCUAAGUCUCCCUUUACUUUCGAAAGUUUACUUAAAUAUGUUAUAUCUAUUGAUGCAUUAAGUAUAGGAGUUGUGAAGAAACCUUUGCUGCAUUUUACUCAAUCCUUGUCCAGAUAUCUUACCACUACCUGGUUCUAUAGUUAGGAUCGAGUAGCAGCUUAGCCAGCUUUAAUCGGUAGAAGUCGGGUGAUUUCCUGUCACCUACGCGAUAUAGGGUUAUGUCAGAUCCCGAUGGACUAUAUGUGCUAUCGUGGAUGGAACCUGAUUAAAUUGACUUAAGCCGGGCGGAGUUUUGCAAGGUUGUAGUAACUCCGUCUGUGGCAGCUAAGGACCAACCGUUGUACGUCCUCUUGUCAUGUUGAACGCAUGCCUGACACUUAGUUGGCCGGAUAACUAGUUCCGACCGCGAAGCCGAGUAGUAUUACUCAGGUCGGAAGACCGGCAAGUAUAAAGUGCGCACUAUCGGAGGAAGUGCUGUGUGUGGGGGACCAUUGGCGUAAGCCCAAAGGCAGGUGAGUUAAAAUUCCUGACCUCCCUGGCAGAGUGGUAGCCCUGGGAGUGCGGCGCUGAUCGGAGCCGCGAUUCCUGAGUCGUACCAAAGGUGACCCGUUAGCUCUCCGACGGGGGAUGCUUGGGCGAGUGCUAGGAAUACCCCUCCAGCUGGAUAGGAAUUCGAUUCGAAUCGCCGUCUCUCCCGGUUAGUGAGAACUUGACAGAGCAGCGGCAAACGUAGCAUUCACUAAUGAACUUGGUUCAUGAUAAUGAUGAUAGCAAGGAAGAACAUAUGAUGAAUUUGAUAUGGUUAUUAUUGCUUGUAAUAAUCAAGUGAAGUGCUUUAGUACAGGUGCUAAUCUAGUGGUAGGCUGAUGAUGAUUAAAUAUGAUGCUCUCACAACAUUGUAGUUAUAAUUUAAGCUUUUGGCAAAUGUUGAGUCAACCAGCUCCACUUGAUAUUAGCUUUGCAUGAUCCUUGGUGUCUUUUAUGUUUUACUAGAUGGGUAAGUCUAGCUGAGUACAUUCUCGUACUCAGGGUUUAUUCCCACCUGUUGCAGAUGAUAUCUUUUAUGAUGGCUUCUGCAAGACCUGUCUCCAUCCCGCUGGGGAUGAGGACUAACCGUUGGGCAUGGUUCUCUAACAAACUCGUACCUGCUGCUUUUGGAUGGAUGGUGUACGACCCUGGCUAUAACAAAAACUUAUGAACUGAACUUUGGACAGUGUGUGUAAUUAUUUUGCUUCCGCUACUUCAAACAUGGGUUGUAAUAACUAAGUAUCUCCGAUGUGGUGCCGCUUCGACGGCAAUGAAUGACUAUGUAACAUUCGCUGUGUUGUGUUGAACUAUUACGAUCUUGGUUUGUUGUAAGUUGGUUUGAAGUCCUUCGUGAUUUCAGUUGACUACCGAGAUUAUAUGGGCUCAAGUUUGAAAACUUGAUUGCUUGUCGAUCGUUUCUACAUUUGAACUCUUAUAAUUUGGUCGGUUCUGUGACAGCUGGUAUCGGAGCAUGCUCAGCAUUAUAAAUGCAGCGUUUGUGUAUUUGAAAACAAAGAGUUUUUAAAUAAAAUUUUGGAAAUCAACACUUAAUUAUGCCAGUGGUUGAAUCCUCCUUGCCCAUAUAAGGACUAUAGGUGGCUAUUUAAGUACUGACUUGGGGGGUUUUAUUUAUGCAUCUCCGGCAGUACUCAGGUAUGGAUGUGUGAUGACCGCACUAUGCUACCCUAUGGUCUAAUAGUAGAGGUAGCCUUCAAAUGUGAAUUAGCCACAUAUGUCACUAGAUUUAAAUUAUGCAACGUCGCACCUACGCUCUGGUAAGUAUGAGCUGUGAGAGCAUGAUCGUCCAAACGGCGGUCUAGGAGAGUGUUCGCGGUGGUUUUCUGGAGUGGUUACAUGUCAAAACCAUGGAACCAUGAAAGAAACUUAAUUGGGGAGUAUUUAAUUUCUCGGGUAGCUGUGGUGUUAUUGUUUGUGCAUGUUGGGCAUGUCCAAGCAAUGUGCACUUAGUUUACUGCUUUCUUGAGUGAUAUUGGGAAUUGUUGGGCUGAAAUGAAGUUUUCUGCAGGUACUCUAACCACGCACGUGUAAUUCGCUAGAUAUCGUAUCGAGAGACGAAUGUAUGCCACCGUAUAUCCGUUAGAAUAUUAAUUUUCUAAUUUUGUGAGGACGUACGGUUCAUGCAUGCAUCAUGUCGCAUUCAUACAUACAUUCUGUCUACUCCUUCCCUUACCAUGUCAUCCCUUUUAAUUAAAUAAAUGUUGCUUAAAAUUAAUCCUCUCUUACCCAUGGUAUUCCUAUUCCUUUCCACAAAUGGACGUGCCCGCUUCACCUCACCCAAGUGACACCUUUCUGAGCGAGUUUGGCACUCCUACCUUGCUCUGGAGGGUGCUACAGUCUGUGGGGUAUACUGAGCCACCUCAGUAUUCUUGGUGGGAGGUGGAUAUGACAGGAGAGUUGCAGUGGUUUGCUGUGCAGGGAGUUGUCCCUCCACAUGGGGGCAGGCCUGCAUGGACAGGGUGGACCUGUAACUCAAAUGGGCAGACUCCUUGGGAAGCAGCUCAGGUUGCAGCCUAGGCUAUGCUGCUCAAUAUCUGUCAGAGAUUUGGUGAUGAGCUGACAGGAGAACCAGCGGCCUCCAUUCCCCGUGCUGACCCAGCAGCAGCGGAGUGGAAGCAGGUUGAUGGGUGUGCGUUGGUCCGAGGCAGGGGAGAGCGAGCUAAGAGUUCCAGUCCUGCUAUGAGUGCUAUGAUGGCUGUGCUCAAGCUGUUCAGUCAGCGAGAGGACACUUGUGCACAGGUGAUGGUGGCUAUUCGUCAGGCUCAGGAGAUGCAACAGAAGGCUGAAAAGCAUGCUCGCAAGUUUCGCAAGCAAGCUAGGCUCCUGGAGCAAGCUCAGAAGGACCACAAUGACUGGGAAGGCGUUGCGGAGUACCGUAGGCAGCAGUGGGUGAAGGCCAUUAGGGAAAGAGAUCAUAAGCAGGAUCAGAUGAGUCAGUUAGCUCGAGAGAGGGAGAGUGUAGGAGCGCUUGGUGCAGGUCACUCGUGAGAGGGAUACUGCACUCUGUGUGUCGGAGAACAGGCGCCAGGCUUGGGAGAUGCACUGGAUUUAGUCGCUUGAGCGGGAGAACUAUCUACAGGAUCAGAUUGAGGCUGGUCUUGUGGAGAUUCACCGUCUCAACAACUUGCUACACCCUAUUCCUCGCCCUGUACCCGUGUAUCCAGAGGUGGGACCUCAGGUGAUUGUGGCUGAUGACGAUGGUAUGGAGGUCGAUGGACCAGCAGCGGCUGCACCACCCUUGCACGAGGACAUGGAGGACGAGGAGCUUGAGCCAGUUAGUGACGAGGAUGGGGAGGUGAUCUUUGACGCUGACUCGGACGACGAGCAUGGAGUGUAGUGAGUAGUGGGUAGUUGUUAUGUGAGGAUCUUUUGUAGUUUGGCAGUUAGCAGGGGUGCUUUUGUAAUCAUGAUGUAAUCUAGAACCUUGAUCUUUGCCUUAUGUCAUGUACUGUGAUGGUGUAAUAACUUUAUAGACCCAAUGUGUAACCUUAACAUGUUCGAUCUGUUAUGACGAUGUUUUCCGUUGUGGUGCAUAUUACGGAUGUCUCUGUCUUGUGUUGGAUUGGUGAUGUUGUUUUGUGGAAUUGAAUUAUUGUGCCUUUUUCUGUAAAGCUAUUCUCUCGAAUACUUUCAGGCAUAAAUAUAAGUUCUUCUAUAGCAAGUCUUGUCAUCAUCAAUGCUCACUGACUGUAUCUUUACAGAUGUCUCGUGGCACUUGAGGUGCGGAACAGCGUGCGAACAUGAACCCACCCCCUCCUCCUCCACCACCAAAUCCAGCUGAGCUAAUGCAAAUGAUGGUGGAAAAUCAGAGGAUGCUCACAGAGACCAUCAACCGGAUGGCAAAUCAGGGUGGUCGUAAUGCACAAGAUGGGCCAGCACCUAACCAGUACAGUAGCUUCAAGGAUUUCAUGGAUACUAAGCCCCACCUUUCAGAGAGGCUGAAGGACCCCUUCAAGCUGAGGAAUGGCUGAACACGGUGGAACAAAAGUUCCACUUGCUUCGGCUGACCAAGGGUUUGAAGGCUGAGUAUGCAGCUCACCAACUGCAAGGUCCAGCAGGCAUGUGGUGGAAUCAGUAUCAAGAAGCCCUUCCAGCCGAUACUGUGCUUGACUGGAAUCUUUUCCGUGAAGCUUUCAAAGGGCAUUUCAUUCCUCCUGGUGUCAUGGAGAUGAAGCAUACCGAGUUUAUGCAGUUGACUUAGGGCAACAAAACUCUGAAGGAAUACUUGCAUGCUUUCAAUCACCUAUCAAGGUAUGCUCCUGAGUUUGUGAACACUGAGACCAAGAAGAUUGCCAGCUUCAAGCGGGGUUUGGGCCCCAAGUUGCUGAAAACCAUGGGCCGCACUAAGUGUGCAACUUUCAAUGAGUUUGUCAGUGAUGCUCUUACCCAAGAGAACUACAAUACUGUGUACACUGUGACCAAGACUCGCAAGAGGGCUUUUGAGGCCGGGGCUGGGGCAUCUCAGUCCAAGGCUCCAGUGGCAGCUAAGCCCCUGAACCGUGCUCCAAAUCCUAACCAGCGGUAUCGCCUCCUAUGAAGAAGAAUCAGGCAAAGACGGGUUUCCGCAAGGGUUACUCCAUUGCUCUUCCUAGGGGCAACACGGGUCCCAGCUAUGCCAAGACUCCACCUACCAACCGUCCGUGCUGGAAUUGCAAUCAGACCGGGCACUGGCAGAGCAAUUGUCCUUACCCGCCAAAGAAGGUCAACCAAGGGAAUGUCCGUCAGGGGUGUGUUCACUACACAACUGUGGAGGCAAUCCCUGCUAGUGAGGUAGUUAUGGCUGGUAAGUUUCUGGUUAACCAAUGUGAUGCACUUGUGCUUUUUGAUUCAGGAGUAUCGCAUUCUUUUGUGAGUUCAGACUUUGUGUCUAAGCAUAAUCUCAAGGCAAUCACACUAGAAAAGGGCAGUUAUUGCAUUAGUGCUGCUGGAAAUGAUAUUUCUACCAAUCAAGUGGUUUUGGGGGCAACUCUGGAAAUAGGAGACCGUCAGUUUCUUGCUGAUCUGGUUGUUUUACCCGGUGUGGGUAUAGACGUAAUUCUGGGUAUGAAAUGGAUGAGUGGUAACAGAGUUCUUAUCGACACCACCACUCGUGUAGUGAUGUUGAGAGACCCAAAUACCAAGGAGGCAUUCUUAGUGCAACUUCCUCAAGAUAUCCAUAUCCGUAGCACUGUGAAUGCAGUUACAGCUAAGGCCAUCCAGGAUAUUCCGGUGGUGUGUGAGUUCCCGGAUGUAUUUCCUGAUGAUUUACCCGGGCUUCCUCCAGAUCGGGAUGUGGAGUUCAAAAUUGAAUUAAUCCCAGGUACCGCUCUUAUCUCUAGAAGACCAUAUAGAAUGCCACCAAAUGAGCUAGCUGAGCUUAAGACCCAAAUAAAUGAGUUGUUGAAGAAGGGUCUUAUCCAUCCUAGUUCUUCUCCUUGGGGUUGUCCGGCUAUCUUUGUGAAGAAGAAGGAUCAGUCCUUACGCAUGUGUGUGAACUAUCGUCCCUUGAAUGCGGUGACCAUCAAAAAUAAAUACCCUCUUCCUCGCAUUGAUAUUUUGUUUGAUCAGUUGUCUAAAGCUAAGGUAUUCUCCAAGAUUGAUUUGCGAUCUGGGUAUCAUCAGAUCAAGAUCCGUCCUGAAGAUGUACCUAAGACAGCUUUCUCGACGAGGUAUGGGUUGUAUGAGUAUCUCGUCAUGUCCUUCAGCCUUACGAAUGCACCUGCUCAUUUCAUGUACCUCAUGAACUCGGUGUUCAUGCCCGAAUUGGACAAGUUUGUGGUGGUUUUCAUUGAUGAUAUCCUAGUAUAUUCUUGCAAUGAAGAGGAGCAUGCAGAGCAUCUGCGUGUGGUGUUGGUGAGCAUCAGCUUUAUGCAAAAUUCAGCAAAUGCGAGUUUUGGCUAAAGAAAGUACCUUUCUUGGGCCAUGUCUUAUAUGAAGAAGGCAUAUCGGUGGAUCCGGCUAAGGUGCAAGAAGUGCUGGAUUGGAAGGUUCCAACUUCGGUACACGAGGUUCGGAGUUUUCUCGGUCUGGCUGGGUAUUAUCGUCGAUUCAUUCCGGAAUUCUCAAAAAUAUCCAAGCCUAUGACUCGCCUACUUCAGAAAGAUGAGAAGUUUGUGUGGACGCCUGAGUGUGAAAAGGCAUUCCAGAAGUUGAGGACAUUGCUAACAUCAGCUCCUGUCCUAGCUCAACCUGAUAUCGAGAAGCCCUUUGAUGUCUUCUGUGACGCUUCAGGUAUUGGUCUAGGCUGCCUGUUGAUGCAAGAAGGUCGCGUUAUCGCGUAUGCCUCAUGCCAACUUCGAAAUCAUGAGGUCAAUUACCCUACUCAUGACUUAGAAUUGGCAGCAGUUGUUCAUGCUUUGAAAAUCUGGACGCACUAUUUGUUGGGUAAUCUGUGCAAUAUCUACACUGAUCAUAAGAGCCUCAAGUACAUCUUCACUCAACCUGAAUUGAACAUGCGGCAGCGAAUGUGGCUUGAGUUGAUUAAAGAUUAUAAUCUACAAGUGCACUAUCAUCCGGGCAAGGCAAACGUGGUUGCGGAUGCCUUGAGUCGAAAAGCGCACUGUCACUCAGUCCAGGUGGAAGAUCCGUUGUUGUCACACCUUAUGCACCCACUUGUGCUCAACCAGAUUUCUCUGGAGAGUACUCUUCGAAAUCGAGUCAUUGAAUUGCAGCAAACAGAUGUAGGCAUCCACCAUAUAAAGAGGAAAAUGAAAGAAGAAGAAACCAAGCAUUUCCGGGUCGAUGAGAACGGAAUUCUUUGGUUCAAAGAUCGACUCGUGGUUCCAAAAGACCGUGAGCUACGAAAUCAGAUCUUAUCUGAAGCUCAUUCAUCCAAAUUGUCUAUCCAUUCUGGUAGUAGCAAGAUGUAUCAGGAUCUGAAACCUCUGUUUUGGUGGACAAAGAUGAAAAAGGAGAUUGCUGCUUUUGUCGUUCGUUGUGACAAUUGUUGUCGCGUGAAGGCCGUUCACAUGAAAGCUGGUUUGCUUCAACCCUUGUCAAUUCUUGGUUGGAAAUGGGAAGAAGUCAGCAUGGAUUUCAUCGUUGGACUUCCAACUUCUGUCAAGGGUUACGACUCUAUCUGGGUGAUUGUAGACUGUUUGACCAAGGUUGCUCGUUUUAUUCCAGUUCAAACUGACUAUCGUCCACAUCAAUAUGCGGAGUUGUACUUCGAGCACAUUGUCCGUCAAUAUGGUGUGCCUCGAACUAUCAUAUUAGAUCGUGGACCACAGUUCACUGCCCGUUUUUGGGAGUGUCUACAUGAGCAGAUUGGUACUCACUUAGUCCGUAGUUCGGCAUAUCAUCCCCAAACGGCAGGUCAAACUGAACGGGUUAACCAAAUCCUAGAAGACAUGUUGAGGGCAUGUGCUCUCUCUUCUAAAGGUUCUUGGGUUAAGUGGUUGCCAUUAGCUGAGUUCUCUUACAACAAUAGUUAUCAGGAUAGUAUCAAGAUGGCUCCAUUUGAAGCCCUGUUUGGUCGAAAGUGUCGAACCCCGUUGAAUUGGGUGGAAUCCGGGGAACGAAGGUAUUAUGGCAUCGAUUUUGUGAACGAAGCAGAGUAGCAAGUCCGUACCAUCCAGCAACAUCUGGAAGCUGCUCAAGCUCGUCAGAAAAGUUAUGCUGACAAAAGAAGGAACCCGAUUGAGUUUGCGGUCGGUGACCAUGUGUAUAUCAAGGUGUCUCCGAUGAAGGCUGUACAAAGGUCCGGAGUCAAGCGAAAGCUUGCACCUCGUUAUGUGGGACCCUAUCAGAUUCUUGAAAGGAAAGGGGAUGUGGCGUACAAAGUUCAACUACCAGUUGAGCUUCGAGCUAUUUUCCUUGUCUUCCACGUAUCACAAUUAAAGAAGUGCCUUCGUGUUCUAGAGGAACGAGUGGAAGUUCGGGAUAUCAAGUUGAAAUCUGACUUUGUGUAUGAAGAAAAACCUAUAGCGGUUCUUGACAGCUAGGAAAGGGUGACUCGUAAUCGGGUGGUUAAAUUCUACAAGGUGUUGUGGAGUAACCACGGGGAGGAAGAUGCCACUUGGGAAACCGAGGAUUAUUUGAAAGAAUUUACAAAACAUUCUUCGAAAAUCAGUAAGCUUUCAAAUCUCGGGACGAGAUUUUUGUAAGGGGGGAGCGCUGUAACACCCCAGUGUUAUGGUUGCAUAAAUCACAUGCGUAACAUGAGCAUCAUCAUCUACUCAAGCAUUCCAUGAUCAUCAUCUACCUUGAGCCAAGUCAUUUUAUGCAAAAAUGUGAUUUAAGUUGUCUAAAUAGGCCUCCUAGACUUGUGUUGGUGUGUACCAUGCUUGUGUUUGUGCUCUAUGCCUUGCUAAUUAGUUUAUCUAUGCUUAACUCAACAUUAGGAACAAUGUUAAUGUUGAUCAUUUCUCCAAAAUAAUCACUUAAGACAUACUUACACAAAUAGGCCCUAGAAACCUCUUCUGCUUAGGCUUUUAAAAAGUGUUUCAUAAAAUGUUUGCAUGUCAAAACUUUCUCCAUCAAAGUUGUAGCAAAUUUUAUAAGAAACAAAAGUUGUUUUAUGGCCAUCUCAUGAAAAUGAACACAACUAGCUCAAAAGUGAUCCACAAGGCAGAUUUGGGGCUGUUUCCAACACAUAGAAAAUUUUCUAAGUCUAGGAUCGCAACAGUUUGCUCGAGGGUAUGUUGCUUAGCUUCCAGUUUGAAUUCUAGACCGAAUCAGACCUUGAUCAUGUAAGCCAUGUUGGAGUACUCAUGUAGCUCUCCAGCAUAGAGCAAUUAGCUAGCAAAGUCAUCGAGUGCUUUAGGAGAUAAUCGCAGUGCAAGAUCGGGUUUCAGUCGGGAUCAACGACUGAAUGGAGUCGCCGUCAGUUCAGGGGAGCUCGCCGGUGACGCACGUGUGUGGACCCGUGGCGUCCGUACGUCGCCGUUGGUCCCACUCGUCAGUCCUCAGCGCGUCCUACAGCUCGCCACGGCGCCCUGGUUGCGUGGAUAGCGCCAUUUCCCUCCCGGUCCACUCCCUCUCGUGUCUGUCAUCGUCUCCGCGUCGCCGCCGUUGCUUCGGCGAGCUCGCGCGCGCGUGUCUCCGUGUCUCUGGCCAAACAACUCCGCCCAGCACUCCGCUAGCUUCCCUGCAACACCAUCGUCGAGUUGGCUGCAGCUGCCGAGCCUCGGUAAGCCCGCAUUGACUUCUCUGUCGCGAGCUUACCUCGCCGGAGCACCGCCAUGGUCACCGGCGUCGUGGCCAGGGCUCCGUAGUCAACCAUUCCUCCUCGUUCUUGUCCCAAAAGCUCCGCUAGGUCAUGCUGAUGCUCAUCUGCAUUCUCUUCCGCUCUGUCUCCGGCCAGAGACGCCGGCGGUCGGACGCGCACCACCGUCGUGCCGCCAUUCGCGAGGGCAAGGUACCUAGGGUCCAGUAGAGUUAGGGUUUCGGGUACCGCUCGAUGCGGAAUGGAGUGGGGAGCACGAUGGUGCCCUUGGCCAUCUCCAAGACCUCGCCGUUGACGAGAUCCCCGGCGGUCAAGUCACGCCUCUGCUCUCGGGUCACUGGCAUGUGGGGUCUGUUGACUGGCAUGAGCUGUUUUUGCAAAAAUCAUAUCUCUGGUUCUGGUGAUCCAAAAAUUGUGAAACCAAUUUUGUGGUAUUCCUUGAGAUGGCUAGUUUUUAAUAAAAAUAUAAAAUGAACCAUGUUUUCUAGGAAAAAUAUUUAUUAGGAUUUAAUCUUGUUAUUCAUGAGUAAAUUCAUAUCUCUUGUUAUGCUCCUCCUUUUCCCAUGAGUUUUUUAUGGUAAUCUCUGUGUGGUUUUAGAAUGCUAUGAUAAAUAUUUCAUGAUUUUUGGAGUACUGGAUCUGUGAAAUGUAAUUUAUGGUUAAGAUAUGGCUUGUUUUCUUAAUUAAAUCAUAGUAAAUAAUUGAUGCUUAUGCUGGUGCUCUACUUUUGUGUCACACUUCUUUAUAGUAAUAGUAGCAUGUAAAUAAUCUGAAAUCUGCUGUUUGGCACCAUAUAAGCCAUGUUCCUUAAUUUAUGAAAUAAGUACCUUGUCACAUUUUAAAUGCUUAUCUAAAAAUUGACAUGGGCAAUUGCCCUGAAAAGUUUAUGGUGAUGUCCAUCUGCUAUGAUUGUGCUUGUGUAAUUUUUGUAGAUUUUUCUGAGCACUUUUGCUAAGUAUCUUGUAAUUAUGUCCUUUUAUAGAAUUAAAUGGAUAAAUGCAUUGUUAUUAAAUAUCUAGGGGUUAACAUAUAAUGUUCUGGUUAUCUUAUGUGAUACUUGUGCUUAUAAGCCAUGUGGUUGAUACUGUUUAUGUUUUGGCUAUGUCAUCAAAUAAUUAAUUGGUGGGUUAAAAGCUGUUCUGGACAGCAAGGGAGUAAUUUAACUUUUGCUUAAUGAUAAAUGGGUUUUCUGGGAAACUUCUCUAAAUCAAAGUUGUUGUAAACUUUAUGAACUAUCUGUGGGUUAAAUUUGGGAUCAUUUGGUCUAGUAGUUUUGAAGUUAUGAUCUUUCCAAGUUAGGUUCCAGAAAUAGGUAUUCUCUGUUUUUCUGGGACAGAACCUGGAACUUUGUUUAUAAGGCUUGCUUAACUUAUGAAUCUUGUGGUGAUGUUUAAAGAUGGUUUGUAGAAAAUUUCAUAAGCUUUCCAGAAUGUCCUCACUCAUGUGUGUUGGAUCUGCCUAGCAUUAGUUAUGACCUGUUUACUGAGCUAAUUCUGUUAUGUGAUGCUUGCUGUUAUAGUAACUUGCUAGGCUUUGGCUAAGUUAACUUAUCGUCUUGUGUGAAGCUGUUAUAACCGUUACUCCGUAAAUGAGUGCCCAGUGAGUCCAUUAUGUUAUCAAGCAUUCAUCUUUUAGUAUGUACACCUUCUUAUUCAUCGAGCAUGCAAUAGGUGCAUCGGACGCGACCGCCUCCUUCGAGUUUCAAGUGAACCCCAAAGGCCAGGAGGGCAACCCGGAGGUGGAGGUCCAGCAAGCCGGAAUCGAGGAGCCCGAAGAAGAGGUUGAGUGCCCUAACCACGAGCCAGCUUCGUUCAUGAAAGGCAAGCCCCAGAGCAUUCUAUGUCUCCCUUUACUUUCGAAAGUUUACUUAAAUAUGUUAUAUCUAUUGAUGCAUUAAGUAUAGGAGUUGUGAUGAAACCUUUGCUGCAUUUUACUCAAUCCUUGUCCAGAUAUCUUACCACUACCUGGUUCUAGAGUUAGGAUUGAGUAGCAGCUUAGCCAUGCUUUAAUCGGUAGAACUCGGGUGAUUUCCUGUCACCUGCGCGAUAUAGGGUUAUGUCGGAUCACGAUGGACUAUAUGUGCUAUCGUGGAUGGAACCUGAUUAAAUUGACUUAAGCCGCGCGGAGUUUUGCAAGGUUGUAGUAACUCCGUCUGUGGCAGCUAAGGACCGACCGUUGUACGUCCUCUUGUCAUGUUGAACGCAUGCCUGACACUUAGUUGGCCGGAUAACUCGUUCCGACCGCGAAGCCUAGUAGUAUGACUCAGGUCGGAAGACCGGCAAGUAUAAAGUGCGCACUACCGGAGGAAGUGCGGUGUGCGGGGGACCAUUGGUGUAAGCCCAAAGGCAGGUGAGUUAAAAUUCCUGACCUCCCUGGCAGAGUGGUAGCCCUGGGAGUGCGGCGCUGAUCGGAGCCACGAUUCCUAAGUCGUACCAAAGGUGACCCGUUGGCUCUCUGAUGGGGGAUGCUUGGGUGAGUGCUAGGAAUACCCCUCCAGCUGGAUAGGAAUUCGAUUCGAAUCGCCGUCUCUCCCAGUUAGUGAGAACUUGACAGAGCAGCGGCAAAUGUAGCAUUCACUAAUGAACUUGGUUCAUGAUAAUGAUGAUAGCAAGGAAGAACAUAUGAUGAAUUUGAUAUGGUUAUUAUUGCUUGUAAUAAUCAAGUGAAGUGCUUUAGUACAGGUGCUAAUCUAGUGGUAGGCUGAUGAUGAUUAAAUAUGAUGCUCUCACAACAUUGUAGUUAUAAUUUAAGCUUUUGGCAAAUGUUGAGUCAACCAGCUCCACUUGAUAUUAGCUUUGCAUGAUCCUUGGUGUCUUUUAUGUUUUACUAGACGGGUAAGUCUAGCUGAGUACAUUCUCGUACUCAAGGUUUAUUCCCACCUGUUGCAGAUGAUAUCUUUUACGAUGGCUUCUGGAAGACUUGUCUCCAUCCCGCUGGGGAUGAGGACUAACCGUUGGGCACGGUUCUCUAACAAACUCGUACCUGCUGCUUUUGGAUGGAUGGUGUACGACCCUGACUAUAACAAAAACUUGUGAACUGAACUUUGGACAGUGUGUGUAAUUAUUUUGCUUCCGCUACUUCAAACAUGGGUUGUAAUAACUAAGUAACUCCGAUGUGGUGCCGCUUCGACGACAAUUAAUGACUAUGUAACAUUCGCUGUGUUGUGUUGAACUAUUACGAUCUUGGUUUGUUGCAAGUUGGUUUGAAGUCCUUCGUGAUUUCAGUUGACUACCGGGAUUAUAUGGGCUCAAGUUUGGAAACUUGAUUGCUUGUCGAUCGUUUCUACACUUGAACUCUUAUAAUUUGGUCGGUUCUGUGACAUAAUUCCUGCAAAAUAUAAUCGCUAUGGUACAAAUUGAACUUGUUAGAAAUACAAUGCAUGUGUGUAUAUAAUAUGAUUGCUUCUUCUCCUUUUGGAUCAAGUUGGCAGUUUAUGAUUGGUCUACAAUGAGUGCCAACAAGUCCCCCAAGCUUAACCUUUGCUCGUCUCGAGCAAAUAAUUAAGUAUGGUUGUUGAUUAGGAGUUGCUACUAUGCCGAUAUAAUUCAAGAGUACCUUACCUAUAACAAAGUAUUCAUUCGCAAUUUAAAUAAGUUGGCAUGCUAUCCACUCUUUACCUUGACUUCUCAUGAGGCUUAUAGCUUUUCCAAGUUCUUGGGUGAUUGCAAGUUUGAAUGGUUGUAACAGACUCACCAUUCAUUCAUCCCUUGAUAGACCAUCAAUCUAGAGGUUUUAUAAAUUUCUGCAAAAUAAAUAAGUUCCUCGAAUGAUUCUCUCAAUCGCUCAUUGUGUAUGAAAUCCUCACCAAAGGCAUUUGUGUUUGCCUUUAAGACCUACCACUAAGGCUGAGAAUGGAGCUUUGGGAAGGUAUAAAGGUGGGCGUACUUACGACACUUGUGUUGCCAAGUUAAAGCCUAGAUCAUGAGGAGAUACAAGUCAUACACCUUCAUUGAGAUGUGCAAGUGUGUGGUGUUUUUGGUGGUAGUCCUAUCUAAAUAUUUUUGGUUACUCCUUGUAUCAUGACUCUCUUUAUUUGAGGAAGAGAAUGAGAGAAUGUAAACAUAUGGACCCUAAAAAAAUGGAUCAUAUAUAUAUAUAAUUUUAUUUCUAACGGGGAUGUCGAUUUUCCCGUCCAUGCCCUUUGGCUUUUCCUUCAUUUUUUUCAUGGAUAACUGAUGCCCACAUGUUUCAAAGGGAUCUCAAAGAGGAAAAUGGAGAGAUCUCAUGAUGGUGAUGUAAGGAGUAGAAUUGUGUAUGGGGAUGCGCAAACCUCAGGGUGAGAGUUUGGCAUACUGAUUUGGUGGAAGCUAAGGCGCAACUCUCAGGGUAAGACUCGGCUUUAUAUGGUGGGUGCGUGAAUCUCAUAUCAUGGGUGCGUGACCAUAAUCUCACUCUAGAAUACCUGGGAUUUGACUCAACUAAAAGCGCCGCAAGCCACAUAUGACUAAAGGUGGACAAACUACUAAGCAAGUCAUAUGGCCUUGGUAGGUAUUUCAUAAUCAUUGAUUAUCUCUUUGUUUUGAAUUUUUUAAAAGAAAACUUCGGAUGUCAAGUUUCUCUUAGAACAAAGUCAUAGCAAAAUCUAUUUAUACCAUAUCAUGUCUCGCAACAACUUAAAAAAGGAUCAUGCAUUUGCAACCCACAAGAUUUCAAGUUCUUAGAAUGAGACAUUUUUAGCCAACAAACUUAAAUCUUGAUGAACACUAAAUUAUAACUUAGAUACUAGAGAAGUAUAGACAGAGCAACUAUUCAUCAUUUCAACAUAAGAGAAACUAACAUAUCAUAGCGCACAUGAGAGUGGGUUUUUUUGAAAGAUGAUGAAAAAUUGCUGAAAUUUAAAUAGUGAAAUUAAGAACUAAAAUUAAGUGCAAGAAUGUAAGAUACAUGUUACCUCUUGUGGGGGUCCUCCCCCAAGCUAGCUCACUGCUGCGGUCCAGGGAAAUGUGCCAUGGAUCGCAGGUAGGCCAUCUAUGCCUCGUGCCGGUGAUGGCUUGCAUCCUCAAGGUCGAUGAAGCUCUGCUGGGUCUGCUGAUGCCAUCGGGUAGCAGUCUAGAUGUGGGCAUUCAGCGUACCUGGGAUCUACCUGUUCAGGAGCUCCAGUCCUCCCAUGCGAGUGUUGAGGACGUCCAGUGUGACCUGAGGGCGAACAGGGGGUGGCAUUUCCUCGGAAUCUGAGGAGUGUCCUGGCUCGUGAUGCCUGGAUCCCGCUUCCCCAUAUGCCACUGGCUCACUUGGGCCUGCGCCUCCGUGCGCCUACCAGCUCGACCCUCCUGCAUGCUAGCUCGAUCCUCCAGCCUCGUAGGGGUGAGGAACGUAUCCCAUACCAUAUACAUACCCAGGGGUAAAUUUGAGUGCAAGUAUAGUAGGGGUCCAUCCCAUCCCUGGCAUAGCUGGUGGUGGAAUGUGCUGUGCUGGCUGUGCGGAUGGUGCUGGCUGUGCUGCCUGUGCUGCCCUUGCUGCUUGUGGUGCCUACUCUUCUUGUUCCCUCCUCCGUGAGUUACUGCGAGAAACAGAGCUCCUGCGUCCUCCUUCCCUCUCAAUGAGGGUGAAGGUGAGUGAUGGGGAAUUAUACAGAGCGAGAUCCGGGUUAGGUAACUAGAUCUCGUUUGUAUAUCCCGGAAAAUAAAAUAAAAUCUUUUUACCUAUUUCAUCGCGUUUAAUCAUGUGUGCAUGCGAAAGAUGUGAUUCAUUAACCAUGAUGCGAGGAGUAGUGAUGUAAAUAAUGGUAUUAGCAGCAUGGGGAUCAACACUUGCAGCAAGGCGAGCAAUAAGAGAUGUGUACAUGAUAGCAGUUGAAGUCUUAAUGGAAUGCAACCAAUGAUUAACAAGCUCAACAAUAGGUGCAACCUUAAUCUUUUUGAGCGCAGCAUAAAGCAACUUCAACUCUAUGUCGUAAGUAAGAUGCGUAUCAUCUCUUGAAAAGAACGAACUAGCGAUCCACUUAUGGGGAAGCCUCAGAGUGGGGUGAUGGAUGCUGGCAGAAUGCCCCUGAAACUUUCCAACGACGUGUUGCCCCGAGAUCAAAUGCCAGAAAGCAUGACGUUGGUAAUCCCCAAGGGAGAAACCUAACUCAAUGGAGCACUGCUCGUGGAAACCCAAACGGUUGGCAAGAUCCUUCCAAUAAAUACCGAAAUCACUUCCAAAGCAACGAAAGGUAAUACCAUAAUCGACAGUUUGUAGAGUGCCCAAAAUUUGUAUCGUCAAAAGACGUGACCCAAGAUCAUGAUCUGGGGCAACUCUACUCCAACCAAGAUGCUUGAAAAAUAGUAUCAAACUCAACAUCCAUACCUAUUUGGUGCAAGAAUGCGGGGUCGAAUGCCGGCGAAUGGAGGAACUCGCGUUCCUUCAAGAGGUUGUAUGCCUACAUCUCCCGCUCGCUCUCCAAGUCGAUGAAGGGGGCGUCGGCCUCGUCAAUGACAAGACCGUGUGGCCCCUCCUCCUCUCCUCCAUGUGCCGGCUGCUCGUUCCUUGUAGGGGUUGGUGGAUCUUCCCCGUGUUGGCGACGGCUCCUUCUAAGCCCGAAAAUUCUAUUCAUGGUGGAUGAGCUAGCACAAGUGUAUGGUGUUUUUGCUUGGAGAGGGAAGUGUGCAAGAGGUUUUUGACAGAAUUUUCUUGCAUUAAGCUUGUGGAGUAAGCUAUGAAGCAAAGUGGAGCAAGAGAGUGAAGAAGGGAAAAGUAAAAAAAUGUGUGUGAGAGGGGUGAGGUGCUCCACCCGGGAUCCUUUCUAUUUAAGUUGAUCGCAGGCGGGGGAGCGCCCCCUCAACGGCUACUAGUCGUUGCCCAAAGGCCAAGGCCAGCAGGCCUUGGGCAGGGUGCGGCCGCACCCUGGUGCGCCCGCACUAGUGGUGGGCCCGCCUCUGCUCGGCCUUUUGGCUGCUGGCUCCAACGGUCACCCCAAACGUCUCUCUGGUUACGAUCAGACUUGGUUCGAAAUCUUGCUCUAGAUUUUGAUUUUCCACAUAUUUAUUCAAAAUAUUUAUGGUUUUCAAAAAUUAUAUAAAAAUAAGAUUUGGAAAUGGGAAAAUCUAUACUACGAGAAAAUAAUUUUUAUAAGAUUUUCAGAGAAACUUUAUUUUUGACUAAAAAUAAAACUAUAGAAAGGGAAACUUUUGGAAACUAAAAAUAAAAACUUCCUAUAAGAAAGGAAAUUAAAACGAAAUUUAAAGGAUUUAAAAACACAUAAUACCUGAGCGGGGACACCUCCCCCAAGCUUGCUUGAUGUCGUGGGCCCUCUUAAGAUAUCUUUAUUGGGACACAAAUAGCACAAAAUUUAUUUUUAUUAUAUAUAGUUUUUUUAGAGAACUACCGAAUGCCUUCGGUAAGGGCUCAACAUUUAUAGUCCGUUGGCAGGACUUUCCUUCCUUCAUUCUUCUGUGGCUGCAUGGACGAACUUAGUAGAGGUUUCCAGUUGCCCUGGGAUCCUCUCUGUGUCAGUGACUGGAAUUGAUGCAGCUAUCUAUGCUAUCUGUGUUUCUAUCAUCUUGUUGAAACUCGUCUGACUUUUGAUAGAUGAACAAAGAGUUUCAAGUCUGGCGUUGAUGUUCUCAAUGAUCUUGUCAUUGUAGGACAGCUUCUUGGUCAGAUUCUCGUUGAUUUUAGCUUGCCCUAUGACCAGAUCUUUCAAGGAAGGCUGAUUGAAGAAAUUACCCUACGGGCGGUGCUGAUUGUUCCACACGUUGUUACCAUGCUGUGGUGGCCGAAACCCAUUGUUGACAUAUGCUGCUUCUUCUUAGGUUUCGGGGCAAUUGUUCCCCGAAUGGCCAUCAUCACCACAAACUUAACACGAUAUGUGUGAGUUCACUGCUUGGACAGUGCCCAUGUUGGGAUUUGCAACUUGUCCGUCCAUCCUUUGUAGCAGCAAGUCUAUUUUUGCGACAAGCACAUCUGCCUCCUUCGCAGAUUGUGAACAUUUUUGUGUUUUCCUUCCUUCUUCCCAGCUUUGAUUUGCCACCCUCUUCUCGAUGAGGGCAGUAGCUUCAUUAAUGGUGAGAGAAAGGAAUGCACCUCCAGCUGCGGCAUCUACGUGCCCCUUUGACAUGGUCAUGAGGCCUUCGUAGAAGUUCUGGAGCACAAGCCAGUCUUCCAUUUCAUGAUGAGGACAGGCCCGGAUGUACUGCUGGAGCCUCUCCCAUGCUCCGGGUAUCGACUCAAGUGAAGACUGCUGGAAGUUAGAGAUCUUCCCCCUUAGAGCGCUGGUCCUGCUCAUGGGGAAGAACUUGGCGAGGAAUGUCACGGAGCACUUUUCCCAUGUUUCAACACCUUCCUUGUUCUGAUAAAACCAUUGUUUCGCCUUUUCGGCGAGGGAAAAGGGAAACACGGAGCCUGAUGCUGUUCUGCGCAACGUCAUUGAUGACAACGGUGUCGCACAGCUCAAGGAAGUUCUGAAGGUGGGCGUUGGCAUCCUCGCUUGGCAGGCCACAGAAUUGGCUUUCCUGCACCAUAGAGAUGAGGCCAGUACGGAUCUCGAAGCUUCCAUUCCCCAUAUUGACAGCAGGCCCAAUCGGCACGUUGGCAACACUGGGAGUGGAGUAGUCACGGAGUGUCUUGGCCAUCACGAUUGGUGCGGUUAGUGCUGGAACAGUUGAUUCGCUUGCUGGUUGCAUAGUAGAAGAAGAGACGGUACGAACCCUUCUCUUCCUUACGAGUGUUUCUGGAUCACUGUGGAAGUUUGCCAGCAAGUUGAAACCGCUCAUACACUAUCCUGUUUUCAUUCCAAUAAAAAGAGGAAGAAAACAGUAAAGUUAUCCUGCUUAAUCUAUGGCUACCAAUGCUUAUUAUGCAAUCAAUGUUUAUGCUAGUAUGAUUUUUGCCUUCCCCGACAACGGCGCCAGAAAUGCUUGUUGGCAUUUCUUAGCGUCACUACUAAAAAUAGACCAUAGAUCCAUCCUUAGCAAUGGCACCAGAAAUGUUGGGUGUUGGCAUACCAUAACUAUCACUACAUCAGAGAGAUAACACAAGGCAACUCGAGGUCGCCGGCCUUAGCAGUGCAGUCUGGUAACAAUAAUUAGGAAUGCCGGAUUGGCCUUCCUAACCAUCCUUACUUGCCACAUGCAAAGGUGUGGCACUACACUCGAAAGUGCACAAGGAUUACAAUCUUAAGUAACGAUACUUAGCUACGCUAAUCGAUAGUUCAUGAAUGAAGAAGUAAUAUAACUGCGAGCAGACAGAACUGUCAUUGCAGCAUUUCAACCCGUGAGUAUUCAAGGGUGUCGAAUUUAUAAUUCCUAUAGGAAGGCAAAGGGGUCAAACAUGGUGUAAACAUGAUUACUUAUUGAAUGCUUGGUAGACAUAGAGUAAACAGGAAUAAACAUGUAUUCAAGAUAGUGGACACACAUUGGAUCAACCUCAAGGAUAAAAUAGAAGAGAAAUAAUAAAUAAAGAAUAAAGAAAUAAAUCUACUUGAGCGGGCAUGGGUCACAUAUAACUAUGCAUAGAACUGUUAGUGGAUCAUCUAAUUAGCAAUAAAUAGAGUUAGAACUAAGCCUGAGAUGAGGGGAGAUCCCCGUAGCUGGAUACCCAGCCAAUAGAGACUUUACAGAACUCCUAUCGGAAUACCUGAUCGUGGGGGAAUGCAAAGGAUGACAAAGCCGUCACUACCCUACUGUUGACACUUGCUAACACCACUUGAAUACUAGGUUGUCAUCCCCAGCAUGGCACUAGAGUGUACUAUGGUAUUUAUACGCACACAGAUAAAUCCGCAAGCGCACGGAUACGGUUGUAGCUUUUACCCGGUUAAAGGUUUUAUCGUAUCCACAGGGAAAUGGGAGAUCUGAUCUACGCUCAAACUUAACCUAGAUAGAUAGGUAGGUGUAAAUAGGAAAGAUGGUAGAAUUGAAUAAGAACAAUAUUAAAGGUAAGAUAACAAUGGGUGAUAAUAUGGGAAUAGAGAGUAGAGCAAUCUAGUAUGUGGGUGGUGGUAGGAGAAUAAAGAGGAUAACUAUGGUUUCUCUACUUCAAAGGGGUAUGUCUAUGUCUGGGAUGAACCACGUGAUAAGAAUACACCACAAAGGAUGCUUAUCCAUAGGCCGAUAAACCCUACCAGUCCUGCUAACGGGAGGUGGACUACAGGGGACCAAUGUAACUGUCACCUACGUGGCCUACCACACGAUCCAGCUAGACAGGGGAUAUGCACAAGUAAUCUAGGUCUAAGCACCACGCUUACACCUAUACUACAACUCUAACCUAUAGGGUCCUAUAGAUUAAAAGUACUCAAAAGAGUUGCGAACCAGAACAUACAUGAAUAGUAAUUGCAUAAUGAAAUAGAAGUAGAUUACCAGAGUCAUCCCAUGAGCAAGCUUGAUUAGAGCUUGAUCAUGGCGAAGUACAACCGGAGGAAGAACCGACAGGCUGGCCUCUCCUCCAAUCCACCCUCGCUCUCCAUCUCGCUACUAUCUAGAUCUACUCUAGUUUAGAGAAGAGAGGAGAGCUCUCAUCUCCAAACCCUAGCUUUUGCUUUGUCUAUGAAUAAUGAAUGAGGAUCAAGGGGUGCCUCCUCCAGGGGCCAGGGGGCUUGCUUAUAUAGCCCCUCCAAAUAAAUGUGGGCCAUCGGAUCAAACCGACCUUAAUCGCAUGGUUUUCCUUAAUCCUUUAUGUCGGUGGAGCAUAAUCCGCGAGGCGGAGCUUGAUUGGCUCCUGUAGCAGGGCGGGCGCCCUGUCCCCGAGCCCGCUCGGCUUCCCGUUCGUUCUCGUGGCUUCUGGAGUCUUCUAGAUGAUAGAAAAUUGCGCGACACAUUAAUAUCUCUAUGUAAACCCAACGUGUGGGCCUUUCCUCCAUAUUUCCUGAUAACCCCCUGCAGAAAUAGACAAACACCAAAACUCGUGGAAUUAUGUCAGAUAAAACCCUAAGUCUAGGUGUUGGUUGCAUUUGGAUCCUUUUCUUUAUUUAUUUGAUGAUUAAAUUUGAUACUUAAGGACCGUCAACAACUGCCACCUACCGCUCUACCCGAAAGAUACCUGCACAUCCACUGAUUUCCACAUACCUGAACACCAUGUUCAUGUAACUGGAAACAACUCCUAACCCUCGCGGGCCCCACCCCUUCGAAGUGAUAGGCUAGGCUAAGGGCAACCAUCACAGCAUAGUGAACCAUCAUCCCAUUCCUAAUUCUAAUCCUAAUCAUACUAAUCUGAUGAAUAAUGAAGAACAAUGAUGAACAUAUCAAGAACAUAGCACAAGAACUAAGAACUAGUUCAUAUACUAUGAACAUGAUAAGAACACAAUCAUACUCUAGUUCAUAUGCAUAAUCAUAUAAAGAUGAAUAGAACUUGCUCAUGGUAGAAGAUUGAAUAUUAUUCAUACCAAAAAGAUCCUUUCUUCCAAGGAGACAAGCUCUCCUUGCUAGCUCUUGCCUUGCUCUACUACUAAUCUAGACUAAAGAUACAAGUGAGAGGUGUGAGGUAAAUUGACUCCAAAUGAUGUGUGUGUUGAAAAGGGGGGAGAGCCUCUCUUUUUAUAGUGGAACUAGGAUGGUUUGUCGCAUCUAAAUUUGGUAGUAGGUGAAACCGUCCUAUGCAUGGCAGCAUGCAACCGCCUGAGAAAGAUGGGCCCGGUUUGUCGCCUCUAGGGGUGCGCCCGCACCAGGGUGCGGUCGCACCCCAGGUGGGUCCCCCUAGCCAUGGUCUUCCAAGCAGCAAGUGACACACCGACAUAGGUGCCACAUCACACUCCACUAUGUCAACAUAUUCACCAAUCUUGAACGGAACUUUCUUUUUAUAUCCAAUCUUGACAUCUCCAAAAUCAUUCAGCCACUGUACAUGUAUGGAUGAGGGUGUCGUAGCAGCUUCAGGCCAAGUUUAUCAGUCAUCUCAUGACUAGCAAGAUUAUUUCAGCUUCCUCCAUCAAUAAUCACCUUCACCACCUUAUCAUGUACCUUUGCUCUGGUUUGAAAUAAAUUAUGUCGCUGCCCAUUUUCAGCUUCUUUCAUUUGAACACUCACGAUUUGAGUCACCACAAGAGCAGCACCAUGCUCAAAUUCACAGCCAAUAUGUUCCUCAUCUUGAUGGGCCUCAUCAACAUGUUCUUCCUCAGCUUGCUCUUCACUGGCUGAUUCAAUUUCUCCACUAUCAUUCACAAUGACCACACGAUUAUUUGGACACUCUCUUGAUACAUGUCCACGGCCUCCACACUUGAACCACUGAAUUCCACUACUCUUGGAAAGUGGAACCCACUGAAGUAUUGUUUGAUGCUGCUGGUUUUGAACUUGGGACAGCAGUGUUCUUUCCACUAAAAGUACCCUGAAAAUUAGAUCGUGAGCCUCCACUUGAGCCUUUCACCAUGGAUGGUUCAGCAGAAAACAUAGUGAUUGAUUUGCUUCCUCCAGAGAAGUUCCUCAUACCAAAGGACAAGGACUUGCUGCUCUUAGCAUCUUGCUGCAAUUGACGUUCAGUUUUGGUUGCUUGAUGUACUAAAUCAAUAAGAUGACGGUAUGGCUGAAACUCAACAAUGCGCUGAAUAUUGCGAUGCAGCCCAGCCAUAAAACGUGCAAUAGUUUGCUCUUCAUCUUCAUACACAUUAGCUCUAAUCAUAGAUUUCUCCAUCUCCUUAUAAUACUCUUCAACAGAGAGACUUCCUUGCUUCAAAUUCUGCAAUUUAUCAAAAAGAUCACACGGAUAGUGCUUCGGCACAAAACGACUUCUCAUUUCUCUCUUCAUUUCAUCCCAAGUUGCAAUAGGAUGUCUUCCAUCUUCUUCACGAUCACUGAGGAGCUGCUCCCACCAUAUCAGAGCAUAUCCUUCAAACUCCAGAGAUGUCAUUGCCAGAUUCUUCUCUGUAGAAUAAUUAUGCAAGCGAAAGAUUUUAUCCACUUUCAGCUCCCAAGUGAAAUAAGCUUCAGGAUCAGACCCACCAUCAAACUUUGGCAUGGUAAACUUCAGUUUUCCUAGCCUCUCCUCAUGAUUGCCUCUUCUACAAUGUCGGCGACCAUAUCGAUAUUGAGAAUGAUCAUCAUCAUCCUCUUUUUCAAAUUCUUCAUCAUCAUGAUUUCUUCGACCUUGACCUCUUCCUCUACCUCGGUUCCUCCUUCCUUGUUCCCUUGAGCUUCUACUAGCAGCACUUCUAUCACUCAUAUCUCCAUCUUCACCAUGGUUGCUUGCUCCAUCAUGAGGUUGGCGACGCCUUCUGAUUUCAGUCAUAAGGUUCUGAACAUCUUGUGUCAACCUAUCUUGCUUUUCUUCUAUGCUUUGUCGGAGUUCAUUAAAUUGUGCCAAAGUGACACAAUCCUCUAUUCCAUCACCCAUCUUCCUGUAAGGUUAACUGAAUACAAAUAAUUUGUAUUUGUGGAAUAUGAAAAUUUGGUGGCCCUCACAACUCACCUCUCUAACCACCGAAGCUCUUAUGAAUUCCUCUGCUGUAGAUUAUAAGGAAAACAAAUGUGUGGUGGCAACUGAAAGUGAUGACGAGGCGAAUACAAGAACAAAGACUACCGAUUAAGAUNNNNNNNNNNNNNNNNNNNNNNNNNNNNNNNNNNNNNNNNNNNNNNNNNNNNNNNNNNNNNNNNNNNNNNNNNNNNNNNNNNNNNNNNNNNNNNNNNNNNAGCUUGGUGGGGAGUAAUACACAAGGAAUGCAAUUUGAGUUCUAGUUUUUGUAAAGUUAAGUAGCGAUCCAAACUAGAAGUUCUCUGCCUAGUGCUGAUCAAAAGAUUCGAAGUGUAUAAAUAGAUCACACACACGCAAAGAAAUUUCAGAAUUGAUGCAAACAAGGAGUGUGAUUGGGAUGCAAGUGUUGCAGUCAGACCCAACCAAAGUUUUGCACCAAACAAAGAAAGCAAACUGGUUGCAGAACUUGAUAUGAAACUUUCAGCACCUGUGCACAUAAACCAACUAAUCUUUCAGAAUUUCUCUCUGAACCUUUCUCAACUAUUUUUUUACUUCACUUCUUUUUUGCACUUUCUUUUCUUUUUUUGGACACACUUUUUUUAUAUAUAGAACUAAAAAACAGGGAUCAGAUUAUGAUACUUACACAACUAAAAACAGAAAUAAAGCAACAACCAGUAGCUAAAUAGGAUCAAAGUUAACACAAAGGAUGAUAUAGGCUAUAGAGAUUUUUUUGUGGGGAUUUUUAGAUAUAAAAGAGGCACAGAGAACACGCGAAGGAUAAUUAUCAGCAACUAAAACAAAGACUCUAAUGGACUACGACUUAACCGAACUCACUAAAAUAACAGAUUGAUACAUAGGUCUAAGCAAUAUAUUUUUCUGGCUUUUUGGUGGAUAGGACGAAGCAAAAUAUAUAUGUAGCUAGGGAUAAAAUUCCUACCAUGGUAACGAAAGCUCUGAUACCAGAUGAUGCGACACGUUGUCCCGAUCUUCACGACAUAGGAAGAACACCGAUAACUAGCUGAAGAACAGCCGGAUAACGUGCUGCAAGCAGCGAUAACUAGUGCAAUCUGGCAAAUAAAACUCGAAGCCAACCACCGUCUUUAACCGGCAACCUGAAUCGAGGAUUCGCCCAACCACACUCUAAAAGAACCAACCAACACAGCCUACAAUCAAUCAAGGAAUACCUUGAAGGGAGUAGGAGCACCAAUUGGGGGCGGAUGAAGCCGUUGCCUAUGUAAUUCCGCGAGGAAAUCACAAGAGCAAGGGGUAGAGAUCACUCUCUGAAUAUUUGCUAGCACACAGCUAAACAAAAGGGGUUCUGUAUUUCAAUUAUCAAAAGUCUAAGAUUACAAUGAGUCUUAGGGGUUAUUUAUAAUAGCAACAGCCCUGCUAGAUAGGUAUGAAAACGAAAUAGAGUUUCUGAGGGAAGGCAGUGUGAAAGGUCCCCUCAAAAUGGAUUCCCGAAGUGGCUUCGCGUGACUGUUGGCCUCCAGAGUAGUUUCCAAUAAACUGACCAUAACUUUUUAUUGGGAAGUCCAAAUGAUGAACUGUGUAUUAGGUGUGAAACUAGACUCAAAGGGAUUUCCAGCAAUGUAUGCCUACCAGCACGAAACAUUGUAGAUUGGUACAGUUUUACUUGGCAACUCGUACCAACAUUCUGUCACGACAGACCGUUGACCUUCUGAGCAGUCUGUACUAAUUCUGGUUUGCAGGCAAUAUGGAGUAUCCAAACUGGUUGCCACUAGAUUCAUUAGAAAGUAGACUCGUCAAGCUUUCCAACAAGUCCUCAUGGACCUUCAUAUAUUUUGUGAGUAAAAAGUUAGAUUUCUUUGCACUAGUCCAUUUUUGACUUCCACUGGUCCGUUUUUGACUUUUUCUGGACUUGCACUGGUCCAUUCUUCAGGGUCCGAUUCAUCCUUCUCUUCUUCUAUAUACCUGAGUACAAUCAAGGUACAACACUUAGGUAGUAUAUAAUUCUCAUUAGUGUUAAAAUAAAUCUCACAAAGUAGCACGUGGACCUCUUGUUGUAGCUUCUUUGCACGACUACGUGUAAUCGGUCCAUUGAUGACUUGGGCUGGUGUCGGUGUAGGUGAAACUUGAGUGGAUGUAGCUUGACUUGGAGCUUGUGACAUCUUGCUUGGUGGCAUGGUCAUAUCAAUAAUUAAUAGCUUUCUUGAAAGAAUAUAAAGAUUGUUUUGCUUGGGAGUAUUAUGAAAUGUCUGGUCUUGAUAGAAGGUUAGUUGAACAUCGGCUACCAAUUAAACCUAGGUAUCAACCUUUUAAGCAAGCUCCAAGAAGGAUUAAACCAGAGGUAAUGGCCGAUGUCAAAGCAGAAAUCACUCGAUUUUAUGAAGCAAAAUUCAUUUGGCAAUGUCGAUAUGCUGAAUGGAUUUCCAGUGUGGUUUGAAUAAAGCUACCCCUAUGGAUAGUUAUCCUAUGCUUGUUGGUGAUAUGUUAGUUGAUGCACCAGCAGGACAUAAAGUCAUUAGUUUUAUGGAUGGUAGUGCCUGAUAUGAUCAAAUCAUAAGAUUGCUUCUAGAUGUCCUGGUGCAUUGGGUUUAUAUGAGUGGGUAGUCAUGACUUUUGGACUCAAAAAUGUUGGUGCAACUUAUCAGAGAGCAAUGAGUUAUAUCUAUCAUGAGUCAGCAAGAUUGUUGAAAUUUAUAUAGAUGAUGUAGUUGUGAAAUCCAAGGAUUAUCAAGAAUAUUUGGAAGAUCUCAAGAAAACUCUUAUGUGUGCCAGAAAGCAUGGAUUGAGAAUGAAUCCACAUAAGUGUGCUUUUGGAGUAUUGGCUGGACAGUUCUUGGGUUUCAUGGUGCAUGAAAAAGGGAUUGAAGUUGGGCAAAAGAGUUUUGAAGCAAUUAGCAAGAUAGUACCUCCAACUUCAAAAUCUGAAUUGCAAUCUUUGAAAGGCAAAUUUAUUUUUGUUAGAAGAUUUAUUUCGAACUUAUCAGAUAAGAUUUUGUUGUUCUCUGCAUUGUUGAAAUUGAAGAGUGAUCAAGAAUUCAAGUGAGGGAACAAACAACGAAAGGCAUUUGAAGAUAUUAAGGAAUAUAUGAAGUCUCCACCAGUUUUAGUACCUCCUUAGAAGGGAAAGCCUUUUAUGUUGUAUGUAGCAGUCGGUGACCAUACUAUUGCAUCGGCUUUAACGCAAGAAUUUGAAGGAAAAGAAAGAGUUAUCUUCUAUUUAACUAGAAGAUUGUCGGAUCCAGAAACUAGAUAUUCACCCAUUGAAAAGAUAUGUUUAUGUUUGCUUUUCAUGUACUAAACAUAGGCAUUAUUUGUUGUCUUUGGAAUGCACUGUGGUGUCCAAGUUUGAUGUGAUCAAACAUAUGCUAUCUAUGCCUAUUUUGAAUGGGAGGAUCUGUAAGUGGAUUCUUGCAUUAUCAGAAUUUGAUUUAAGAUAGAAAUCAGCUAAAGCAGUUAAAGGUCAUGCUAGAGCUGAUUUCAUUACUCAUCAUCGAGAAGGGGAAGUGACAAUGUUGGAAUAACCCCUUGGGCUUUAUUCUUUGAUGGAUCUACUUGCAAGCAAGGAGGGGGUGUCAGUAUUGUGUUGAUUUCUCCACAAGGGGUGAGUUUUGAAUAUGCUAUUCCCAUAAAACCAACAUCUACUAAUAAUCAAGUAGAGUAUGGAGCUGUUCUUAAAGGUAUUCAACUUCUACAUGAAGUAAAGGCUGAGAGUAUUAAAGUUUUUGGUGAUUCUCAAUUGAUAAUUAAUCAAUUGCUCGGCCUAUAUGAAUGCAAAGAGGAUGUCCUGAGGAAAUAUUAUGAAGAAGGCCAAGAACUUCUUAAUUCUUUUUUUUCGUUAUGAUGAAGCAUAUUCCCAAAAUCCAGAAUCAAGAGGCUAAUCGGCUAGCUCAAAGUGCUUCUGGAUAUCAGCAAAUUAUUGAAAUUUUAGCCGAUGAAGUUGUUGUUGAUAAAGAUUGGAGAAAGGAUAUUAUCGAGUAUUUGAAUAAUUCAGCACAACAAGUAUCCAAGAAAUUGUGGUACUUCUUGAUGAUUAGCUAUAUCAUAGAACAAUUGAUGGUGUGCUCCUUAAGUGUGUCAACCGAGAAGAAACUAAGGUUUUAGUGGGAGAUAUUCAUGAAGGAGUUUGUGGUGCCCAUCAAUUUGCUCAUAAGAUGAAGUGGAUGAAAAGAAGAGCAGGUUAUUUUUUGCCGACCAUGUUGAAGGAUUGCUUCGAGUAUUAUAAAGGAUGUCUAGAGUGUUAAAAGUUUGGCAAUAUUCAAAAUCUCCAAUAUCGGCUAUGAACCCUAUUAUGAAACCAUGGCCAUUUACAGGUUGGGGAAUAGAUCUAAUCGGCCAGAUAUUUCCAUCGUCAAGUAAGGGACAUAAGUUUGUUUUGGUAGCAAUGGAUUAUUCUACUAAGUGGGUGGUAGCUAUUCCUUUAAAGGUAGCAUCAUCAGCUAAUGUGAUUGAGUUCAUCCGAGAACAUAUUAUUUAUAGAUUUGGGGUCCUUAAAUCCAUUACAAUUGAUCAAGGGAAGAUGUUUACAUCCAAGGAGUUUGAAGACUUUGCUGCCAGUACUAGUUUUAAAUUGAUCAAUUCGUCUCCUUACUAUGCCCAAGCUAAUGGACGAGCAGAAGCUUCUAAUCCGAUUCUUAUUAAGAUCAUCAAGAAAAAGAUCAAUGAAAAUCCAAGGAAGUGGCAUUCAGUACUCAGUGAAACUCUUUUGUCUUAUACGAUGGCUUGUCAUGGAUCGACUAAAUGUUUAGCAUAUGAGUUGGUUUAUGGGCAUGAAGCUGUAUUGCCAUGGGAGAUUAAUCUAGAAUCUCAAAGGAUAUCACAGCAAGACAAAUUGAUAGCCGAUGACUACAAGAAUCUUAUGUUGGACAAUUUAGAUGAUUUGAAGUUUCAUUGGCUAAAGGCUUUAGAAAAUAUUAGAGCUAACAAAAUCAGGUUGCCAUGUUCUAUAAUCAAAAAGUGUAAGAAAGAAGACUCAGUGAAGGUGAACUGGUUUGGAAGGUAAUUUUGCCGAUUGGAUCUAAAGAUAGUAAAUUCGGCAAGUGGUCACCUAAUUGGGAAUGACCAUUUCAGAUUACUAGGGGUUGCUCCUAGAAAUGCUUACUUUUAUGAAACUUUGGAAGGAGAAUAGUAUCCUAGAGCUAUUAAUGGAAAAUAUUUUAAGAAGUAUUAUCCUAGUGUCUGGGUAGAUCUACUUUAGUUGAUCAAGUCAUACAAAGAGAUGUUUUGAUAGCCCAUACACCAAGUAUGGCCUUUAGUAUAAAAAUUCAGAGUGUUAAGUUGUCAGGAAUAUAUAGCCGAUACAAUGAGUAUCGCCUUCAGUUCAAAAUUUUAAGGGGUUUUGACAGUAAAGUAAUUGAUACAAUAAUAUUCAGUGUUCAGAACUAUAAUUUAUAGCCGAUAUAAUAGAUAUCGCCUUUAGCACAAAAAUCAGAAACACAAAGAAUGUUUUAUUGGUUCAAAAUCAUAUUAAAAUUGCCUCGGUGGGCAAUGUCACAGACAGUGGAUUAGCAAAACAAAAUAAGAUAAAACUGCCUCAAGUGCAGUGUUCUUCAUUGAUCUAGAGGAGUUUUUACAUUGAUCAAAAAUAAAAAAACUAAAUUAAUCCUCAUCGUCAUAGACAGGGCUGAUGAUGUCUGACGACGAUGAGGCCUGCACCAUUGCAUCGGCGUAGGGGGCGAACUCCUCCACCAGCUCAUCAAAGUCUUCGUUGUUGCAUUCCUCGAUGAAGUCCAGAGAAAGAUGCUCUGAGACUUGGGCUCCAUAAUGGAGCUAGUUGGCUAUCAGUGCAGCGCUGCUCUUGAGUGGACGCCAUGGAGCGCAAUCUCCCGGACAUGAUCAGGCAUGUCUUGGAGGCGCUCCAACUAGGUCUCCCCACGAGCGUUGACCAUCCCGGUGACCGCGGCGACGGCAGGGGUGAGGGUGUUGAAUUGCUCCUAGGGCACUGCGAUCAACAAAAUACAUUGUAUCAACAAGUUUGUCGAUUAACUAAAAAGAUAUAGAGAAGAUGAACUUACUGGCGAUGGUGGAAUUAGACUCUACUAAUUGUUCCUUGGACUGGGCCAUGGAUCCCUAGGUGUUCUCCGUCACCGCUCCAAAGCGUUGUGCUGCUCUUGGAGGCGGUGGGACCUCUUUCACUCCUCGGAGUAGAGGUCCUGGGCUACUCUAAGACGCUGGAGGAAGCUCCAGGCGUCUUUGUGCCUGAAGACGGCAUCAUAGCCAAUGGGCUCCGAACAUGCCUAGCUUGCCUCAAAUUGCCUGGUUCACAGCAGCUUCCUCAAAGGCUACUGCUACCGGAGGUAGAGAAGAUGCCAAUGCCUUAGGAACAUGGUUGCUCAGGCCUGCCCCAGGAUUGAUUUAGUGGGGCAGGUGAUAAGUAAGUUUAGAAUGAGAUUGUAGAAAUUGCUACACUAAGUUACCUAUUCAAAGGCCUGCGUUGUGCAGAGUUCACCUCACCGGAUGAAGAAGGUGAUGCGGGGCACUUGCCUCUGCUGUCUGCCAUUCAUUGGAAGGUUACAGUUCUUGGGAGAGAAGGCAAGAGGCUUGAAAGAUUGAAAGGUUGAAUAUGCAAGUCUGACUGUGUGACUUUUACCCUUAGAGCUCUGGUAUUAUUUAUAAUGGGGUAAGUGAAAGUUGAAGCAGUUUGUAGUUAAUCCCCUAGAGAAAGUGGUUCGACUAUCAUCACGAUGAUUCCUUGAAUUUGGGGUGAGUGGAUCGGCUAAACAUAAAACAUCUCCAUAAUCCUAGAGACGUGGGUGACAGAGAAUAACUGAUCAACUUAACUAUGACCGCGGAAGACCUGAGUAGUGGAUCGGCUAACUUUCCCGAUAGAAUUCUACUUUACUUCGAUUCAGUUGGCAUUUCUGAUGAGACUUUAAACAAAAGUACAUAUUGCUGGAGAGGAAAAAACAAGUCUAAGUAAAUAAAAGUUAAGUCUGAGAAUUACAAGAUGCAAAGUAAAUGACCAGAGUGUUCAAAUUACGUAUUUAGAAUAAACUUAAUUUAUUUUAAAGCUAAAAGCCUAAUGCUAUCUAUUUCGGCUAUCUGUUGCUGAUCUUCUUCAGCUGAUCCAGGAAUCUUGGCUUUCUUAUAUUGCUUAAUUUUGUCAAGCUUAGCCUUCAAGGUUGCCAUGUUCUUUUUCUAAUUGGCUAAAGAUGCAGGGAUUUGAGAUAAAGCUUCUUCCUUCUAUUUGAUUGCAUGUUCUACAGUCUUCAACUGAGCUAACAGUUGUGUCCUUUCUUCAUUAAGAGCAGCCAAAUCUUUGUUGAUUUCAGCAGGAGAUUCUUUGAGGAGAUCGACUGCCUUCUUAACUGAUAGGAUUUCUUGGAUGCAUUGGCUUUCAGGAGCAGCUGAGUUCUUUUGAGCUUCUCUAGCUGCUAAUCUAGAUUGAGCGCUAAGGAAUUUAGGGCCAUUGGCUUCGAGGAAUGCAGCUGGCUGAAUCAUUUCUUUCAAAGAAGGAGUAAGAUCAUCUUUGAUGUGAUUGAAGAUCUCUCUGAUAGAACCUGCAUCUUGAACUAAAAAUGAAACGUCUAGCUCCAGAUGGGUGAUCAAGCUUUGUAGUUGAGCUUUAAUGUAGUCAGGUAUCAUCAGUGGAGUAUCUUAUGAGAUCAGGAUUGUUUCUUCAUCAAGAUAUUCAUCUAAGGAGAAUGGCAGAUCAGGUGAAGAAACCUAUUCCUGUGUUGAGCUAAACAAAUUAGUGUUUAUCAGGAGAUAUCAGUGGAUGAUAAUAAGUGGUUUGAUAUACCUAUUCUACUGAAACCAUGGUAGAGCUGGGAAUAGCCGAUGAAGCAACUUCAAGAAGUUGAAGGUCUAGAUUCAUGGAAAUGAGUUAGUAUAAGUAAAAGGAUUUAUCCUAUCGGCUGUUGUAUGGUGUUACCUAAAGAUACUUCUAGGAUUGUGCCCGGGUUGGGAAUAGCAUCAUCAUCACUGCUGGUGAAAGAUAAGCCCUCUAGAAGGUCAGGAAGUUUAGGUCCCUUUUGAACAGUAGAUUUGUGGGCAACAUCCUAAAAAGUAAAGAGUUAGCUAAUGCAUAGGCAUAUUGUAUACUUAUGAGUUAACAGAAAGGUUACCUCGGUGGCUGCAUCAGCUAAAGACUUGAGCUAUUUUGAAGGAGUUACUUUGGUCUUCUUCAAGGUUGCCUUCUGAGAAGCAGCCAAUUGCUUUCUUUUUAGUGUAGCAAUCAGCUGAUCUUCAGGUAAGUCUAAUGCUGGCUUCUUCAAUAAAUCUUUUAGAGGAGGUGCAUCAGAGCCUAGUCUUGGGUUAGGGCACCAUAUAUCAUAGGUCACCAGUGGAGGGUUCAAGCUAGCAAGAUCUUGUAGACAAUUAAUAUAAGUGAAUCUAUUCUGAGGUGACAGAAAUAUCAAAGUGUAGUUUAUUAAACAUACCUCAAGUGCAGCUUGGAAGUCUAGGUCUAAGGAGGAGCAGUAAACGGAUACUAGCACAUUGAAGAUAUGUUGGCUCCACUCUUGCCACCAGUGAUCAAAAGCUGUAGAAGUGAAAAGGGUGCACUCCCAUCCGCUAAUGGCUUCUGGCAAUAGAGAUUGUUCAAAAUGAAGAAUUCUGUUGUACUCUAUUCCAGCACUAACAGUUUCCCUUAGUUUCACCUUAUCAGCAAAGAAUAAGGCUGUGGGCAAUUGGCCAAAACCCAUCUAUCUGGCUACUAUUGAGGGAUAGAAGAAUUCAUAGGAAGUUGGGGGUUUCUCUCUUCCAUGUCUGACUUCAACAGGCAGAAGACUUGGCCUUACCAAAUGGCUCAGAAUUUUGAAAUCCUAAGGAUCACUAUAAAUGGUCUAAAAUCUGAAUGAUGCUGGGAGUUCAAAUUUUAGAAUAUCUGAGUGGACAAACCACUCUAGAUAUGCCUCUUGAGAAUUUCUAUAGAAUAAUUUGAAGAAGUCAGUAGUCGAUCUAUCAAUAGUGAUUGUCGAUGCUGCCUCACCAAAAGACAUACAUCGGCAAAAUUUUUGAUUUCUUGAGAGUUGUUCUUCUUGCUCUUCUAGGUAUUCUAAGGAAAAAGGACAUAUUGAUCGGUUCUGGAGUUACUAACCUCUGCAGAUGGAGAUUGAGCCAUAACUGCAACAACCACCAGGGACCUGUGAUGGUUGGAAUAGUCUUAUUCUCCAUCAGAUAUUGUGAAACUCUGUUCAAGAGACUAUGCAGUGCUCCAAGGAGAUUCUUGCCAAGUGGAAUUUUAGAGGUUCUUGGUAUUUUCUCUAACAAAGUAAGAUAAUUGGAGGUUGGAGAGCAAGCCUAUCCACAAAAGAGACAUCUGUCCAACCACAUGUUUAGGAAAGCUAUAUGUUCCCUAUCAGACACACAUCUAUUAUCAGACUUGUGGCUAAUAAUGUAUGGGGACCAACCCCUAGUUCUAAUGCUAUCUAGCUUGACAAACGGUUUCACUAGUAAAUUGAAGGGGUUGACCUGUCCUGCAAUGUUGAGGACUAUCAGCAUGUGGACAUCAGCUAAUGUUGGGGACAACGGGCCUUGUCUGAAGAGGAAGACAUUGUAGGUGUUGGACCAAAAGAAACAAGUAGCCCUAAGCAUAGGUUCAUUUUUCUUGAUAUCAGAGAGGGACAAGGAGAUGCACUGGUCCAAGUUCCUAUGUGCCCAAUCUGCUCUAUUCUUGGCUGCCACCUUGAUCAAUUAGUUUCUCCAGCCUAGGAUGAUUGACGGCCAGUUCCUCAUUGAUGCUCUCUUAUCCCAGAGACCUAGAUGCAUGUUGGAUUCCUUGAAGGGGACUCUGUUAGUCUCGGCAAUAAUUACCUGCUAGGAUUAGGGUCACCCAUUGGACCUAGGAAGCUCUUGUGUAGAUUGCCAUCAAGUGGGAUGAAUACUGGCCCUGGAGAUUCUAAAAGUAAAAGAAAAGAGUAAGGGCAAGCUGACAGAGUAAGAUAAUUUAGGGAAGCACUGGAAGAAAGCAUACCUCUAGGAUGUUGUCAAUGGACGCCAUUGGAACAAAAGUAACUGAUUCGGUGUGUUGAGAAUGGAUCGUGUGGAGAUUUAGUGGAUUAUACUGAUUUUGAAUUUUCGACUUGGAAUACUUGGAGGAAAACUGUAACACCCGAUUUUAAGAACAAAAUCAGAUAUGCACCAUAUGUGAGUUUUAGAAGACAAGCCUCACAUAUAGCUACAAAUAAGGGGUAAUAACAAAGGACAAUGCAUAAAUUAUAUAGCGUAGAUAAUAAAUUAGAAACAACCUUGGGCAGCAAACACGGAAGAGAACUCCAAACUUCGGGAGUUAACCUCACUCUACAGGAUCCAACUGACUGGUUGAUCACAAGCCCAAAACUUCUCCUGAGGUGUGGGGGAGAUAGCAAGAUUGAGUUCAAGACGAACUCCGCAAGUAUAACAACUAGUUUGUAUAGAUCCCACAAUCUCAUGAUCAAUGUGACAUAAAUAAUAUAGAGCAUUAAACAAUAAUCAUGAGCAUAUUUACACAACAAGAUUCAUCACCCUUAAUGUAAGAAUCCCCAAGGCCGCUCGUGACCGUGAGCACGGCUAGUAUACCAAUUUUUAACACACUGCAGAGGUUGUACAUCUUUACCCAUGAGUCAUGAUUUACCCUUUCGCUCAAGGUGAUCAGCCUCGUAACCCACUACCAAGGUAGGUCGGUAGGGAUCACUAUGAAGUCUUUCAAAGGUUCGUCUAACAAGUUAGGGCCGCUUGGUUUCGGUAGUCAGUCCAUGUGAUUCUACCCCGCAGGGGAUCCACGGUCUGCUAUCCCCCAUUUGUGCCACACGGGUAACCUCUAACAAGCUACAAAAGUUACUCAUACUUGACUAAAGCCAGAGCCAUUAUAGCCCUCAUGGUUGCACUUUCAUCCCGGUUAUCACUUACGAAUAAAUCCUCAAGUUGUUAAAAAGUCAUUAUUAUCAUUUGUUGCUUUAUAUUAAUCUAGUCACAAGAUCAUGGUCAUAGAAUUAAAACCCAAAUGCUCUACUUGCCUUGAUCCAAUUGCUCCUGCUGGUCCUGCUGAUCUUACUUGCUUCCAAGGUUCUGAUAUUGAUCACCGAAGUAAUGCCACUGUCUAAUCUCGAUCAUCGAUCAUCAACACACAAACAAUCGAAGACAGACAUACACGAAGCAAACAAGAUUACAAUUAGAACAGUACACCAGCAUUAAAUAAAUAUAAAUAAAAGUUUUCCAAAAUCAUCUACAUGCUGCUACGAUCACGUCAACGAGAAAUUCACGGAAAACGGAGUUAUGACACGAAAGUUACGUUUUUAACGGGAUUUCAACAGGAGUUUAUGGACUUGUAAUUAACUAGGGAAUCUAACAGUGGCGAACCCAGACAACAAUGGUACUAACGCGAAGUUUAUGAAAUUAUGAAACUAACGCAACUUGAUCGGAUCGAAUCGGAGCUAAAACGGAGAAGAUACGAAUUUUCAAAGAUUUUAUAUAGAAAAGUAUUUAAUUAAAUAGGGUCACAAAUUAAAAAGUUCAAACUGAUCAACCAAGAUUACUAACAUGUUGAUCUCGCGAAAACGAAUCUAACACAAUUUGAACGGGUCAAAUCGGAGCUAAACGAAUAUUUUAUGGCCGAAACAAUGUAGUGGCAAUUCUGUAAUUACUGCAAAGUAUAAACGAUUUAAAUUAAACAAAAAAAUCCUGGAAAUUUCCUCGGCCACGGACUGCGGGCAUGAAUAAAAGAAAAUUGGAGGUCUCUUUGGCAAAGUUGCCCUGCGAAGGGGUAUGGGCCGUUCCUGGCCAUCAGAUUCAAGAUCAACGUGCGAGAUUAGAUGGGAGGGGAGACAGAGGGGACUGGCGGCCGGAGUUGGGGAAGGUUGCGGCGGCAGCCAUUGCCGGCGGCGAGGAGCUCGCCGGAGUAAGCCGUUCUGGCGCUACGGUGCACCAAAUUCGAAACCGCGAGUACUGGGAGAAAGAGGAGAACGAAACGAAUUCAUUCCCGAGCUCAGCACGGCCGGAGAAGGACACGCGCAGUGCGGACAACGGCGACACCAUUGUCGACGCCCUCGGUGCGUGCGAACAAGGCCUUAGAGGCCACGAAACGGAGCGAAAGAAUCACCGGGAGAAAGAGGGGGAGAAGGAGAUGCUCACCGCGGCGAGAAGCGGGGCAAAGACGGCUCGAAAAGCUGAGCGACGCGCGGCCAACGAUGGUGGUUUUCGGUGCUUGCACAAGUGGAGCAGAGGCAAGGGAAGUGAAAUGAGGGGAGGGGGAGGGCGGCUCGGGCGCGGACGCUCUUCCAAUGCCGACACGCGGGGCAAGAAGUGGUGGGGAUCGUGGGGAGCGGGGGCGCGGCUCGAUCCGUUGCUGUCGAGAGAAAGGAGAGAGGGAGGUGACGGUUGGAGAGGAAGGAACUGACAAGCGGGCCCCGCUUGUCGGCGAGAGAGAGGGGGAAAAGUGGGAAAACUGGUCGGCUGGGCUGCGGCCCAGAAGGAAGGGGGGCGCAGGGGCAACUGGGCCAAGCAGGGCGAAAAGAAGGAAAAGGGAAAAAAGUUUCCAUUUUCUUUUCCAGAUAUAUAUAUUUUUUUAAAACUCAUUUUUCUAUUGAAAUUUGAAUUCAAAACUCUUUACAAAUUCCACACAUCCCAAAAAUAAAUGUGCUGCAGCAUGAAUGCAUCAAAAUGUUUUCUAAACUUAUAUUAAAUUUUAAUUCCCCAAAUUUAUUUAUUUUUCCUAUAUUUUUUAUGCUCACAAAAAUUAUUUAAUUAAAUCCAAUUCAUCUACUUAAAGGAAUGAAAUUUUGGGUGUUACAAUUCUACCCCCCUUAAAAUGAAUCUCGUCCUCGAGAUUUGGAAGAGGCUCAGAUCCUCUGAGAGAAACAAGAAAAUAUAUCUUGAUAAUCCUUUCAACUUCACAACUUGCAUACCAAACUUAAACACUUGUCUCAACGUCACACCUCAUGAACAUAAUUUUCAUUAAAUACUAUUAUUCAUAACUGACCAAAGUCCAUCUUGACUACUAAUUUCUUUUAGCUUACAACUCCAAGAGACACGGAAACUUAAUAUGCAUUUGUCUCCUCAGGUAGGAGUGGACUACCGUGAUACUCCAUUCUUUUUCCUGAUGGUGCUAUUAAAAACAUUUUGUACUGGGUACCAUAGAUCACUCCUUUGUGUGCACACAACCAUCCAUUACAAAGGACAAAGGGAAUACUAAGUGACUCUAGCACAAUGAGGUUUAUAGUGAAGUUUUCCUUGUUUAUGACCAGAUUGAUAUUUGAGUAGACCUGAUCUGCUUGUAUUUCUCCCACUGGGGUUUGAACUAACAAAGGCUUCCUCGUUGGGCACUUCACCCUCUCGAUUGUCUUUACAAGGUCGGUAGAAAUGAAAGAAUGCGAAGCACUCGGGUCAAACAGAGCAAAAACUAACACUGAGUCCACUUGAAUAUAGCCACCCACCACUUUGGUAGCUCCAAGAAUGUUAUGCCUAUCCACAUUGCUUAGUCUUCCAUUGAUAUAGUCUCGUUGCACCCUACUUCCAUGAGCAGGCUUCUUACGGCUUUUCCUUUUUCUCUUUCGCCGUUGUGGAUUCUGAUUUGAUUCACUUCCAACUUGCUCUUGAGUAUCAUUAUUUUGAUAGCACUCAGUUUCAUCGUACUCAUAACAUCCUUCAAGGGUAGGAUCAUCAUUCUCUUCCCACGUAUCAGUAAGAGGCAUCAUAGAGGGCUCCUGAUCCAUGGGAAACUACACUCCCUGUCAUCAAAUGACCAACGUCAAUGACACAAGAAGGAGAGAUGAUUAUAUUCAUAGAAUAUCUCACGAGACAACUCUCACUUCAAGAUGAGUUGAAAAUGCAUCAACCCAUGAUAUCAAGGUACUACCCCCCUUAAGAAAGGUCGACUAGGAGGCACAAGGAAGGUAGCUUGCACUUUUUCUUGACAAGUUAUCUUGCAUUGAGACCCUUUUGACAUCCCAAGGAACUUAUGUGCAAGGAAGAAUAAAUAUCCUGAAAUUUUCUCACGAUAAGAAAAUCACCAGCGCAGUAAAAUGGACAUAACUCUUGUUCUGUUAAUCCAAUAGGGUUAUAGCUUAUACCGUUAGAAAGCUUAGAAAAUUUCCUACAACCUUUCUAUAGAACACUUUUCCAAAUUCUAUUGCUAUGUUUGUCCAAAACAGCAGGCAACCAAAACUGGUCCAUGUUCUUGACAGCACAUCUAUAUCGUCUUGUGAUUUUUGUAACUUCCAAACCAUAAUAGCUAUGAGGGUGCUUCUUGUGGUCAGAGAAAGACCAUGAAGUCCACUCUCAUCCAGAAUUUUGUCAUGAUUUUUAUUCAUCCAAGAUCAGAGACAUAAGCCGAUAAAGAUGAGAUACUCUAGAAAGGCACGAUAAGGUAACAAGAGAAAAACCAAAACCCAACUAUUUAUGUCAUUAAUCCUUAUGCCUUAGACAUAUAAACUAAAUGAAAUUGUGAAGAAACUCACAAGAUCAUUACACUCAUUACAAAGAUCCAAAACAAACAUAAACAUAAAGACAAUUCAACCAAGCAGUAAAGGUUCACAAGGCACACAAACUCGACUUUCGCUGCUAGCAUUUUUAUUACACAAGGGUAUAAACUCCUAUAUCUUAAACUCAGUGUGGCUUCUUUCAUGAUACUACUGUUGGUUCUUCUGUGGACAAGACUUUACAUAGUGUCCUUCCUGUCGGCAGUGAUAACACUUUUUCUUAGUUGGAUCCUUCGUGAUAUGAUUUUCCACUGAGGUGUUGCUCCGUGUGUUAUCAGCUCGCUGACUCUGAAGGUUUGUCUCUGGCUGGCUAGCUUUCUUCCUAACUUGGUUGAUCCGUCGAGGUUCAAACUCUUUAUAAGUGAUGGUCCAUCCAUCUAUGCAUACCUCAUGAGCAGUGGGGUUAGCUUGAGAAGUUUCUUCAUCUCCAAGGUUUGGAUUUUCAUGGCCAGGGUUCAAAGCUAAAUGUGACGACUUAGGAUUUGAAUGUUGUUCACUUCCCAAUGCUAGCUCUAGUGAUUUUGCCUUCCUCUUCUUAUCCUCAUUAGUCACACCAUUUGGUUUUACCUUCACUUCCUUUUUAGAUGACCUAUUCCGAAGACAAGGAAGACCGUAAUGCCUACAACAAUGGCAUUGAUCCUGAUAUCCCGAUGUAUUACUAUCAACACCUCCAUGGGUUCUCAUAUUUUUCCAAGCUUCUGCUACUUGUCUCUUCACUGGUCGUGAGAUGCACUGCUGAGAGUUCCAAUUAUGAGUCAUUCCUUCAACUACUUGCUUUUGCAUGGCUAGAAGCUUCUCCUUGUCGAAUGCUUUUACGAGUGGCAUCUCUGAGUCCUUUUGUUCCUUCAUGUCAAUGGUCUCGUCGUUAUGAGCCAUCUAAAUAGACAAGGAGGUUGGAUUUAGAAUAGAGACAAAGUUUUAUAACAGAAUAGGGUAGAGGUAAGCAUAAAUUUUAGCAAUUAUCAAGGUUAAGGUGGAAGCAAGAAGUAAGCAGAGAUAGAAGCAUCCUAAAACGUCCGGUUCUAACUAGGCUUGCGUCCUACAGUCAGCAUUGCUUUGAUACCACUUUGUAACACCCGAUUUUAAGAACAAAAUCAGAUAUGCACCAUAUGUGAGUUUUAGAAGACAAGCCUCACAUAUAGCUACAAAUAAGGGGUAAUAUCAAAGGACCAUGCAUAAAUUAUAUAGCGUAGAUAAUAAAUUAGAAACAACAUUGGGCAGCAAACACGGAAGAGAACUCCAAACUUUGGGUAUUGACCUCACUCUACAGGAUCCAACUGACUGGUUGAUCACAAGCCCAAAACUUCUCCUGAGGUGUGGGGGAGAUAGCAAGAGUGAGUUCAAGACGAACUCCGCAAGUAUAACAACUAGAUUGUAUAGAUCCCACAAUCUCAUAAUCAAUGUGACAUAAAUAAUAUAGAGCAUUAAACAAUAAUCAUGAGCAUAUUUACACAACAAGAUUCAUCACCCUUAAUGUAAGAAUCCCCAAGGCCGCUCGUGACCGUGAGCACGGCUAGUAUACCAGUUUUUAACACUCUGCAGAGGUUGUACAUCUUUACCCAUGAGUCAUGAUUUACCCUUUCGCCCGAGGUGAUCAGCCUCGUAACCCACUACCAAGGUAGGUCGGUAGGGAUCACUAUGAAGUCUUUCAAAGGUUCGUCUAACAAGUUAGGGCCGCUUGGUUUCGGUAGUCAGUCCAUGUGAUUCUACCCUGCAGGGGAUCCACGGUCUGCUAUCCCCCAUUUGCACCACACGAGUAACCUCUAACAAGCUAGAAAAGUUACUCAUACUUGACUAAAGCCAGAGCCAUUAUAGCCCUCAUGGUUGCACUUACAUCCCGGUUAUCACUUACGAAUAAAUCCUCAAGUUGUUAAAAAGUCAUUAUUAUCAUUUGUUGCUUUAUAUUAAUCUAGUCACAAGAUCAUAGUCAUAGAAUUAAAACCCAAAUGCUAUACUUGCCUUGAUCCAAUUGCUCUUGCUGGUCCUGCUGAUCUUACUUGCUUCCAAGGUUCUGAUAUUGAUCACCGGAGCACUGCCAUUGUCUAAUCUCGAUCAUCGAUCAUCAACACACAAACAAUCGAAGAUAGACAUACACGAAGCAAACAAGAUUACAAUUAGAACACUACACCAGCAUUAAAUAAAUAUAAAUAAAAGUUUUCCAAAAUCAUCUACAUGCUGCUACGAUCAUGUCAACGAGAAAUUCACGGAAAACGGAGUUAUGACGCGAAAGUUACGUUUUUAACGAGAUUUCAACAGCAGUUUACGGACUUGUGAUUAACUAGGGAAUCUACCAGUGGUGAACCUAGACAACAAUGGUACCAACGCGAAGUUUAUGAAAUUAUGAAACUAACGCAACUUGAACGGAUCGAAUCGAAGCUAAAACGGAGAAUAUACGAAUUUUCUAAGAUUUUAUAUAGAAAAGUAUUUAAUUAAAUAGGGUCACAAAAUUAAAAAGUUCAAACUGAUGAACCAAGAUUACUAACAUGUUGAUCUCGGGAAAACAAAUCUAACGCAAUUUGAACGGGUCAAAUCGGAGCUAAAACGAAUAUUUUAUGGCCGAAACAAUGCAGUGGCAAUUCUGUAAUUACUGCAAAGUAUAAACGAUUUAAAUUAAACAAAGAAAUCCUAGAAAUUCCCUCGGCCACGGACUGCGGGCUUGAAUAAAAGAAAAUUGGAGGUCUCUUUGGCAAAGUUGCCCUGCGAAGGGGUAUGGGUCGUUCCUGGCCAUCAGAUUCAAGAUCAACGGGCGAGAUUUGAUGGGAGGGGAGAGAGAGGGGACUGGCGGCCGGAGUUGGGGAAGGUUGCGGCGGCAGCCGCUGCCAGCGGCGAGGAGCUCGCCGGAGUAAGCCGUUCGCGCACUACGGUGCAUCAAAUUCGAAACCGCGAGUACCGGGAGAAAGAGGAGAACGAAACGAAUUCAUUCCCGAGCUCAGCACGGCCGGAAAAGGACACGCGCAGUGCGGACCACAGCGACACCAUUGUCGACGCCCUCGGUGCGCGCGAACAAGGCCUUAGAGGCCACGAAACAGAGCGAAAGAAUCACCGAGAGAAAGAGGGGGAGAAGGAGAUGCUCAACGUGGCGAGAAGCGGGGCAAAGACGGCUCGAAACGCCGAGCGACGCGCGGCUAACGGCGGUGGUUUUCGGUGCUUGCGCAAGUGGAGCAGAGGCGACGGAAGUGAAAUGAGGGGAGGGGGAGGGCGGCUCGGGCGCGGACGCUCUUCCAAUGCCGACGCGCGGGGCAAGAAGUGGUGGGGAUCGUGGGAAGCGGGGGCGCGGCUCGGUCCGUUGCUGUCGAGAGAAAGGAGAGAGGGAGGUGACGGUUGGAGAGGAAGGAACUGAUAAGCGGGCCCCGCUUGUCGGCGAGAGAGAGGGUGAAAAGGGGGAAAACUGGCCGGCUGGGCUGCGGCCCAGGAAGGAAGGGGGGCACAGGGGCAAUUGGGCCAAGCAGGCCGAAAAUAAGGAAAAGGGAAAAAAGCUUCCAUUUUAUUUUCCAAAUAUAUAUAUUUUUUUAAAAACUCAUUUUUCAAUUGAAAUUUGAAUUCAAAAGUCUUUACAAAUUCCACACAUCCCAAAAAUAAAUGUGUUGCAGCAUGAAUGCAUCAAAAUGUUUUCUAAACUUAUAUUAAAUUUUAAUUCCCCAAAUUUAUUUAUUUUUCCUAUAUUUUUUAUGCUCACAAAAAUUAUUUAAUUAAAUCCAAUUCAUCUAUUUAAAGGAAUGAAAUUUUGGGUGUUACAAAAACCCUUGCUUUAAGGCCGAUGAACAAAGAAGACAGAGGAGGAAAUAGAGUAAUCAAUAUGUCCGUAUCGGUUUUGAGUUGCAAUUUUGGAAUAAAACAAAUUUUAUCCCAAAAUUUGGGGGCAUGUGUUAAUCCAAAUUUUGGUAAGUCAGGAAACUGUCAGUGGGCCUGCUUCGAAGAAGGAGGGACAACCGGAUAAGUGGAUCGAUUAAAUAAGAGGGGCAGUGAAAUUUGUCGAUCAAAAAGGUGUUGGAACAAGGCAAGACGAAGGAGACGUGUCGGGUUCAAUUAAGAAUGGAAAAGUUAGAGUCCAGGUUACCUUUUGGAGGAAAGAGUCAUAUUAGGACAUGAGACUAGGACUCCAGACUAUAAAUAUUGGGAACCGAAUCAAUGGCGGAGCCAGGAAUUACAUAUAGGGGGGCAACCAAAAAAUCAACUUGUUAAAACUAAGCAUAAUCGGCGACCGCCUAGCUUGAUUUGUCGACUUGACGUAGGUGCUCGCAUUUUCUAUAUGUAUUUUAGGAUCAAAUGUGUUAUUUUUCUGGUGGUAAAUGACACACCCUUAACAGAAAGAUGUUUGAGAUGAUUUUGUAAACCAGCUUGAGAGACGCGUCUCUAUUUUUCUAAGGUGCUUCUUAGUAUUAUCUAGUUAUGUUUUGUAUUUCCUCCAUCCCAAAGAAUUUUGGAGAAUCAAAGUAGAAAGAAUCACAAAGACUUAUGCCAUCAAAUAGGUAUUCUGCGAAAAUAUAAUUAAUGAAGAACCUAGUGAUACUUAGUUGAUAUCAUAAGUAUUACUAUCUUGUUAUAUAAAUUUUGUCAAAUUUAGGAUGCUUGGACUCUCUAAAAUUCAUACAAUGACUUAUAGUUUAGAAUGGAGGGAGUACAAUUUUACUAUCUAAAUGAUACUGAUAAGUAUAUAUAAGAAAAAUUGUUAUAUUUUUCUCUUAAUAUAAAUAAAAAUCAUAAAUUUAUACUAAUAAAAAUGUUUGUUGACACAUGUUAGGGGGGCCAUGGCCCUGUCAACCCCCCCUUGGCUCUGCCACUGAACCCAAUCCUUGUAAGAAUAUACACAAUUAUAAUACAAACCCUUUUCGGCUUCGGCCACCAACCUUAGGAGUAGGAGUAAUAGUAGUUCUCGAUGAGACCCUCAACGAAUCGAGCUGCAUCGGUUGAUUUUGACCUUCGGUUUCCUUGUAAGUUUUGUCAUGGUUCAUGUUUAGUUUGUUAUGGCUGCAUCAUUUGAACUCAUGUCAAGCUCAGUUAUGAACUAGUUAUCGAUUUGAAUUGUAUUUGUGAGACUGCAUUGCUUCAAUCUCUUAUGGAUAUCGAUUAAAAUUAGUUAUCGGCUCUAUUAAAUUGGCAAUUUAAUAGAUUCAUUAAGUUAUCAAUAUUGUUCAAAGUUUAAUGUUUUAUUUAUCGUAACAAUAUUCUACCCAAUCCAGAUUCGACACGUUGGUUUGAGAUUCAAAUCAAUACGCUUACUACAAACCCUAAGCAAUCAAUGAUUGUUAAGCGAAAUUAAAAUAAUUAACGUGUUGAUCUUGGUUGAUUACAUGUUGUGCGUUCAGGAUAUUUAUUUUUUUGUUAUGGUUAAUUUGGUAACAAUAAUUGAAUCUUACUAUAACGAAAUAAAUAGAUCUUGUUCGUACGUCAUGGACCCAUGUAUUGGCUAAAUAGUCAAUCUAGUUAAGCUCAAACGAAUAGCGUGCGUGCAUAAACCCACUUAUGCAUUAAAUGAACUAGUAAUCUGUGUUGGAGUUAUUGAAGCCCGCUAGCCUUUAGACCAGGUGAAUAUAGAUUUAAUACAUAUUAUGAAAGUGAUUUAUCAAAACUGCAGGCCUUUAGACAUGUUUUAAUAAGUUAUUGUUUGUUUAAUGAAUGAAAGGAUAAUGUACGUAAGCUAUCUCUCUUUUAUACACAGUGUAUUGGCUAAAAUAGCCGAUACGGUCAUUCAUACCCAUAAGAUGCAAAGAACAAAUGUUCCAACCUAGUUCUGGAUGAUCGGCAGUUAGCCAAUUUGGCCUUUCAAGGAUUGCUGCCACAUCUCAAAGAUAAGUAUGCCUCUCAAGAAUUUGAAAGUUUAAGUCAUUUGAUGCAGAGGAUUUCUGAUCAAAAUGUCAAGGCUUUUGAACCUAGGAAGACUUGGAAUAAAAAGGUAUCAUUUAUUGAUGAGGCAGGAAGUUCUAAUUCUGAUGAAGAACCAGUCAUCGGCUUGGCAGAAUGGGUAAAAAAUAAGAAGCCGAUGUCUUGUCCUUUUGGCCAGAAAGAACUAGAGAAAUUUGCUUUUGAUAUCUGUUGGGUAUUUUAAACGCAAACAGAAAAAUCCGCAAGCGUACGGAUACCGAUGUAGCUUUCACCCGGGAGUAUUCCAGAGUAUCGAUUUUCCACAGAGAACGUGAGUGUACUAAUUAAGAUCCAAGAUCGCCCAAGGAUAACUAUAUAAUUAUUUUUGGUGGGAAGAGAGAAAGUUUCCUGAGAGUUCUCUAGUUGAUCUAAGAAUCAAGAAUUACUUCAAGAUUAUUUAUUUCAGGACAUCAUAGCACUAACCACAGAAAGAGAUGAGAAGGGGGCUAGGAAGGUCUGACUACGGUCCUACAAACACCGAUCCGAACGAGGUGGAAUACGUCGACCGUUAGGGCUGUCACUACCCUAAGGCUACCACAACAAUCCGCAGGAUUGGGUGCAAUUCCAGGUAAUUGCAAGACUAAACACCACGUCUAAUCUAUUAAUUACUACUCUAAUGUUGCAAAGAUUAGAGCACUUGAUGCAAGCGGGAAUCCAAUAAAUAACUUGAAUGUAAAUAAAAGUAAUUAAAGAACUCAGGAUUAUGAAUUGAAGAACCUGGAGAACGAUGAAGAACGAACCAGUUGCUGCAAAAGUACAAUGUUGAGGAAGAUCCGACAGAUCCGGCUCCUCCUCCGCUCUCCUCUUCUCUCUCCCUAUUUUCUAGAUUACAACUAGAACUAACUAGAACUAGAACUAGAGGAACUAGAACUAGAACUAGAUGAACUAGAACUAGAUCUAGAUGAACUAGAGGUAGAACUAGAAGAACUAGAGGGAUCCUCUCUACUUGGAUGAAGAAUUGAAACCCUAACUUUGAUUCUGUAGAAGAGGUAUGAUCUCCAGGGGCCAGGGGGGUCUGGUUUUAUAGUCCCUUCAAGUGAAUCUGGGCCGUCGGAUCAAACCGACAUUGAUCGUGUGGUUUUCCUUGAAGUAUUAGGUCGGUGGAGCAUGAUCCCCGAACUUCACCCUGAUUGGUCCAGGGGGAGGGCGGGCGCCCAGUAAGGGAGGGCGGGCGCCCAGUGCCCGGCUCCGUUACGUCUCCCGUUCGCUCCCGUGGCUUCUGGAGUCUUCUAGAUGAUAGAAAAUUACGCGGCACGUUAAUAUCUCUAUGUAAACCCGACGUGUGGGCCUUUCUUCCGUAUUUCCUGAUAACCCCCUGCAGAAAUAGACAAACACCAAAACUCGUGGAAUUCUAUCAGAUAAAACCCUAAGUCUAGGUGUUGGUUGCAUUUGGAUCCUUUUCCAUGAUUAGUUGAUGGUUAAAUGUGAGAAUUAAGGACCGUCAACAAGCUCCCCCAAGCUUAACCUUUGCUCGUCCCUGAGCAAAGCUAAAAUCAACAAGAAAAUAGAGGUUACUUUUAUGCCUCUUACUACAGUGUUUUUAAGUUAUCACUAAGGUCUUAAGUGAUUGAAAAAUAGAACGAUCAAGUCAAGCACUAUGUCUCAAGUUCUUCCGUCUUACCUUUGUUCUGGAGUUUUUUUUAUAAGUCUGCAAAAUAAAACUGAGGCAUUUGUCUUUUUCUCGAAAGAUUUAUAAGUAGAGCUUUAAAAGUUUUAGCAUACUUACUUUGCAUUUUGCUAUGUUAACGCUCGGAGUAAGGGAGAGGAAUGCCAUACUCCUAGAUCAAGACCUUUGACCUUUUUGAGAAGUUUGUCAUCUCUUAAUGGCAUAUUGCUUAUUAGAGGGACCAUGGGCUAUCAUUUUUUUUCUUUCUUCUUUUUUUUCAGUCUCUUUUUUUUUUCAAGUGGGCAGCAAGUUCCUCUAAUUCUACUGUCGGACACAUGUCCAUUUUUUCCACUCAGGUGGGUAUCUUUGUACCACUAAUUCUACUUCAGACACUUGUCCAUUUUUACCUCUCGUCUCACUCUCUUUUUUUUCGAGUCACAUUUUUGCAUAGUCCCAUGCCUCUAACGCAAUGAUACUUCGGAAGAGUGAAUCUUUUAUAUUUUUAAAACAAAAAGAUCUUGAUCUUGAGAGCAUGAUAAUUCUCUCAACCAAAGCUACAAGAAUUAACAAUGGCUUGAACAAAGAAAGUACCCACAGUUUUAAUAUUUAUUUCUUAUAAGACUCUAGGUAUUAUGAUAUAUAUAUAUAUAUAUAUUUUUUAUGAAUUUUUAGAUUUUGAAAAGAUAAAAUCUCCAGAACUCUAACAAAACUUGAAACAAGUUAAAUAGUAGCUCAGACCUUCUCAUAUCAUGUUUGUCAAUUACCUAGACUUGAACCAAACUCUCUUUUAUUUUAAAACUUAGGAUUACACAAAACUAUUGUAUAUUACUCAAAAGAAAAACUUUGUUUGGUUUCAUGGUUAUGCAUUUUUAUUUAUUUAUUUAAUUCCGAAUACUAGAAAAUAAAACCAAAGGAGGAAAAGUAAUACUUAUCUAGAUACACGUGGGGGUGCCUCCCCCAAGCUGGAUGUUGACAUAGUCGUUCACUCUUGUGGCCUGCAUGUUCGGUCUUACUCUUCUUAAGCUUCAAAAUCCUGCACAACCCAAAUAGACAACAAAACUCGUGGAACAUGUUAAGGGUUAGGUAAUUGUCUAGAGCUUAUGAGAGCUUAGAAUUCUAUAAACUCAAUCACAUCAAGCUCCUCUGCCAGGUUGUUUUGUGGCUCAAGAUAGAUUUUCAAGCGUAGACCAUUUACCUUAAAAGUGUUACCUAUGUCAUCUUGGAUGGUAAUAGCUCCAUGAGUUGAAGUGUCAAUAACCUUGUAUGGUCCAUCCCACUUACUUCGUAGCUUACCAUUACCAAAGAGCUUAACUCUUGAAUUGAAUAGUAGAACCUUAUCUCCAGGCUUAAACUCCUUGUGCUUGAUUCUCUUAUCAUGCCAUCGUUUUGUUCUCUCUUUAUAGAUCCUUGAAUUGUGGUAGGCUUUCUCUCUCCAUUCUUCUAGCUCAGAUAGUUGCAUCAGACGAUUCUCGCUAGCAAGGUGGUGAUCCAUGUUCCAUUUCUUGAGUGCCCAAUGAGCCUUAAACUCUACUUCCACAGGCAAAUGACAAGUUUUUCCAUAUACAAGUUGAUAAGGUGACAUGCCUAUGGGUGUUUUGAAUGCAGUUCUAUAUGCCCAAAGUGCAUCAGGAAGUUUGUCCUUCCACCCCUUACCCAUCUCAUCUACGGUCUUUUGUAAAAUAUUUUUGAUUUGUUUGUUAGAUGUUUUGGCUUGACCGCUAGUCUGAGGAUGGUAUGGUGUUGCGACGUUGUGUCGAACUCCAUGAUCGGCUAGGUACUUCCGGAAGAUUUUGUCGAUGAAGUGGGAACCUCCAUCGCUUAUAACUAUCCGGGGUAUACCAAAACGAGGAAAGAUAACUUCGUGGAACAUUCUCUUGGCAUGUUUUGAAUCAGCUGAUCGACAAGGUAGGGCUUCCACCCAUUUGGAUACGUAGUCCACAGCUACUAAGAUAUAUUCGCAAUUCCCGGACAUAGGGAAUGGCCCCAUGAAAUCAAUGCCCCAAACAUCGAAAAGUUCUACUUGAAGAUUAUUUGUGAGAGGCAUUUCAUUUCGUGAGUUAAUAUUCCCAUGUUUUUGACACCGGUGGCAUCUCCUGACAAAGUCCUUUGUAUCUUCAUACAUCGUUGGCCAGAAAAAACCACUUUGCCAAAUUUUAGCUUGUGUUCGAAAUGCUCCAUAGUGUCCUCCAUAUGGCGAGGUAUGGCAUCUUUCCAUAAUUUGAGUAGCCUCAGCCAUAGGAACACACCUUCUCAAGAGUCCAUCAGCGCAGACUCGGAAAAGAUAUGGCUCAUCCCAAAGGUGGAAACGACUAUCGUGAAGCAACUUCCUUUUGUUUACACCAGGUGGGACAUAGCCUUUUACUAUAAAGUUUACGAUGUCUGCGUACCAUGGAUCUGCAUGUGUUAUCUUAAGUAGGGUGUCAUCCCUUAGGUAGUCAUUUAUGGGAAGUUCAUCAUGUGUUUCCUUAUAUUGAAGCCUAGACAAGUGGUCGGCUACGGAAUUCUCAACUCCCUUCCUAUCUCGAAUUUCUAUGUCAAAGUCUUGGAGUAGAAUAAUCCAUCGAAUUAGACGAGGCUUAGCAUCUUUCUUAGUGAGGAGGUACUUGAGAGCAGCAUGGUCUGAAUAGAUGAUUAUCUUUGCCCCCACUAAGUAAGAUCUAAACUUGUCUAUAGCAAAGACAACAGCUAAAAGCUCUUUUUCAGUUGUAGUGUAAUUGAGCUGUGGUCCAGACAAGGUUUUGCUAGCGUAGGAUAUGACAUAGUGCUUUUUAUCCUUGGUUUGUCCUAAAACGGCACCAACCGCAAAAUCGGUAGCAUCACACAUGAUCUCAAAAGGAAGAUUCCAAUCAGGUGGUUGGAUAAUCGGGGCUGAGAUGAGUGCUUUCUUAAGAGUUUGAAAAGAUUUAUGACACUCAUCACUAAAGAUGAAAGAUGCGUCCUUAGCUAGGAGAUUAGUUAGGGGUCUAGCAAUUUGAGAGAAAUUCUUGAUAAAGCGUCUAUAAAACCCUGCAUGUCCCAAAAAGCUACGGAUUCCUUUCACAUUCGUGGGAGGUGGAAGUUUUUCAAUAACUUCAAUCUUUGCUUUGUCCACCUCUAUACCACGUCCGGACACUUUAUGUCCUAGCACUAUUCCUUCCUGAACCAUAAAAUGGCAUUUCUCCCAGUUUAGGAUUAAUUGUUUUUCUUCACAUCUCUGCAAGACUCUGUCUAAAUUCUCCAAACAAUGAUCGAAGGUUUUGCCAUAGACGGUAAAAUCAUCCAUGAAAACCUCCAUGAUCUUCUCAAUCAUGUCCGAGAAAAUAGACAUCAUGCACCGUUGGAAAGAAGCUGGAGCAUUGCACAAUCCGAACGACAUUCGUCGGUAUGCAUAAGUUCCAUAUGGACAUGUAAAGGUAGUCUUUUCUUGGUCAUCUGGGUGGAUUGGGAUUUGGUGAUAUCCAGAAUAACCAUCAAGGAAACAAAAGAAAGAGUGGUUUGCAAGCCGUUCCAACAUUUCAUCAAUGAAGGGUAACGGAAAGUGAUCUUUCUUUGUAGACUUGUUGAGUUUUCGAUAGUCAAUACACAUACGCCACCCAGUGACAAUUCAUUGAGGGAUGAGUUCAUUCUUCUCAUUCCUAACGACCGUCAUUCCUCCUUUCUUUGGCACUACUUGUACAGGGCUAACCCACUCACUAUGUGGCACAGGAUAAAUAAUCCCAGCAUGAUAGAGUUUGAGGACCUCUUUCUUAACAACCUCUCGCAUAGCAUUGUUAAGUCUCCGCUGUGGUUCCCUUAAAGGUGUAAAAUUAGGAUCAAUAGGGAUACGAUGAGUGCAGAGAAUGGGACUAAUGCCCGUGAGAUCCUCGAGAGAAUAGCCAAAAGCUGAUCUAUGUCUUUCAAGAACAGUGACAAGUUGUUGUGUUUCAUAAUCGGAAAGCUUGUCACUGAUAAUUACUGGAGUUUUUGGGUUAUUGUGCAAGAAGACAUAUCUAAGGCCAGAAGGAAGAGGUUUUAAUUCUAUCGAAGGAGGUAAAGGUUGUUCAUUUUUGUCUAGCUCAACGGGUUCUACCAACUCUUCUUCUUCUUGAACAAAGUGUUCAUGAUUAAAGAAUGGUUGGGCCAUCUCCUCUUGAGUCAACAUUAAGAUCUCCUCAAUAGGAUCUGGUACAAGUUUGGGUUCCACUAUCGUGUUAAUUGAUCUAGUAAGAGGAACAAUAAUAGUAGAAUUCCCAACCUUGAAGUCUAAAUGACCUCGUUGUGGUUGUUCUUGUAGAAGUUUCAUGAUUGGUCUACCAAUCAAGAGAGGAAUCUCCGGUAUGUCAUAAAUGUGAAAAUCUAGACAUAUUCCAGAGUCCUUGAUUCUAAUAGGAACUGCCCUUAAUACCCCAUGGCUUUCUAGAAUUAAUCUAGAUGGACUUUGUAAAAGUUUUUGAGAUGGGGUUAUGGACUCGUUGGGAUAAAGAGUGUCAGCUAACUCCUUGGAAAUAACAUUUAUCCCAACAUAUGGAUUGUAGUGGACCUUCCUAGCGGACCUUCUAAUUUGGCAUAGAAGAAUGGUUGAAGGAGUGAUGAUUCGAGCUACCUCAGGAGACAGCUCAGCUUCUGUUAGCCAUUCAUAACUUAGAAUAGCCGAAAGGCUUUUGAUGUGUUCUAUGUCAACAGAUUCUACUCUUAGAACGGAUUGAGUGGUCCUUGCUAGAGGUCGUGUUUGGAUAGGAAAAUUCGAGGUGUUUCCAAAAUCUUCAAAAAGAUCUUCCUCGAAUUCAAAGGGAUGCUCUAAAGGUGGUGGUUCAUCAUCCCUUAGUUGGUUUUGCAUUCCUUUAUCAGGAGGUUUUUCUACAACCAAAUUAAUGGAUGGGUCAGGUGAAAUUUCUAACUCGGUUGCAAGUUCCUCAUCUUUUGGUUUAGGAUCAGGCUCGACUUCUUUUUCUCCUUCAGGAAACUCAUCAUAAAUGCCUGUGUAAGGGGUAUUUUCAAGAAUUUUUUCUAGGAUAGCUCUACCCUCAUCUGUGAGUUUGUGUGUGAAUGAGCCUCCUGAAGCAAUGUUGAGGUGAAGAGCAGCUUCCUUGUUUAGACCACGAUAAAAGUGGUAGUACAGUACAUGGUCAGGCAGGGAAAGGUUUGGACCGAAAUUGGUAAGGCUUGUGAACCUAGCCCAAGCUGCUCCUAAAGUUUCCUUCUCUCUUUGUUUGAAUGUAAGAAUUUCAAUUCUAAGGUCAGCAAUUCGAAAAAGUGGGAAGAAAGCGAGACAAAAGUUGUCUCGAAGUUCAUCCCAACUUCCAUUAACACCUCCUACAGAAUGAGUAUACCACUUUUUUGCUCUUCCCAAAAGGGAGAACGGAAAUAAUUUCCAUUUAAGGGUUUCUUGUGUCAUGCCGGAAAUAGAUCGGCAAGAGCACAACUGCUCAAAUUCUCUAAGAUGGGUGUAUGGAUCUUCAUCUACUUGCCCAAAGAAGGGUUGCUCCUGAAUCAUGGCUGAGGUCAUAGCCAUCUGUAAGAAUUGGAUGUGAUGAUGGUGGUGGCUCUAAUAACUCGUCCUUUGGAGCAAAGAAUUUAUAGAUAGGAGUGAAAUCCAUGUGGUGUGGUGAAAAUGGUAAGGUGAGUGUGGUAAAAGCGAAAAGAAAAAGGAUACACGGACGACUUGGUUCGAAACUAGCACAGCUACCGUUCCCCAGCAACGGCGCCAGAAAGCUUGUUGGGUAUUUUAAACGCAAACAGAAAAAUCCGCAAGCGCACGGAUACCGAUGUAGCUUUCACCCGGGAGUAUUCCAGAGUAUCGAUUUUCCACAGAGAACGUGAGUGUACUAAUUAAGAUCCAAGAUCGCCCAAGGAUAACUAUAUAAUUAUUUUUGGUGGGAAGAGAGGAAGUUUCCUGAGAGUUCUCUAGUUGAUCUAAGAAUCAAGAAUUACUUCAAGCUUAUUUAUUUCGGGACAUCAGAGCACUAACCACAGAAAGAGAUGAGAAGGGGGCUAGGAAGGUCUGACUACGCUCCUACAAACACCGAUCCGAACGAGGUGGAAUACGUCGACCGUUAGGGCUGUCACUACCCUAAGGCUACCACAACAAUCCGCAGGAUUGGGUGCAAUUCCAGGUAAUUGCAAGACUAAACACCACGUCUAAUCUAUUAAUUACUACUCUAAUGUUGCAAAGAUUAGAGCACUUGAUGCAAGCGGGAAUCCAAUAAAUAACUUGAAUGUAAAUAAAAGUAAUUAAAGAACUCAGGAUUAUGAAUUGAAGAACCUGGAGAACGAUGAAGAACGAACCAGUUGCUGCAAAAGUACAUUGUUGAGGAAGAUCCGACAGAUCCAGCUCCUCCUCCGCUCUCCUCUUCUCUCUCCCUAUUUUCUAGAUUACAACUAGAACUAACUAGAACUAGAACUUGAGGAACUAGAACUAGAACUAGAUGAACUAGAACUAGAUCUAGAUGAACUAGAGGUAGAACUAGAAGAACUAGAGGGAUCCUCUCUACUUGGAUGAAGAAUUGAAACCCUAACUUUGAUUCUGUAGAAGAGGUAUGAUCUCCAGGGGCCAGGGGGGUCUGGUUUUAUAGUCCCUUCAAGUGAAUCUGGGCCGUCGGAUCAAACCGACAUUGAUCGUGUGGUUUUCCUUGAAGUAUUAGGUCGGUGGAGCAUGAUCCCUGAACUUCACCCUGAUUGGUCCAGGGGGGAGGGCGGGCGCCCAGUAGGGGAGGGCGGGCGCCCAGUGCCCGGCUCCGUUACGUCUCCCGUUCAUUCCCGUGGCUUCUGGAGUCUUCUAGAUGAUAGAAAAUUGCGCGGCACGUUAAUAUCUCUAUGUAAACCCGACGUGGGGGCCUUUCUUCCGUAUUUCCUGAUAACCCCCUGCAGAAAUAGACAAACACCAAAACUCGUGGAAUUCUAUCAGAUAAAACCCUAAGUCUAGGUGUUGGUUGCAUUUGGAUCCUUUUCCAUGAUUAGUUGAUGGUUAAAUGUGAGAAUUAAGGACCGUCAACAAUAUCACCAAAGCCAAUAGGAUAUUUGAUUUCUUGCUUCAGGAGGGGCCAAUUAAAUUGUCACCUAAUCAUGUAAUCCCAUCGGUAGAAGAAUUGAAAAAGAUUAAGUAUUGAAAAUGGCAUAAUGCGACUUCACAUAGUACAAAUGAAUGCAAAGUGUUUAGGUUGCAAUUGCAAUCGGCUAUAGAGUCUAGGAGAAUUAAGUUUGAUAAUUCCAAAACUAAGAGGCUGAUGAAAAUUGAUCAGCACCCUUUCCCCACUAACAUGUUAGACGCUAAGGGUAAGACUAAGGUCUUGACGUCAGAAACGGCUGAGAAGAAUGCAUCAAUAGAUCCCUAGCAUCAGAUAACUACUAAUGGCGCCAAAGGGAGAGGUUUGUUGAAGGAAGGUGAGAGUUCUGGACGGCCUCCCCAAUCUGGUGUAGUAAUCACUCAUAGACGACAACGGGAGAAUUGGCAACAGCGUGAGGAUCGGUAUCGACAUCAGCAGGAGGACCGACGUCAGGAGGAAGAGAGGCGUCGACAAGAGUGGAAUCGGCAUAGGGAUCAUUGAGAUUGUCCAUUUUUUGUACAUUGCUGGGAACAGGGUAUUAAACUACCAACUGUUCAAGAUUGUCCUGAGUGCAAUGGUUAUCGACAGCAUGAUCUAUCAAAUGAGAGAUUCCAAACCGAUAAUCAGUGUCUUGAUGGGUCAAUCAGGAGAAGAACAUCAGUACAUGAUCGGCUGGGGGCAGGCUUAACGUGCAUGACAGGCUUGGUGGACGUGUCGAUCAUUUUCUGAGGAAUGAGGAAGAACUUGAAAAGAUAGCAAACGCACGGGUUCCCGAUGAAUUCAUAUUUUGCAGAGAUUCUAACAUUCACCAUGUAGAGUUAAAGGAGGUUCGCUAUUAGUCGGUUUGGAAGACAAAGCUUCCCCGAUGGUGUCCAGAAGGAUUAAUAAGGACGCAGAGGAGGAGGAUGUAGCGGGAACGUUAUGAAGAUUUCUAUAGAGUGGAAAAUUCUGCUAAGUCUGAAGAUUGGCAGCAGUUGGACCGCAAGGGAAAGGACCAUCGGCAGAUGUCAACAUGGUGUUCAUAUUGCCAAUGGAGUUUCUUGCACCCUCUAGUGAUGAUGAGGAAAUUAGUCUCCUAGAUCAAAUAGCUCUGUUGGCACUUGAUCCAAUAACAACUAUUUUUGAGAAACCCUCCGAUGAUGAAAGGCAGCAUCUUAAAGCUUUGUUCGUUAAAGGCAGGGUUGAUGGAUAGCCGGUCUCUAAGAUACUUAUUGAUGGUGGAGUUGCAAUUAAUAUUAUGCCAUAUGUGAUGUAUCGGAAGCUUGGGAAAGGAGAUCAGGAUUUAACCAAGACCGAUCGGCAGCUGAAAGAUUUUGAAGGUAAUGUGUCUCCAGCUAAAGGGGUUGUAUGCGUUGAGUUGACCAUCGGCAGUAAGACCUUGCUGACAACUUUCUUUGUUAUUAACAGAUAAAAUUGAAGUUGUUCCUGGGGAUUCUUCAUACAUCAUUGCAUCGGCAGAAUCAGAUACUUAUGAGUGAACCAGGUGCAUAUCGAGAGAGGCUUGGGAGAAAGAUUUCCUCAAAGUUGCUGAUUACGAGAUUCCACCGAUCCAAACAGUCGGUUCUGAUGAGGAGUUUUAAUGGAUAGGUUCGCCGAUGAUGGAAAGUUAGGAUAGGGGUUUACAUCGGCUGAUGAUUUAGUAGAAGUAGACAUAGGUAGUGGUGACAGGCCAAGGCCUACUUUCAUUAGUGCUAGGUUAGAUUCUGUUGAUGCAAAAGCUGAUCUGCAAACACAAAUGGCUAAUACCCGAUUUAAACGUUAAGGCGUGCCAGCCGAUUUGACCUUACUAUCGGCAAAGGUGGUAACUCGAAUACUUUGGUCCUAACAACAGCGAUGCGCCUGGAUGUCACGGCCAAGACGUAUUCACACGGAACUUGAGAACACACCGAGCUUAAGUCGACGAAUUCCUAAGAACUCGUAAUGAAAAGAAAAAGUAUGACGAAGUCAUCGAAAAAGUAGAUGCUUGGAAUAUGAGUAAAACGUGUGUUUGAUUGAUUGAUAGAUCCCGAUUACAAAGCCCUAGGGUCCAUAUUUAUACCCUGCUCAAAGAGCUACAACCAGACACGACUAGAACUCGAAUUCCAAAUUACACAGAACCCGUAUACAAAACGACUUGAAUAACUAAGGAAAACAUAAAACUAUCCCCCCGUGACAGACUGGAACACCUCCACAAACCGAUCGGCAACUUCCAGACUCUCCCUCCAUAUCAUCGGCAAACUCCCUUGUCGUAGCCAUCGGCACAAACACAUCAUCACCUAUGGACUUGGUCAUGUUCAACCACUCCUCCAUCGGCAACCAUCCUCAUCGGCAACUCAUCCUGAUAGAUCAAACACUGCCGUCUUAUCUUACCGACCUACACUUUACCAAUCAUGGACACGUGCCCAAAAACGGUGUCAACACAUGCCCCCCAAUUUCGGAGUAUGAAAUCAUUAAUGCUCCGAAAUUCUCUGCAGUAAUGAUGCCUUUCCGCAAUUAAUGCUCCCAAUCUGGUAACCGACAGCCUUAAUCUGAACAACUCUGAUUUGAUUCUUCCGCAGAUUCCUCGAAAUCCUCAACUUCCCAAACGGACAUUUCCAUUUUAGUCACGCAUCGGCAAUAUUACUGUUACAAGGACUUGCCGAUGGACUGAUCAGGACGUCCAUAUCUUAUCCUUCCAAACGGCUAUCUCCACUUUAUUCGCCCAUCGACAAUAUGACCGUUACAAGGCGCUGCCGAUGGACCGACCAGGAGAUCCCGCCCGCACAGUAAAAUAUCUCUGGAUAAUGACCCCUUCCUGUCAAAUCACCUGCACAAUCCCUUGAUUACCAUGCGAACAGUUACCAUAUCUACCUGAGUACCCUCGGAUUUCACGGAUACGGCGAAGAGAUAAGUCAAAUUUGCCCUUGCCCGUUUUGUCCUAUAAAUAGUUCCUUCUCGGGUACUCCUUCUCCAUCACAUCAUUCCACAACUCCAACUCUACUUUCCCGGCGGCGGCGCUGUUCAAGAGCUCCAAGAUCUUCGACGAAGUCCCUUCUUCACCAACUCUGAAGCCCUCGAUCAUCCUCCUCGUGACAAGAUGGCCGUGAACUUCAUCGUUCAUGAGGUCAGUUCUUCACUCCAUCUCCUCGUGACAAGAUGGCCGUGAACUUCUCUUGUACUUUUUCUCGCACCCCUGUUCAUCCGCAAUCCGUUUUACUGAACAUUUUCUUUUUCUUUCUUUGUUUUUCUUUUACCUCCAAAACCAUUAGGAUUUGUCCAAUAAAAUUGUCAUCCCCACCGAUCAACCACACCUCCAAUGCCUUGGCCCGUUAGGGGAUCCAGAUCCAACCGACCUCAUUAACGCAGAAACCAACAGAAUCCCUUUUAGAGCCGAGAACUUUUCUUUGGAUCUGUGGAAGGAUACUUUCUGUUCUUGGCCCAGUCCUACUGUGGGAUGGACGGAUUGGUUUUUGAUGGUCAGCAACUCAAACGAAGUUCAGUGGGGCGAGAGAAAACUAGACCAAUGCAUCAGGUUGUCCAUUGCCGAUAUGCAUAGAAAUGAAUCAUUGCUGAUAGCUGCAUCAUACUUCUGGUCAGACACGCUCAACGCCUUUGUCUUUGGCCACGGUCCUGCUUCCCCUACUCUUGCCGAUGUAGCUAUGCUCACUGGCCUAGAUGUAUCUUCUGCCGAUAGCACCCACUAGUGCCAAGGUAGAAACUCGUUCCAUCGGCGGUUGGUCAGGGUAUAUUCAGAAAUAUAAACGAACUGGCCCUGUCAACAUAAAGGAGCAGACCUGCUUUCUGAACAUGUGGUUGGACAAAUUCGUGUUUUGUGGCCGAUCGGCAGGACCAACCUCCGUCUAUCUAGCAGCAGCAGAAAACUUAGCUAAUGGUGGCUGAUUUCCCCUCGGCCGAUACCUGGUUGGUGCAGCCUAACACCUCCUUCAUCAAGUGACUAGGAAACUCUUACUCGGCCAGUCUAUCGGCAACUUGGGAGGUCCCUGGUGGUUCAUCAACAUGUGGCUCAGUCUCCACAUGCACAAGCGUCUUGAAUUUGACCUUUUUGCACAACGUUUUCCAAGGGACAUAGCCGAGAACUAUAAACUAGAUGAAGAAGAAUCGGCAACACGCCCUCCCCUAAACUUUGGUGAAGCUGUCAUAGUUUUACCUGGUACAGGGGGUAAUGCAGACCAGGUCAGCCGAUUCUUCCAAACCUUGUAUGAAGGCUUGACCAGAGCGGAGCGAGCAUGAUUGGCUUAUGACGAUCCAAACACCAUGUUUCCUCUGGUUUUCAACCCGUUCAAUGAUGCUCUUGACACGGAUCACGAAGUGAAGAUGGCACUGGUCACUCCCAGAGCUAUACCAGUGAAUUUCUUUGGUAGUGGGAAAACCUCCAUCCAGACCUAUGAGUUUUAUAACCCAUCGACAUUAGCUCGUCAAUUAGCUUUCGGCCAGCUGCCGAUUGCACUCUAUUAUGCUGAUGUGAUAAAACCCAGGGAAACCAUCACUAGCCUUCUUGAAUGGAUUCGAGUGGCCCAACUGCCAUCAAGUGCCGAUACAGAUGUAGACCUGUCAGAAUGGGUUCCAGCCGCCUUCAUCACUCACGCAUACAAGCAAUGGUGGGCAGAAUGGAAGGAACAUCUGUUCUGCAGAUUGGCUCUUAUGUAUCGCGGCAUGAUCGACCCCGAGUACAAAGUUCUUGAUGACACUGUAAGUAUCUUCGAACCGAUGUUUCAAUUUUCUCAUUUUUAUUUCCAUCGGCGAUUUACCUUUGUAUCAUCUUGCAGGUUGACAACACCCCUCCAUCGGUCAGCAGGAGUGGCAAACCGAUUGACCUGUUUCCAUCAGGCCCAAUCUCCUCAAUCGGCAACAACGCUCCUACCCUGGCCGCCAUCAUGCAUCGAUGUGUACACCUCAAGAAAGUCACCACUAGGAGGACUCAGAUAUCUCCAUCGGUAGCUGCUUCCACCUUGGCACAGGUGUUCAAGGUAAUUGUUAAACCUUUUCAUUCAUACCGAUUCGUAUUUUACAUCUGCCACACUUGUACUCAUAAACCUUUUCCAUAUCAGCAGACCGGCGCAUCAGCAAACGCCAGAAGCAAAAGUGCCGAUGCCCCCCAGUCCAGUCAACCGAAGAGAAAGGGUGCCAAGAACACCAGGGCACAAGCAAAGCGCCAAAGAGUAGCAACGCCUCCUCCUCCCCCGGUAUCUCCAAUCCCGGUGGAAUCUUCUCCUUCUGCUCCAGAAGCCCAGAUGCAACAAGUACCGUCUCCCCCUCCAAUGCAAGAAGCACCACAAGUGGAAGAACCCCAACCAGAAGAGCCUCAAUUAGAAGCACCCCAGCCAGAAGAUACACCAACCGAUGUAGGCGAGCAAACUACCGAUCCGGCAGGUUCAAUCAUAUCAUCCGUAGUUUCUUCAAUCUAGACAAGCACUGUCCCUCCUCAAGGUAACAUAUUUUUAUGAGAUUAUUGCCGAUGAACCCAUCUCUUCUGUUUUACAAUUAUUUCCGUUAUUCUUUCAGCUGACAUAGUCCAACCGGCCGUCUCAGCCGAUCAUCCUGUUAUUCCAUCGGCAUCUUCCAGUGAAAGGCAGGAGAUCGCCUUAAAGCAAGUAAGUUAUCCAACCCCUGUUUGCAUCAUUUAUCAAUACCUGGCCAUAGAAUAACCCGUUUUAUUUCCUUUUUAGGAGCAGGACUCUCCUGACAGCUUAUUCUCUUUCGCCAUCGACAUCUCCGAAGAUGAGGGUGAAGAAGCAAGCUCUUCUCGGGCAGUUGUGAUCACAUCGGCAGAAGUCAGGGCAAAGCUGGAAGAAUUAUCGGCUCUCCUCCACCAAGACACAGCCCAGCUAGUCGAUGAUUCCAAUCCAGCCAAGGCUUUAUUCAAGACUCUGAGAGGCCACAUCCCCGCCGAUGCCGAAGAAGUUCUCUUUCAAGCAGCAUACCUGGAGAGCCGUCAACUGCAGUACCAGAGGGCGGCCCAGCGCCUUGCCGACAGAGCCGCUCAGACUCGUCUUUCUGAGGAGAUGAUGAAGGAAAAACUUCUUACCGAUGAAAAGCAUAAGACCAUCGGCACCCUAAAGUCCUCGGGAGAUGCUCUGAAGCACAAAAUUUUCGAUCUGUCGGCAAAAAGGGAAGCUCUGUUGGCAGAACAUAAACAAGUAGAGGAUGCCCUGUCCCAAGCCAGACAGGAAGAAAGCCAACUACCAGAGACAAUCAAGCUUCUUGAGUAAGAGCGAAAUGUCCAUGGUCGCAAAGCACUGUAGUUGAAGAAGAAGUUGAAACCAGUAGAAGGUUCUGCCGAUGAAGACGCCAAAGAGAUAGAAGCAGCCAAUCAAAUCCGCAUGCGUGCUAUAUCGGCCAUCCAAGCGCUGCUAAACAUGUGAGCCCUUCAUCGGCAACAUACUCACCUUUCUCUGCUUUCCAGCUUUCUUGAUGUUUAGUCUAGCCGAUAGGACUAUUAUCGGCAUCUUUUGAAACAUUGAGUCCUGCCCCAAACAUAUUUCAAUCCAGCCGAUAGGAGUGUUAUCGGCAUUUAAACUUUUAUGCAUCGAUCCAUAUGCUGGGGUGGUAUUUCUUUAGAUAUUUGCCAUUUAAUGCUCUGGGAAAUUCAACUCCUUCGAGAGUUUCUAAAAUGUAGGCAUUACCAGGAGCCGAUCGACUUAUCCGAUAGGGACCCUCCCAAUUGGGAGACCACUUCCCAAACUUUGGACUUUUUGUCCCAAUCGGUAAGAUUAAUUUCCACACUAAGUCCCCAUCGGCAAACUCCUUAGCUUUUACCUUCUUAUCAUACCAUCUGGCAACUCUUUUCUUAUUCUCUUCUAUACUCAUCAAAGCCCUCAGCCGAUGCCAUGCUAGAUCUUCCAACUCGUCUGUCAUCAAAGUAGCAUAAUCAUCGGCAGCCAAUUGAUCUUGAAAAGAUAAUCGCCUAGACCCAGCCUUAAUUUCCCAAGGUAAUACUGCAUCAUGCCCAUACACCAAUUGAUAGGGUGAAACCUUGGUCGAUCCAUGACAACCAUCCGGUAUGACCAUAAAGCCUCGUUUAACAACGUGUGCCACCUUCUAGGAUUUUCUUCAAUCUUCCGUUUAAUAAGCUUAAUAAUUCCUUUGUUAGACGCCUCGGCCUGCCCAUUAGCUUGAGCAUAGUAAGGAGAAGAAUUUAAAACCUUAAUCCCCAGGCCGAUUGCGAAUACAUCAAACUCCCCUGAUGUAAACAUAGUGCCCUGAUCGGUAGUAAUUGUUUGACGAAUCCCAAAUCGGUAAAUAAUAUGCUCUUUCACAAAAUCAAUCAUAUUGGCCGAUGUGACUUUCUUCAAAGGAAUAGCUUCAACCCAUUUGGUGAAAUAAUCGGUGGCAACUAGAAUAAACUUAUGCCCUUUGCUAGAUGGUGGAUAAAUCUGGCCGAUCAAAUCAAUAGCCCAUCCUCGGAACGGACAAGGCUUUAUAAUAGGAUUCAUAGCCGAUGCAGGCGCCCUUUGAACAUUACCAAACUUUUGACACCCUUGACACCCUUUGAAAUACUUAAAGCAAUCCUCAAGUAUAGUCGGCCAAUAAUAUCCAUUUCUCCUAAUCAUGCACUUCAUCGUGAAAGCCGACUGAUGUGCUCCACAUACCCCUUCAUGGAUUUCUCCCAUCAAACUUCUAGCUUUAUCAUCACCUAAGCAUCGGAGAAGAAUCCCAUCAAUAGUUCGGUAAUACAAUUCAUCUCUGAGGAGCACAUACUUGGUAGCUUGAAACCGAACCCGCCUUUCAACUUUCUUAGACGGAUCCUUCAAAUAAUCAAUGAUUUCUUUUCUCCAAUCAUCGGCACCAAUUGCCGAUAUCGUACUAAUCAUAGGCUGAUAUCCCGAGGCAUGCUGAGCCAACCGAUUGGCCUCUUCAUUAUGCAAUCGAGGAACAUACUCUAAUCGGAAGUCUUUGAAUUUCUUUAACAGUUGCAUACUCCUUUCGUAAUAAGUUAUGAGAACUUCACUUCGGCAUUCAUAGCUUCCAGCCAAUUGAUUUAUAACUAGCACAGAAUCCCCGAAGACCUCAACAGCAUCAGCAUGAACUUCUCUUAACAACUCCAAUCCCUUUAUUAAAGCUUGAUACUCAGCCUGAUUAUUCGUCGAUGUGGCAACAAUUGGCAAGGAAAACUCAUACUUCCUUCCCCGAGGGGAAAUUAAUACUAUGUCGAUUCCUGCCCCCCGGUCACAUGUGGAUCCAUCAAAGAAGAGCGUCCAAGGUACAAUUCCCAAAGUUUCCACUGCACCACAAUGUUGUGUUACAAAAUCAGCCAUAAUCUGACCCUUAACUGCCUUAGUCGAUUUGUAACGCAGAUCGAAUUCCGACAGCGCCAAAAUCCAUUUACCGAUCCUGCCACUCAUAAUUGGCAUAGACAGCAUAUACCGGACCACAUCAUCUUUGCAAAUAACAGUGCAUUCGGCCGAUAGCAAGUAGUGCCUCAACUUGAUACAAGAGAAAUACAAGCACAAGCAUAGUUUCUCAAUAGUCGAAUACCUAGUCUCAGCGUCAAUCAACCACCUGCUUAAGUAAUAAAUUACACGCUCUUUCCCUUCAAAUUCUUGAAUUAAAGCCGAACCGAUGACCAUCCCAUUGGGAGAUAAAUACAAUCUGAAGGGCUUCCCUUGCUGAGGUGGGAUUAGAACUGGAGGAUUUACUAAAUAAUUCUUGAUUUCAUCCAGAGCCAACUGUUGUUCUUUCCCCCAAACAAAUUCUUGAUCGGCUUUUAGCUUAAGAAGAGGACUGAAAGCAAGAAUUUUACCAGACAAAUUAGAUAUAAACCUCCUGAUAAAAUUUACCUUGCCGAUCAAGGACUGGAGCUCAGUCUUAUUGGUAGGGGCAACUAUUUUGUUGAUGGCUUCAACAGAUCUUCGACUGAUUUCAAUCCCCCUUUGAUGCACCAUGAAACCGAGAAACUGUCUUGCCGAUACACCAAAUGCACACUUAUUGGGAUUCAUUUUCAAACCAUGCUUCCUCGUACAUUCUAACACUUUUCGUAGAUCGGCAAGAUGCUUUGUGAAGUCUCUAGAUUUUACCACCACAUCAUCAAUAUAAAUCUCCACCAGCUUGCCGAUGAACUCAUGAAAUAUAAAAUUCAUGGCCCUUUGAUAAGUAGCACAAGCAUUCUUGAAGCCGAAGGUCAUGACUAUCCACUCAAACAAUCCAACAUGACCAGGGCACCUGAACGCGGUCUUCGGAAUAUCCUCUUCAGCCAUGAAUAUUUGGUUGUAUCUUGCAUUGCCAUCCAUAAAACUAAUAAUCCGAUGUCCAGCCACAGCAUCAACUAGCAGAUCGGCAACUGGCAUUGGGUAUCCAUCCAUCGGUGUAGCUUUGUUGAGAUUCGUGAAAUCAUUGCAAACCCAAACCUUCCCGUUCUUCUUGUAGACCGGAACAACAUUGGAAAUCCAUUCGGCAUACCGACACUGCCGAAUAAACUUGGCUUCAAUAAGUUUAGUUAUUUCGGCCUUGAUAUUAGGAAGAAUAUUAGGAUUACAUCGGCGAGCUAGCUGCUGAUAUGGCCGAAAUCCAGACUUGAUAGGCAACCGAUGUUCAACAAUCGAUCGGUCCAAACCAGGCAUCUCAGUAUAAUCCCAAGCAAAGCAAUCUUUAUAUUCCAUUAACAAAUCAGUCAAUUGCUGCUUACACUCAGGACUUAACUUAGCACUAAUAAAAGUAGGUCUAGGUUUAUCACCACUACCUAUAUCUACUUCUACCAAAUCAUCGGCCGAUGUGAACCCCUGGCCUAAUUUUCCAUAAUCGGCGAACCUAUCCAUUAAAAACCAUCUUCAAAACCGACUGCUUGGAUCGGUGGAAUUUCAUAAUCGGCAACCUUGAGAAAAUCUUUUUCCCAAGCUUCUCCUGAAAUACACCUAGUUCUUUCAUAGGUGUCUGCCUCUGCCGACGCGAUGACAUAAGAAGAGUCUCCUGGGACAAUUUCAAUCUUAUCACCUACCCACUGGACCAAGCAUUGGUGCAUUGUAGACGGGAUGCAACAAUUGACAUGAAUCCAAUCUCUUCCCAACAGUAAGUUGUAAGCACCCUUUCCACUGAUCACGAAGAAAGUUGUCGGCAAGGUUUUACUGCCGAUGGUCAACUCUACGCAUAUGGCUCCUUUAACUGGGGUUACAUUGCCCUCGAAGUGCUUGAGCAUCAUAUCGGUCUUGGUCAGGUCCUGAUCUCCUUUUCCAAGCUUCCGAUACACUGCAUACGGCAUGAUGUUGAUAGCAGCCCCACCAUCAAUUAGAAUCUUGGUCAUCGGCUGCCCGUCAACCCUUCCUUUGACAAACAGAGCCUUGAGAUGUUGCCUUUCAUCAUCGGCAGGCUUCUCGAAGAUAGCUGUCAUCGGAUCCAGAGCCAAUUGAGCUAGUUGGUCGGAGAAUUCUACCUCAUCAUCACUGGAUGGCGCGAGGAACUCCAUCGGCAACAUAAAGACCAUGUUGACAUCUGCCGAUGGACCUUUCCCCUUAGGAUCUGGUUGUUGCUGAUCCCCAGACUGUCCAGAGUUCUCCCCCUUGCUCAACUCUUCUCGCCUUUCGCGCUGCAGUCUUCUCUUCUGAGUCCUGGUCAACCCCUCUAGACACCAUGGAGGAAGUUUCCGCUGCCUUACCGAUGGGCGGCGAUUUUCUCCUGACUCCAUUCGGUAAGUAUUGGCAUCUCGGCAGAAGAUGAACUCAUCGGGAACCGGUGCAUUAGCCAUCUCUUCGAGUUCUUCCUGGUUCCUAGGAAAAUAUUCAACACGAUCCCCAAGCCUGUCGUGCACACUGAGCCUGCCCCCCAGCCGAUCAUGAACGGAUGCUCUCCCCCUAAUCGGCCCAUCAAAUCAUCGAUCAUUAUCACGAUAGUACCGAUCGGACCUGUCAUAGCGCUCAUAACCGUUGCACUCGGGACAAUCUCUGACAGUGGGGAGUUUGAUAUUUUCCUCCAACAAUGAAUGAAGAACGGGCAAUUCUAGUGGUCCCUAUGCCGAUUCCACUCCUGUCGGCGUCUUUCCUCUUCCCGACGAUAAUCCUCUUGCUGGCGCCGAUACCGAUCUACACGUUGCUGCCAAGUCUCCCGGGGCCUCCUGUGAGUUAUCACAAUGCCGGAUCGGGGAGGCCUUCCUGAGUUAGCUCCCUCCUGGAUCAAGCCUUUCCCUUUCACAUCGGCAGUAGUGAUUUGAUGCUGAGGAUCCACCGAUGCACUUCUUUCAGCUGCUUCUGACGUUAAGACCUUGGCCUUUCCCCUCGCAUCCAGCAUGUUUGUCGGGAAAGGAUGUUGGUCAAUCUUCAUCGGCUUCUGGGUCUUGGAGCUGUCAAAUUUGAUCCUUCCAGAUUCUAUAGCCGAUUGCAGUUGCUGUCUGAAGACCUUGCACUCAUUAGUGUCGUGAGAAGUCGCAUUGUGCCACUUACAAUAUUUCAUCCUCUUUAAUUCUUCAGCCGAUGGGAUCACAUGAUUAGGUGACAGCUUGAUCUGACCUUCCUGGAGUAGAAAGUCAAAUAUCCUAUCGGCCUUAGUGGUGUCGAAUGCGAACUUUUCUGGUUCCUUGUGCCCAAAAGGGCAAGACAUCGGCUUCUUAUUUUUUACCCAUUCUGCCAAGCCAAUCACUGGUUCUUCAUCAGAGUCCGAGCUUGUUGCUUCAUCAACGAAUGACACCUUUUUGUUCCAUGCUCUCUUGGGCUCGAAAGGCUUGAUAUCUUGAUCAAAAAUUCUCUGCACCAAAUGACUUAAGCUUUCAAACUCCUGAGACGCAUAUUUGUCCCUGAUGUGUGGCAACAAACCCUAGAAAGCCAAAUCGGCUAGUUGCCGAUCAUCCAGAACCAGGCUAUAGCAUUUGUUCUUGACUUUCAGUAUUCUCUGCACAAAACUUUCAACCGAUUCAUCAUUGUGUUGCCCCAAUUUAACCAAAUCGGUGAUCUUCUUCUCAUGGACCCCAGAAAAGAAGUACUUGUGCAAUUGUUUAUCCAGAUCGGCCCAGGUAAUCACUGAGUUGGGAGGUAAUGAUAUAAACCAAGUGAAAGCCGAUCCAUACAAUGAUGAUAAGAAUAAACGGACCCUUAACUCAUCCCUGUUACCAGCUUCCCCGCAUUGGAUGAUGAACCUGUUGACGUGCUCCAUGGUUGACGUGUCAUCCUGCCCAGAAAACUUACUAAAAUCCGGUACCUUGUACCGAUUCGGAAGCGGGAUCAAAUCAUAUGUGGGAGGAUACGGUGUCCGAUAAGAGUAAGUGUUGACUUUGGGUUUUAUCCCAAAUUGGUCCCUCAUCACUUCAGCGAUCUUAUCGGCCCAAUAAGCAUCGGCAUCUUGCCGACGAGGCGGUUGCGGAUCGGGCGCCUGCUGGUAGGCUUCCACGUGUCGAUGCAGCGCACGAUCUGCAUGGAACAUCGAAGUAAUCAUCUGGCCCCCAAUCUGUGGACCACCAAGCUGUUGCCUGCCAAUCUGUUGUCCGCUGACCUGGUGCCCAAGAUUUAUUGGCUGGUUGGGAAUCCCCUGAUUCUGAAACCCAGGAUAGAUCUGGCCUUGCUGGAACCCUGUAGCCUAAUGACUCUGUUGGGGCGUUUGCGGAAAAACUUGCUGCCCAAGCCAUCCAUUAUUAGCAUUCAUCGGCAUAGGUCCUGCCGAUGACUGGUAAUUGGGCAUCAUCAUCGAAUUGACAUACCCAGGUUGAGUCAUAAACCUCUGUUGCAUCAGCAAUGAGUCUGCCGAUGUGUUAGGCAUCUGGAACGUUGGAGCUUGAGAAUUCCCAGUGUAAGGUCUUGCAGUAGUAGUUGUAGUAUACUGGGGACUCUGAUUCAUCGGCAUGCUUGGGGGUGCCGAUGCCAUAGGAGCCUUGCCUCUCACAUCAGUCGCCUGCGACGUACCCGGUGUUAACUCUGGAGGCAUACCAUAACCCCACCAGUUAGGAGGAGGAAUCGAUCCUGACAUUGCCGAUGCCAAUAGAUCUGUAGCGAGUUUAAUCUGCCCAUCUGAAGUUGGUGGAUUAGUCAUCAUCGGCGUAGAUCGUGCAUUAGUGAUUCCCAACGUGCUUGGCGGAAUGGGAAUUUCUAUGCCCGCAGCGGCCGUAGCAGCCGAUGGAGCUGUGACCACCGGUGAUCCUGGCUGAUGAUGAGAGGGGCCCACAUAGUCUGGCGGCAAUUGUCCUUCCUUGAACGUUCUGGCUACGGCGUUGAAAACCGUAUUGGACAGCACACCAGCUUGGUUGAUCAAAGCACGGUUGAUAGCACUAUCAACCAUCUCUUGAAGUUUACCAGGAUUGGCUUCGAAAGUAACCUGCCGAGGCAUCGGCAGCGCAUCCUUCUGGAUCACUUCACCGCUCAUGUUUAUGCUGAAGGACCUCAGGCAUUGCUGCUUGUAAUCCUCCAUGGCUUUAGCAAUAGCUUGCUUCUGCUCGUCUUUGAGACUAUCUUCUGUCACGGGGAUAACGUUCUCCAAUUCGAACUCAGUAUUUGACAUGUUGAUCUUGAUCUUGAAUCUGUCCCACCGGGCGUGCCAAAAGAUGUGUUGAUGCAAAAGCUGAUCUGCAAAUACAAAGGGUUAAUACCCGAUUUAAACGUUAAGGCGUGCCAGCCGAUUUGACCUUACUAUCCCCAAAGGUGGUAACUCGAAUACUUUGGUCCUGACAACAGCGAUGCGCCCGGAUGUCACGGCCAAGAGGUAUUCACGCGGAACUUGAGAACACGCCGAGCUUAAGUCGACGAAUUCCUAAGAACUCGUAAUGAAAAGAAAAAGUAUGACGAAGUCGUCGAAAAAGUAGAUGCUUGGAAUAUGAGUAAAACGUGUGUUUGAUUGAUUGAUAGAUCCCGAUUACAAAGCCCUAGGGUCCAUAUUUAUACCCUGCUCAAAGAGCUACAACCAGACACGACUAGAACUCUAAUUCCAAAUUACACAGAACCCGUAUACAAAACGACUUGAAUAACUAAGGAAAACAUAAAACUAUCCCCCCGUGACAAACUGGAACACCUCCACAAACCGAUCGGCAACUUCCAGACUCUCCCUCCAUAUCAUCGGCAGACUCCCUUGUCGUAGCCAUCGGCACAAACACAUCAUCACCUAUGGACUUGGUCACGUUCAACCACUCCUCCAUCGGCAACCAUCCUCAUCGGCAACUCAUCCUGUAGAUCAAACACUACCGUCUUAUCUUACCGACCUACACUUUACCAAUCAUGGACACGUGCCCAAAAACGGUGUCAACAGAUUCCGAAUGUAAACAACAAUGGACCGAUUUGUUAAAAGAGUAUAUAGAUUGCUUUACUUGUGAUUAUACUGAGAUGCCUGGAUUAGACCGAUCGAUUGUUGAACAUCGGUUGCCUAUUAAAUCUGGAUUUUGGCCACAUCAGCAGCCAGCGCGCCGAUGUAACCCUAAUAUUCUUCCUGACAUUAAGGCCGAAGUAACCAAACUUAUUGAAGCUAAGUUCAUUCGGCAGUGUCAGUAUGCUGAGUGGAUCUCCAAUGUAACGUUCCUAUUUACAAGAAGAAUGGGAAACUUCGUGUGUGCAUUGAUUUUAGGAAUCUCAACAAAGCCACACCGAUGGAUGGCUAUCCGAUGCUAGUUGCCGAUUUGUUGGUUGAUGCUGCGGCUGGGCAUCAGAUUAUUAGCUUCAUGGAUGGUAAUGCAGGGUAUAAUCAAAUAUUCAAGGCCGAAGAAGAUAUUCCUAAGACUACAUUUAGGUGUCUUGGUCAUGUUGGGUUAUUUGAAUGGAUAGUCAUGACUUUUGGCUUGAAAAAUGCUAGUGCUACUUAUUAGAGGGCUAUGAAUUUUAUUUUUCAUGAGUUCAUCGGCACGUUGGUGGAAAUUAAUAUUGAUGAUGUGGUGGUUAAGUCUAGGGAAUUCACAAAGUAUCUAGCCGAUCUAUGAAAAAUACUUGAAUGUACAAGGAAACAUGGUCUAAAGAUGAAUCCUAAUCAAUGUGCAUUUGGCGUAUCGGCAGGCCAGUUUUUGGGUUUCAUGGUGCAUCGGAGAGGAAUUGAAAUUAGUAAGAGAUCUGUUGAUGCAAUCAAAAAGAUAGUUGCCCCUGUCGAUAAAACUAAACUUCAAUCCUUCAUCGGUAAGAUUAAUUUCAUCAAGCGGUUUAUAUCCAACCUAUCGGGUAAGAUUAAGGGUUUUAGUCCUUUGCUCAAAUUAAAAUCUAAUCAAGAGUUUGUGUGGGGAAAAGAGCAACAGCUGGCCUUGGAUGAAAUUAAGAACUAUUUAGUAAAUCCUCCUGUAUUAGUUCCACCUCAACACUUGAAGCCCUUCCGAUUGUACUUAUCCACCGAUGAUACAGUUAUCUGUUCAGCUCUCAUUCAAUAAUUUGAAGGGAAAGAAUGUGUGAUUUAUUAUUUAAGUAGAAGAUUGGUGGAUGCUGAGAUAAGAUAUUCGGCCAUUGAAAAGUUAUGCCUAUGUUUGUACUUUUCUUGUAUUAAAUUGAGGCAUUAUUUGCUAUCGGCCGAAUGUACUGUCAUAUGCAAGGAUGAUGUAGUCAAAUACAUGUUAUCAAUGCCGAUUUUGAAUGGUAGAAUCGGUAAGUGGAUAUUGGCAUUAUCAGAGUUUGACCUACAUUAUGAAUCGGUUAAAGCAGUCAAAGGGCAGAUGAUGGCUGAUUUUGUUACCCAACAUUGUAGUUCGAUAGGUUCUUUAGAGGUUGCUCCUUGGACACUUUUUCUUUGAUGGAUCUACAUGUGACCAAGGAGCAGGUAUCGGUGUAGUGUUAAUUUCUCCUCAGGGAAAGAAGUAUGAGUUUUCAUUGCUGAUUGUUGCUACAUCGACAAACAAUCACGCUGAGUACCAAGCUUUGGUAAAAGGGUUGGAACUAUUAAGAGAGAUUUGUGCCGAUGUUGUUGAAAUCUUUGGUGAUUCUUUGCUUGUUAUAAAUUAGUUGGUUGGAGUUUAUGAAUGAUGUAGUGAAAUUUUAGUAUCAUAUUAUGAGAGGUGUUUGCAGCUAUUGAAAGAAUUUAAAGAUUUCCGUUUGGAACAUAUUCCCCGAUUACAUAAUGAAGAAACUAAUCGGUUGGCUCAACAUGCUUCGGGAUAUCAACCUAUCCUGGGGGUGUUUUUAUCGGCAAUCAGUGCCGAUGAUUGGAGAAAGGAAAUUGUUGAUUACCUGAGAGAUCUGUCUAAGAAAGUUAAGAGAUGUGUUAGAUUUCAAGUCACCAAGUAUGUACUCCUUGACAAUGAGUUGUAUUAUCGUACAGUAGAUGUGAUUUUACUUAGAUGUCUUGGUGAUGAUGAAUCAAAAAGUUUGAUGGGUGAAAUUCAUGAGGGGGUAUGUGGAGCACACCAAUCGGCGUUUAAAAUGAAAUGGAUGAUUAGAAGAAAUGGAUAUUAUUGGCCGACUAUUCUUGAGGAUUGUUUCAAAUACUUCAAAGGGUGUUAGGGAUGUCAGAAGUUUGGUAAUAUCCAAAGGGCGCCCGCAUUGGCUAUGAAUCCUAUUAUCAAACCUUGGCCAUUCAGAGGAUGGGCUAUUGAUCUCAUCGGUCAGAUUUAUCCGCCAUCAAGCAAAGGACACAAGUUUAUUCUUGUCGCUACUGACUAUUUUACUAAAUGGGUUGAAGCUAUUCCUUUGAAGAAGGUGACAUUGGCUAACAUGAUUGAUUUUGUUAAGGAGCAUAUUGUUUACUGAUUUGGUAUUCCUCAGACAAUCACUACCGAUCAGCGUACUAUGUUUACAUCGGGAGAGUUUGAUGAAUUUGCAAUCGGUAUGGGGAUUAAGGUGUUGAAUUCUUGUCCUUAUUAUGCUCAAGCUAAUGGGCAGGCCGAAGCUUCUAACAAAGGGAUCAUUAAGCUCAUCAAGCGAAAGAUUGAAGAAAACCUUAAAUGAUGGCAUACGAUAUUAAAUGAAGCCCUAUUGUCGUAUCGGAUGGCGUGUCAUAGUGCAACUAAAGUGAUAUGACCACGCCACCAAACAAGAUGUCACAAGCUCCAAGUCAAGCUACAUCCACUCAAGUUUCACCUACGCCGACACCACCUCAUGUCAUCAAUGGACCGAUUACACGUAGUCGUUCAAAGAAGCUACAACAAGAGGUCCACGCGCUACUUUGUGAGAUUCAUUUUAACAUUAAUAAGAAUUAUAUACUACCUUAAGUGUUGUACCUUGAUUGUACUCAGGUAUAUAGAAGAAGAGAAGGAUGAAUCGGACCUGAAGAACGGAACAGUGCAAGUUCUAGAAGAAGUCAAAAAUGACCAGUGGAAGUCAAAAACGGACCUAUGCAAAGAAAUCUUCAUAACAUUUUAGUCACAAAAGCCAUGAAGGUCUAUGAGGACUUGUUGGAAAGCUUGUCGAGUCUACUUUCCAAUGAAUCUAGUGGCGACCAGUUUGGUUACACCAUAUUGCCUGCAUACGUGCUGGUUGGCAUACAUUGCUGGAAAGCCCUUUGAGUCUAGUUUCACACCCAAGAAAUGGUUCAUCAUUUGGACUUCCCAAUAAAACGUUAUGGUCAGUUUACUGAAAACUGCUCUGGAGGCCAACAGUCACGCGAAGCCACUUCGGGAAUCCAUUUCGAGGGGACCUUUCAUAUUGCCUUCCCUCAUAAACUCUAUUUCGUUUUCAUACCUAUCUAGCAGGGCUGUUGCUAGUAUAAAUACCCCCCUAAGACUCAUUGUAAUCAAAGACUUUUGAUAAUUGAAAUACAGAACCCCUUUUGUUUUGCUGUGUGCUAGCAAAUAUUCAGAGAGUGAUCUCUACCCCUUGCUCUUGUGAUUUCCUCCCGGGAUUACAUAUGCGGUGGCUUCAUCUGCUACCAAUUGGUGCUCCUACUCCCUUCAAGGUAUACCUUGAUUGAUUGUAGGUUGUGUUGGUUGGUUCUUUGAGAGUGUGGUUGGGCGAAUCCUCGAUUUAGGUUGCCGGUUAAAGACGGUGGGUGGCUUCGAGUUUUAUUUGCCUGGUUGCACUAGUUAUCGCUGCUUGCAGCAAGUUAUCCGGCUGUUCUUCAGCUAGUUAUCGGUGUUCUUCCUACAUCGUGAAGAUCGGGACAACGUGACGCAUCAUCUGGUAUCAAAGCUUUCGUUACCACAGUAGGAAUUCUAUCCCUAGCUACACAUAUAUUUUUGCUUCGUCCUAUCCACCAAAAAGCUAGAAAAAUAUAUUGCUUAGACCUUUCUUUCAAUCUGUUAUUUUAGUGAGUUCGGUUAAGUCGUAGUCCAUUAGAGUCUUUGUUUUAGUUGCUGAUCAUUGUAACACCCAAAAUUUUGAUUUCGAUUAAUAGGAAUUAAUUUGAUUUAUUUGAGUAUUUCUUCUGUGAGCAUUUAAUAUAGUAAAUAAAUAAUUUUUGUCGAAAUUAAAAUUUUGUUCACCAUAAAUUUAGAAACAUGGUUGUGCAUUCAUGCUAAGAUUUAUUUAUUCCCCUGUGUGUUUUGUUUUGUCUACAAAAGGAUUUAAAAAGUCUUCUCAAAAAGCUAUAGAAAGGAGAUUAAAAAAAGAAAAAGGAAAACCCCAGCCAAACCCGUCUCCCCCUCUCCUCUUGGCCGUAGGCCACAGCCCAGCACCCUGUCCCCCAGCGCACGGCCCAUACCGGCCCAGCCGAGCAGGCCAGCCGCGGCCCAGCGCAGCUCCCUUCCCCUCUUCUCUCUCUGACCAGUAGGCCCCACCUCCCUCUCGCUGACGAGGCGACCCCACCUGGCGGGCGCUGCUCCUCUUCCUUCUUGCGCCGAGGACGAACAGGGCUCAGUUGGGGAUAACCGACCCGAGCUAAAAACUUUCCAUCCCGAAAACUCUGAGAUUUCUUGCCAUAUCGACCCCUAUUUAACCCCCAGCACCGCCCCUCGUGUUGUUUUCCACCCUCGACAUGGAAACCAAGCCCUAGACGCCAGCCCACGGACGGUUUGAAUCUCGCCGAGAGCCAAGUCCUCCGCCGCACGCCGCGAGCCGUUUUCGUCAUCUCUCGGUCCAAGCAAAGGGUCCCAGCGAGGUCGCGGUGAGCUUCUCGCCCUCCCGGUGUUUUUCUUUCGUUGAUUGGCGCUCGGAAUCAAGGAAUCGGUGGACUCUGGCGAGCACUCCCAUGGCGCCGCCACGGGGAGGCACAACUCCGGCCGGCCCGCCGCCACUGGCCCCCUAGACGUGCCCGAGCCGUCGGAUCAAGAUCCUGCGGCCGAGAUAGGAAGAUACCCCUUGGGGGGGUAUUUUUGUUAAAGAGUCCUCGAACUUCUUUAGAAUAGGACCCGCAGUCCAUAGCGCCUAUCAGAGUUUACGUUUUGCUCUUGGGGAAGCGUAAAGCCUCGGGUUAACGCCAGAAUAUGUUUUCCAUUAUUUACAGAAAUGCAACUGAUUUUGUUUUGCUUAUAAAAUGUUCAUUUUAACUCCGUUUUUGUCCAUUCAAAUUUCAUUAGAUUCAUAUUCUCGAACUCUACAUGUUAGAAGUAUUAGUUCACUGUUUUGAAACUUUUUAAUUCUGCAGUAGCAUUUAAUUAAUUAUUUCUCUAUAGGAAAUCUGAGAAAAUUCAUAUCUUCCACGUUUUAAUUCUGAUUUUCGUGAACUUUGCGUUUGUGUGAUCGUAACGCUGCGUAGAAUAUUUUUAUAAACUUUUAUCUUUGAUUUCUCACUGUUGGUGCAAUGUUCUAAUUAUAGCUUGUUUGCUUUGUGUAUGAUUGUCUACAUUGGAUUGCGUGUUGUUGAUUGAUGUUUGGGAAUAGACGGUGAGCCAAACGUUGGUGAUCAAGACCAAGCCUUUGAAGACCAGCAGGCUCAGGAGAGCUUUGAUCAAGGCAAGUAUAACUGGGGAUCAUCCAUGUUACCUAUACACAAUUAAUACAAUAUUUAUCAUAUGCAUGUGUCCACCUUGAUGACCUUAGCAAAAUCAUGGAUGAUUGUUAUCCUGAAUUCCUUGUUACCUAUUUGGAUAUGCAUUUCGGUAGUUCUUGCUAGCGCUUGAUUAUUAAUCCAUGAUCUUGUGGCAUGAAUAUUUGAAUAUACAAUAAACAAUAGAAUAAGCUUUCUAGCAACUUGAAUAUAAAGGGUGGAAAGAACUCUGGCUUUUGCUGGAUUGAUUUUGACCCUCCAUAAGGUCUUAUCCCUUGGCAAAAGCUGGGACAACUCGUACAACCAUGCGGGCUAUAUGGCUCUGGCUUUAGCUCAGUAUGAAGACCUUUUCUAGCUUGUUAGAGGUUACCCGAAAGGGCGCUAGAGGUGCUGAACCGACACGGGUAUAGUGCGAGCCCCUGUCCCUAUGUGUGUAGGCUGCACGUCAUUGUGCCAUUUGGAAGGGGGGUAUCUAUAUCUGCUCGCGAAGGAAACCUUGCGGCCCUAACAUGUUAGACGAGCUUUUGAAAGGCUUCAUAGUGAUCCCCGCCGACCUCCCUAGUUAGGGGGUUAAAAGACUAGCUACCUCGGGUGAAAGGGUAAAUCAUGACUCAUGGGUAAAGAUGUACAACCUCUGCAGAGUGUUAAAUCUGGUAUAUCAGCCGUGCCCACGGAUACGGGUGGCCCGGAAAACUGACGGAAUAGAUGGACCCUGAUGAACAUGAUUAAUGAUGAUAAAUGAUGGUUUAUUAUAUUGUUUAUAUGUGUUAUUCUUAAUUCUUGUAUACAUUGAUCAUGUGGUUAUGGGAUUAAUUAUGCUACCUUGAUAUUCACUAUCCAAUGAUUAAAUAUGCUAUCUACAUAAGCUAAAUGCCGUGAAACCAGUGUCAGCUUAUUGAGCCUCAUGAACCCGUGGUUAUACUUGUUGAGUACGAUAUGUGCUCACUCUUGCAAUUUCCCCCACACCUCAGGAGAGGUUUUGGGCUUGUGAUCAACCAGUCAGUUGGAUCCUGUAGAGAGAAGUUAAUACCCGAAGGUUGGAGUUGUCUAUCCGCUGUUUGCUAUCAAAGGUUAUCUCUUUUAUAAUAAGUACGUUAUAUAUUUAUGCAUUGUCUUUUGAUAUUACUCCUUAUUUGUAGCUAUAUGUGAGAUUUGGUCUCUAAAACUCACAUAUAUUGCAUAUCUGGUUUUGUCCUUAAAAUCGGGUAUUACAAUCAUUUAUCCUUUGCGUGUUCUUUGUGCCUCUUUUAUAUCUAAAAAUCCCAACAAAAAAUCUCUAUAGCCUAUAUCAUCCUUUGUGUUAACUUUGAUCCUAUCUAGCUACUGGUUGUUGUUUUAUUUCUGUCUUUAUUUGUGCAAGUAUCAUAACCUGAUCCCUGUUUUAGUUCUAUAUAAAAAUAAAAAAAAGUGUGUCAAAAAAAAAGAAAAGAAAGUGCAAAAAAAAGUGAAGUGAAAAAAAGUUGAGAAAGGUUGAGAGAGAAAGUCUGAAAGAUUAGUUGGUUUAUGUGCACAAGUGCUGAAAGUUUCAUAUCAAGUUCUGCAACCAGUUUGCUAUCUUUGUUUGGUGCAAAACUUUAGUUGGAUCAGAUUGCAACACUUGCAUCCCAAUCAUACUCCUUGUUUGCAUCAUUUCUGAAAUUUCUUUCCGUGUGUGUGAUCUAUUUAUACACUUUGAAUCUUUUGAUCAGCACUAGGCAGAGAACUUCUAGUUUGGAUUGUUACUUAACUUUACAACAACUAGAAUUCAGAUUGCAUUGCUUGUGUAUUACUCACCACCAAGCUCCACAUAAAAACCAUCGUAAUCGGUACUCUCUGUUCUUGUAUUCACCUCGCCAUCACUUUCAGUUGCCACCACACAUUUGUUUUCCUUGUAAUCUGCAGCAGAGGAAUUCAUAAGAGCUUCGGUGGUGAAAGAGGUGAGUUGUGAGAGCCACCAAAUUUUCAUAUUCCACAAAUACAAAUUAUUUGUAUUCAGCUAAUCUUACAGGAAGAUGGAUCGAGUGGACAUCCAAGAUCGUGUUACCAUAGCACAAUUUAAUAAACUCUGGCAAAGCAUGGAAGAAAAGCAAGAGAGGUUGACACAAGAUCUUCAGAAUCUUAUGUCUGAAAUCAGAAGGCAUCAUCCACCUCAUGAUGGUGCAAGCAACCAUAGUGGAGAUAGAGAAGAUAGUGAUGGAGGAAGAGGAGGUCGGAGGAAUCGGAGGGCUGCACAUGUUAGAGGAAGAAGACAUAGUCGAAGAAAUGAUGAUGAAUCUGAAGAUGAGGCUAAUGACAACCGCUUCCAACUCAGUUUUGGUCGCCGAUGUCAUAGAAGAGGCAACCAUGAAGAAAGUUUUGGCAAACUGAAAUUUACCAUGCCAAAAUUUGCUGCUGAAACAUCCACGAGGAAUUUCUCUAGAGGAAGCAAAUCACACACAAAAUUUGCUGCUGAACCGUCCAUGGUGAAAAGCUCAAGUGGAGGCUCACGAUCUAAUUUUUAGGGUACUAUUAGUGGAAACAACACUGCUGUCUCAAGUUAAAAACCAGCAGCAUCAACCACUACUUCAGUGGGUUCUACUUCCAAGAGUAGUGGAGUUCAGUACUUCAAGUGUGGAGGCCAUGGGCAUAUAAGUAAGGAGUGCCCAAAUAACUAGGUGAACAUUGUGAAUGAUGAUGGAGAAUAUGAAUCAGCUAGUGAAGAGGGAGUUGAGAAGGAAGCCCGUGGAGAUGAGGACCUUACUGGCUGCGAGUUUGAGCAAGGAGCUGCUCUUGAGAUGACUCAUAUCUUGAGUGUUCAGGCAAAUGAAGCAGAAAUUGGGCAGCAACACAAAUUAUUUCAAACUAGAGCAAAGGUGCAUGAUAAAGUGGUGAAGGUGAUUAUCGAUGGAGGGAGCUGCCAUAAUCUUGCUAGUUGUGAGAUGGGUGAUAAACUUGGCUUGAAGCUGCUACGACACCCUCAUCCAUAUCAUGUACAGUGGCUGAAUGAUUCGGGAGAUAUCAAGAUUGGAUACAAAGUAAAUGUUCCAUUCAAGAUUGGUGAAUAUGUUGACACAGUAGAGUGUGAUGUGGCACCUAUGUUGGUGUGUCACUUGCUGCUUGGAAGGCCAUGGCAAUAUAAUCGAUAUAGCCAACAUCGUGGGAGAACAAAUCAUUUCAGUAACAAUCUAAAGGGGAAGAAGUUUGUUCUCAAGCCUAUGACACCCCAACAAAUCAUGGCUGAACAUUUACAAAAGAAAUCUGAAAUUGUUCCAGUGAGUAGAGAGGAAGGAGAGCAAAAGAAAUUGAGUGUCAUCCACAAUUUGGUGAGUGACUGCCACAAGCCAAAUUUGAGGGAGAAAAGAAAGGAGAGGGAGAGAAUGUAGUCAUGCUAGCCACAAAAUCUGAAAUGAGAGAAGUGAGGAACAACCCUAAACAAGUGCUCUUUGUACUUGUGUACAAAGGCUUUUUAAUUUCAGCUAACGACAUGACCUCUCUUCCUAGUGUUGUGUCUCAUCUUCUACAGGACUAUGGAGAUGUCUUUCCAGAAGAAACACCGGCGGGACUACCUCCAAUUCGUGGGAUUGAGCAUCAAAUUGAUCUCAUUCCAGGGGCUACACUACCUAAUCGACCACCAUAUCGAACCAAUCCAGAAGAAACAAAGGAGAUACAAAGGCAAGUGCAAGACCUUCUUGAUAAAGGUUUUGUUCGUGAACGUUUAAGUUCUUGUGCUGUUCCUGUAAUUUUAGUACCUAAGAAAGAUAGUUCUUGGAGAAUGUGUGUUGAUUGUAGAGCUAUAAAUAACAUCACUGUUCGCUAUCGCCAUCCUAUCCCACGUUUAGAUGAUAUGCUUGAUGAAUUAAGUGGUUCCACCAUAUUCACUAAAAUUGAUUUGAGAAGUGGAUACCAUGAGAUAAGAAUUUAAACAGGGGAUGAAUGGAAAACUGCAUUUAAAACAAUAUUUGGGCUGUAUGAAUGGCUAGUUAUGCCUUUUGGUUUGACUAAUGCUCCUAGUACUUUCAUGAGAUUAAUGAACCAUGUCUUGAGAGCUUUCAUUGGAAAAUUUGUUGUUGUCUACUUCGAUGAUAUCUUAAUUUACAGCAAGUCUUUUGAGGAACAUGUGAAUCAUAUUCGUCAAGUCUUAGAAGUGCCUAGAAAGGAGAAAUUAUUUGUUAAUCUUGAGAAGUGCAGUUUUUGCACAGACCAUGUUGUGUUUCUUGGCAUUGUUGUUUCACGAAAAGGCAUAGAAGUGCAUGAAAGCAAGGUGAAAGCCAUCAAGGAUUGGACAUCUCCAACGAAUGUAAGUCAAGUAAGAAGUUUUAAUGGCCUUGCUGGUUUUUAUAGGAGGUUUGUGAGAGAUUUCAGUACCAUCGUUGUUCCUUUGAAUGAAUUGACAAAGAAAGGUGUUGACUUUAAAUGGGGAAAAUCACAAGAAAAUGCUUUUCAAGAACUAAAGAAAUGUUUAACUGAAGCACCAUUACUUGUUCUUCCUGAUUUCACUAAAACUUUUGAAUUUGAAUGGGAUGCUAGCAGAAUUGGCAUAGGAGGAAUUUUUAUGCAACAAGGAAAACCUGUAGCAUAUUUUAGUGAAAAACUAGGAGGUGCUCAACUGAAUUAUUCUGUGUAUGAUAAAGAACUAUAUGCUUUGGUACGUGUGCUUGAAACAUGGCAGCACUACUUAUGGAAAAAAGAAUUUGUUAUUCACUCUGAUCAUGAAGCUUUGAAAUACUUGAAAGGACAAGCAAAACUAAACCGUCGUCAUGCCAAAUGGGUUGAGUUCAUCAAAACAUUUUCAUACAUUGUGAAAUAUAAGAAAGUGAAUCGCACAUUGUCAAUGUUGCUGCGAACAAUGGUGAAAAAGAACCUGAAGGUUUGGUAGGAAUUUCUGCCACAUGUCGAGUUUGCAUAUAACAGGGAAGUACACUCUAACACUAAUAUCUGUCCUUUCAAAAUUAUAUAUGGGUUCAAACCUAUUGCUCCGAUAGAUUUGUUGCCCCUUCCAUUGCAGGAAAGAACCAAUAUGGAAGCCUCCAAGUGUGCUGCAUACAUCAAGAAGGUACACAAGAAGACCAAGGAAGCAAUUGAACUCAAGGCAGGACGCAAGGCUGCAAGUAUGAACAAACAUAGGAAGAAGGUGUUAUUUGAACCCAGGAACUUGAUGUGGACACACAUGUGCAAGGAUCUCUUUCCUCAGCAGCGCAAAUCAAAAUUGUUGCCACGAGGAGAUGGUCCAUUUCGUGUUCUUGACAAGAUCAAAGACAAUGCAUACAAGAUGGAUCUUCCUGCAAGUUAUGGCGUGAGCAACUCCUUCAAUGUUGUUGAUCUCUCACCAUUCACAAGUGAAGACACUUCAGAGUCGUGGACGACUCCUUUUCAAGGGGGGAGGAUGAUAUGACCACGCCACCAAACAAGAUGUCACAAGCUCCAAGUCAAGCUACAUCCACUCAAGUUUCACCUACGCCGACUGUUGACGGUUCUUAAGUAUCAAUUUUAAUUAUCAAAUAAACAAGAGAAAGGACCAAUAUGCAAACAACACCCAGAAUUAGGGUUUGAUCUAACAGAAUUCCACAAGUUUUGUUGUUUAUCUGUUUCUACAGGGGGUUAUCUGGAAAUAAGGAAGAAAGGGCCACAUGUCGGAAUUACAUAGAGAUAUCAACGCACCGCGCAAUUUUCUACCAUCUAGAAGACUCGAGAAGCCACGGGAAGGAAGCAGAGGCCGAAAGGGGCCUGGCCCAGGGCGCCCACCCCCCUCUAUACUCCGUUCAGGACUCUUUUCGCACACGACGCUCCACCGACCUAAAGGAUCAAGGAUAACCGUCCAAUCAAUGUCGGUUUGAUCCAAUGGCUCAUGUUCACUUGAGGAGACUAUAAAACCAGACCCCCUGGCCCCUGGAGGAGACAAGUUUAUCAUAGAGUUGAGGGGAGCCCUCGAAGGAAAACCUCUUCUCUAAAUAAAAUUUAUUUUUAGGCUUAGCAUCCAAUGUGAGUAGAAAUAGAUCUUAUAGUUUCUACUAGAUUGAGAGAGAUAGAGUGGAGGUGUAGAUCGGAGGAAUCCCGGCGUGUCGGUGUCUACUCCGAGCUUGUACCUGCGGGAUCAAGUUCUCCUAACCCGAGGCUUGCUCCUAGGAUUCAUCAGUAUUUCGACUUCUCAAUUCUAGUAAGUUCUUGUUUUAUUGUUCUUUUGGUUUAUGAGUUUACUUUAAUCUCUUCGCGUAGAGUUUAGAGUAAUAAUCUCUAGCGUAGACGUGGUGUUUAAGCUAGGAUACUCAUAGAUAUUCCCUGACUAGCUAGACCGUGGUAGUAGCGAGGAACAUGACAUUUCCGAGUUACCUUUGCAAAACAUAUCUCUAUUGAUGCAAAAGCUGGAUCUGCAAACACAAAGUGCUAAUACCCGAUUCAAACGUUAAGGCGUGCCAGCCGAUUUGACCUUUCCAUCGGCAAAGGUGAUAACUCGAAUACUUUGGUCCCGACAACAGCGAUGCGCCCAGAUGUUACGGCCAAGAGGUAUUCAUGCGGAACUCGAGAAUACGCCGAGCUUAAGUCGACGAACUCCUAAGAACUCGUAAUGAAGAGAAAAGUAUGAUGAAGUCGUCGAAAAAGUAGAUGCUGGAAUAUGAGUAAAAACUUGCGUUUGAUUGAUUGAUAGAUGUCCCGAUUACAAGUCCCUAGGGUCUACAUUUAUACCCCGCUCAAAGAGCUACAACCAGACACGACUAGAAUUUCAAUUCCAAAUUUAAACAGAAUCCGUGUAUAAAACGAUUUAAAUAACUAAGGAAAACAUAAAACUAUCCUUCUGUGACAAACUGGGACACCACCACGGACCAAUCAGCGACCUUCAAGUCUUCCUUCUAUGUCAUCAGCAGACUCCCCAUCGGCAACAGUUAAUACUGGCCAUCGGCAUAAACACAUCACCACCCACGGACUUAGCCACAUUCAACUGUCUCCUCAUCGGCAACUACCCUCAUCGGCAACUCCCCUGGAGACCAAUUAGUGUUGCCCUUUCUCCACCGAUCCUGGGUACGUGUCCAAAAACGGUGUCAACACAUGCCCUCCAAUUUCGGAGUAUGAAAUCAUUAAUGCUCCGAAAUUCUCUGCAGUAAUGAUGCCUUUCCGCAAUUAAUUCCCCCAAUUUGGUAACCAACAGCCUUAAUCUGAACAACUCUGACCCGAUUCCUCCGCAGAUUCCUCGAAAUCCUCAGCCUCCCAAACGGACAUUUCCACUUUAAUCGCCCAUCGGCAAUAUUACCGUUACAGAAAGCUGCCGAUGGACUGACCAGGACGUCCCGCCCAGCGAAAUAUCUCAACCUCCCAAACGGUCAUCUCCGUUUUAUUCGUCCAUCGGCAAUAUUACCAUUACAAGGUGCUGCCGAUGGACCGACCAGGAGAUCCCGCACAGUGAAAUAUCUCUAGAUUUUGACUGCUUCCUGUCAAAUCACCUGCACAAUCCCUUGAUUACUGUGCGAACAGUUACCAUAUCUACCUGAGUACCCUCGGAUUUCACGGAUACGGCGAAGUGAUAAGUCAGAUCUGCCCUUGCCCAUUUUGUCCUAUAAAUAGUUUCUUCACGGGUACUCCUCCAUCACAUCAUUCUACAGCCCCAACUCUACCUUUCUGGCGGCGGCGCUGUUCGAGAGCUCCAAGAACUCCACUGAAGGCUUUUCUCCACCAGUCUCGAAGUCUUCAAUCUCCUUCCUUGCGAGGAAAUGGCAAUCAACUUCACCGUUCCUGAGGUCAGUUCAUCACCCUAUCUCUUGUACCUUUACCGCAUCCUUGAUUAUCCGCAAUUUACCUUACUGAACAUUUUUCUUUUCCUUUCUUUGUUCUUCUUUUUACCUUCAAAACCAUUAGGAUCUGUCCAAUAAAAUUGUCAUCCCUACCGAUCAGUCACAUCUCCAAUGUCUUGGUCCGUUAGGGGAUCCAGAUCCCACCGAUCUUAUUAACGCAGAAACAAACAGAAUCCCCUUUAGAAUCGAGAAUUUCUCUCUGGAUCUGUGGAAGGACACCUUCUGUUCCUAGCCCAGUCCUACCGUGGGAUGGAAGGAUUGGUUUUUGAGGGUCAGCCACUCAAAUGAAGUCCAGUGGGGCAAGUGAAAACUAGACCAAUGCAUCAGGUUGUCCAUUGCCGAUAUGUAUAGGAAUGAGUCACUGCUGGUAGCUGCAUCAUAUUUCUGGUCAGACACACUCAAUGCCUUCAUCUUUGGCCACGACCCUACUUCCCCUACACUUGCCGAUGUUGUUAUGCUCACCGGCCUAGAUGUAUCUUCUGCCGAUAGCACCCACUUUUUCGAUACCAAACCCAGUGCUAAGGUGGAAACCCGCUCCAUCGGUGGUUGGUCAGGGUACAUCCAAAAAUACAAACGAACAGGCCCUGUUAACAUAAAGGAACAGACCAGCUUCCUAAACAUGUGGUUGGACAAAUUUGUAUUUUGUGGUCGAUCGGCAGGACCAACUUCUGUCUACCUGGCAGCAGCAGAAAGACUAGCCAAUGGUGGCCGAUUUCCCCUCGGGCGAUACCUGCUUGGCGCGGCCUACCACCUCCUUCAUCAAGUAACCAGGAAACUCCUGCUUGGCCAGUCCAUCGGCAACUUGGGGGGUCCCUGGUGGUUUAUCAACAUGUGGCUCAGCCUCCACAUGCACAAGCGUCUUGAGUUUGACCUUUUCGCACAGCGCUUCCCCAGGGAUAUAGCCGAGGACUAUGAACUGGAUGAAGAAGAAUCAGCAACUCGUCCUCCUCUAAACUUUGGCGAGGCUGUCAUCGUUCUGCCUGGCACUGGUGGCAAUGCAGACCAGGUCAGCCGAUUCUUCCAGACCUUGUACGAAGGCCUGACCAAAGAGCAGCGAGCGUGGAUGCCUUAUGAAGAUCCACAUACUAUGUUUCCUUUGGUUUUCCAUCCAUUCAAUGACACUCUCAACAAGGAUCAUGAUGUGAUGAUGGCACUGAUCACUCCUAGAGCUAUACCAGUGAAUUUCUUUGGCAGUGGAAAAACCUCCAACCAAACCUAUGAGUUUUACAACCCAUCGGCACUAGCCCGUCAACUAGCUUUCGGCUAGCUGCCGAUCGCCCUCUGUUAUGCCGAUGUGAUAAAACCCAGGGAAGCCAUCACUAACCUUCACGAGUGGAUUUGAGUAGCUCAAUUGCCACCGAGUGCCGAUACAGAUGCAGAUUUAUCAGAGUGGAUUCUAGCCCUCUUCAUCACUCAGGCGUAUAAACAAUGGUGGGAAGAAUGGAAGGAGCAUUUGUUCUGCAGAUCGGCCCUUACAUACCAUGGCAUGAUUGAUCCUCAGUACAAAGUCCCCGAGGAUACUGUAAGUACCUCCAAACCGAUGUUCUAAUCCUUUUACUCUCAUUUUCAUCGGUAACUUACUUUCCGUGUUAUGUUGCAGGUUGAUGACACUCCCCCAUCGGUCAGCAAGAGUGGCAGGCCGAUUGAUCUGUUCCCACUAGGUCCAAUCUCUUCAAUCGGCAACAACGCUGCCACUCUGGCUGCCAUCAUGCAUCGAGGUGUACGUCUCAAGAAGGUCGCCACUAAGAGGACUAAGACAUCUCCAUCGGUAGCCGCCUCGGCUUUGGCACAGGCUUUCAAGGUAAAUUUUCAAACUUUUCCUUAUCGAUUUCAUUUUUGCAUCUACUAUACUUGUACUCACAAACUUUCCUCUCCGUAUCAGCACACUGGCGCAUCGGCAAAGACUAGAAGCAAAAGUGCCGAUGCCCCCCAGCCCAGUCAACCGAAGAGAAAGGGUGCCAAGAGCACCAGAGCACAAGUAAAGCGCCAGAGAACAGCAACACCUUCUCCUCCCCUAGUAUCACUGAUCCCAGUAGAAUCUUCUCCUUCCUCUCCAGAAGCUCAGAUGCAACAAGCACCAUAUCCCCCUCAGCUGCAAGAAGCACCCCAAGUGGAAGAACUCCAACCAGAAGAAUCCCAGCCAGAAGCCCCUCAGCUGGAAGACACAUCGGCUGAUGUAGGCGAGCAGACUACCGAUCCAGCAGGCUCAAUCAUAGCAUCGGUAGUUUCCUCGAUCCAGACAAGCACUGCACCCCCUCAAGGUAAUACAUCUUUACAAAGUCAUUGCCGAUGAAUCCACUUUCCUGAUCUCAUAAUUACUUCUGUUAUUCUUUCAGCUGACAUAGUCCCAUGGGCAGCUCCAGCAGAUCAGCCUGUAGUGCCAUCGGCAUCUUCCAGUCAAAGGCGAGAAAUUGCCUUGAAACAAGUAAGCCACCCAAUCUCCAUUAGUAUUAUUUGUCAAUACUCAACCAUGGAAUGACUCACUUUAUCUCUCUUCUAGGAGCAGGACUCUCCUGAUAGCUUGUUUUCCUUUGCCAUUGACAUCUCUGAAGAUGAAGGUGAGGAAGCAAGCUCUUCUCGGGCAGUCGGGAUCACAUCGGCAGAAAUCAGGGCAAAAUUGGAAGAAUUAUCGGCCCUCCUUCACCAAGACACGGCCCAACUGGUUGAUGACUCCGACCCAGCCAAGGCCCUGUUCAAGACCCUCAGAGGCCAAAUUCCUGCCGAUGCUGAAGAAAUCCUCUUUCAAGCUGCACAUCUAGAGAGCCGUCAGCUGCAGUACCAGAGGGCUGCCCAACGUCUUACCGAUAGAGCUACUCAGACUCAGCUUUCUGAGGAGAUGAUGAAUGUGAAGCUCCUUGCCGAGGAGAAGCAUAAGAACAUUGGCACCUUGAAGUCCUCAGGAGAUGCACUGAAACACAAGAUCUCUGAUCUGUCAGCAAAAAGAGAAGCCCUGUUGGCAGAGCUCAAGCAAGUGGAAGAAGCCUUGUACCAAGCCCAACAAGAGGAAAACCAGCUGCCCGAGGCAAUCAAACUCCUUGAGCAAGAGCGAAAUGUCCAUGGCCAUAAAGCACUGCAGCUGAAGAAGAAGUUGAAGCCAGUGGAAGGUUCUGCCGAUGAAGACAUCAAAGAGAUAGAAGCAGCCAACAAAAUUCGCCUUCGUGCUAUAUCGGCCAUACAGGCACUGCUAAACAUGUGAGCUCUUCAUCGGCAACAUAUUUGCUCCUCUCUGCUUUCCAGCUUUCCUAAUAUUUGGUCUAGCCGAUAGGACUGUUAUCGGCACCUUUCAAAACACUGAGUUUUACUCCCAGAUACAUUUUGAUCCAGCCGAUAGGAGUGUUAUCGGCACUUAAACUUUUAUGCAUCGACCCAUAUGCUUGGGUAAUACUUCUUUAGAUAUUUGCCAUUUAAUGCACUGGGAAAUUCGACCCCUUCGAGGGUUUCUAAAAUAUAAGCAUUACCGGGAGCCGAUCAACUUACCCGAUAGGGACCCUCCCAAUUGGGAGACCACUUCCCAAAUUUUGAACUUUUAGCCCCGAUCGGUAAGAUUAAUUUCCAUACUAAGUCUCCAUCGGCAAACUCCUUAACCUUCACUUUCUUAUCAUACCAUCUGGCAACUCUCUUCUUAUUCUCUUCUAUACUCAUCAAAGCCCUUAGCCGAUGUCCUGCUAGAUCAUCUAACUCGUCUGUCAUUAAAGUAGCAUAAUCAUCGGCAGCCAAUUGAUCUUGAAAAGAUAGUCGCCUAGACCCAGUCUUAAUUUCCCAAGGUAACACUGCAUCAUGCCCAUAUACCAACUGAUAAGGUGAAACCUUGGUCGAUCCAUGACAAGCCAUCCGGUAUGACCAUAAAGCUUCGUUCAACAAUGUGUGCCACCUCCUAGGAUUUUCUUCAAUCAUUCGUUUAAUAAGCUUGAUAAUUCCUUUGUUAGAUGCCUCGGCCUGCCCAUUAGCUUGAGCAUAGUAAGGAGAAGAAUUUAAUACUUUAAUUCUCAUACCAAUUGCAAAUUCAUCAAACUCCCCCGAUGUGAACAUAGUACCCUAAUCGGUAGUAAUUGUUUGAGGAAUUCCAAAUCAGUAGAUAAUAUGCUCUUUCACAAAAUCAAUCAUAUUGGCCGAUGUAACUUUCUUUAAAGGAAUAGCUUCAACCCAUUUGGUAAAAUAGUCAGUGGCAACCAGAAUAAAUUUGUGUCCUUUGCUGGAUGGCGGAUAAAUCUGGCCGAUCAAAUCAAUAGCCCAUCCCCAGAACGGCCAAGGCUUGAUGAUAGGAUUCAUAGCCGAGGCGGGCGCCCUUUGAACAUUGCCAAAUUUCUGACAGCCUUGACACCCUUUGAAAUACUUAAAGCAAUCCUCAAGUAUAGUCGGCCAAUAAUACUCAUUUCUUCUAAUCAUCCACUUCAUCUUAAAAGCCGACUGAUGUGCUCCACAUACCCCCUCGUGGAUUUCUCCCAUCAAACUCUUAGCCUCAUCAUCACCUAAGCAUCUAAGAAGAAUCCUGUCGAUAGUUCGGUAAAAUAAUUCAUCUUCAAGGAGCACAUACUUGGUAGCUUGAAACCAAACCUGUCUCUCCACUUUCUUAGAUGGAUCCUUUAAAUAAUCAAUGAUCUCUUUUCUCCAAUCAUCAGCAUCGAUUGCCGAUAUUGCAUUAAUCAUGGGCUGAUAUCCCGAGGCAUGCUGAGCCAACCGAUUGGCCUCUUCAUUAUGCAAUUGAGGGACAUGCUCUAAUCAGAAAUCCUUGAAUUCCUUUAACAGUUGCAUACUCCUUUCGUGAUAGGUUAUGAGGACCUCACUUCGGCAUUCAUAGCUUCCAGCCAAUUGAUUUAUAACUAGCAUAGAAUCCUCGAAAACCUCAACAGCAUCAGCAUGAACCUCCCUUAGCAAUUCCAAACCCUUUAUCAAAGCUUGAUACUCAGCUUGAUUAUUUGUGGACGUGGCAACAAUCGGCAAGGAAAACUCAUACUUCCUACCCCGAGGGGAAAUUAACACUAUGCCGAUUCCUGCCCCCCGGUCACACGUGGAUCCAUCAACGAAGAGCGUCCAAGGUACAAUUUCCACAGCCUCCACUGUACCGCAAUGUUGAGUUACAAAGUCAGCCAUAAUCUGUCCCUUAACCGCUUUAGCUGAUUCCUAACGCAGAUCGAAUUCCGACAGCGCCAAAAUCCACUUACCGAUCCUGCCACUCAUGAUCGGCAUAGACAGCAUGUAUCGAACCACAUCAUCUUUGCAAAUAACCGUGCAUUCGGCCGAUAGCAAAUAAUGCCUUAACUUAACACAGGAGAAGUACAAGCAUAAGCACAGUUUCUCAAUAGCCGAAUACCUAGUCUCAGCAUCAAUCAACCUCCUGCUUAAAUAGUAAAUCACACAUUCCUUCCCUUCAAAUUCUUGAAUUAAAGCCGAGCCGAUGACCAUCCCAUCGGUAGACAAAUACAAUCUGAAAGGCUUCCCUUGCUGAGGUGGGAUCAGAACUGGAGGAUUUACCAAGUAAUUCUUGAUUUCAUCAAAGGCCAACUGUUGUUCUUUCCCCCAUACGAAUUCUUGAUCGGCUUUCAACUUAAGUAAAGGACUGAAAGCACGGAUUUUACCAGUCAAAUUAGAUAUAAACCUCCUGAUAAAAUUUACCUUGCCGAUCAAGGACUGGAGCUCAGUCUUGUUGGUAGGAGCAACUAUUUUGUUGAUAGCAUCAAUGGAUCUUCAACUAAUUUCAAUCCCCCUUUGAUGCACCAUGAAACCAAGAAAUUGUCCUACCGAUACACCAAAUGCACACUUAUUGGGAUUCAUCUUCAACCCAUGUUUCCUUGUACAUUCCAAUACCUUUCUCAAAUCGGCAAGAUGCUUUGUAAAGUCUCCAGACUUAACCACCACAUCAUCAAUAUAAAUCUCCACCAGCUUGCCGAUGAACUCAUGAAAUAUAAAAUUCAUAGCUCUCUGAUAAGUAGCACCAGCAUUCUUCAAGCCAAAGGUCAUGACUAUCCAUUCAAACAACCCAACAUGACCAGGACAUCUAAAUGCAGUCUUUGGAAUAUCUUCUUCAGCCAUGAAUAUUUGAUUGUAACCUGCAUUGCCAUCCAUAAAGCUAAUAAUCCGAUGCCCAGCCGCAGCAUCAACUAGCAGAUCGGCAACUGGCAUUGGGUAGCCAUCCAUCGUUGUAGCUUUGUUAAGAUUCCUGAAAUCAAUGCAGACCCGAAGCUACCCAUUUUUCUUAUAGACUGGAACAACAUUGGAAAUCCAUUCGGCAUACCGACACUGCCGAAUAAAUUUAGCUUCAAUAAGUUUGGUUAUUUCGGCCUUGAUAUCGGGAAGAAUACUAGGAUUACAUCGGCGAGCAGGUUGUUGAUGUGGCCGAAAUCCAGACUUGAUAGGCAACCGAUGUUCAACAAUUGAUCGGUCCAAACCAGGCAUCUCAGUAUAAUCCCAAGCAAAGCAAUCUUUAUAUUCUUUUAGCAAAUCAGUCAACUUUUGCUUACACUCAGAAUUUAACUUAACACUAAUAAAAGUAGGCCUAGGCUUAUCACCACAACCUAUGUCUAGUUCUACCAAAUCAUCGGCAGAUGUGAAUCCCUGGCCUAAUUUUCCAUUAUCGGCGAACCUAUCAAUUAAAAACCUUCAUCAGAACCGACUGCUUGGAUCGGUGGAAUUUCAUAAUCGGCAACUUUGAGAAAAUCCUUUUCCCAAACUUCUCCUGAAAUACAGCUAGUCCUUUCAUAGGUGUCCGCCUCUGCCGAUGCGAUGACAUAAGAAGAAUCUCCUGGGACAAUCUCAAUCUUGUCACCUACCCACUGGACCAGGCACUGGUGCAUUGUAGACGGGAUGCAACAAUUGGCAUGAAUCCAAUCUCUUCCCAACAGUAAGUUAUAAGCACCCUUUCCACUGAUCACAAAGAAGGUGGUCAGCAAGGUUUUGCUGCCGAUGGUCAAUUCAACACAUAUGGCUCCCUUGACCGGAGACACGUUCCCUUCAAAGUCUUUAAGCAUCAUAUCGGUCUUGGUCAAAUCCUGAUCUCCUUUUCCAAGCUUCCGGUACACUGCAUAUGGCAUGAUGUUGAUACCAGCCCCACCAUCAAAUAAAAUCUUGGUCAUCGGCUGUCCAUCAACCCUUCCUUUGACAAACAGAGCCUUAAGAUGUUGCCUUUCAUCAUCGGCAGGCUUUUUGAAUAUGGCUGUCAUCGGAUCCAGAGCCAACUGAGCUAUAUGGUCGGAAAACUCCAACUCAUCAUCACUGGAUGGUGCAAGGAACUCCAUCGGCAACAUAAAUACCAUGUUGACAUCUGCCGAUGGACCUUUCCCCUUAGGAUCUGACUGUUGCUGAUCCCCAGACUGUCCAGAGUUCUCACCCUUGCUCAGCUCUUCUCGCCUUUUGUGUUGCAGUCUUCUCUUUUGUGUCCUAGUCAACCCCUCUAGACACCAUGGAGGAAGUUGUUGCUGCCUUACCGAUGGGCGAUGAUUUUCCCUUGACUCCAUCCGAUAAAUAUUGGCAUCCCUGCAAAAUAUGAACUCAUCAGGAACUCGAGCAUUAGCCAUCUCUUCAAGUUCUUGCUGGUUCCUGGGAAAAUAUCCAACAUGAUCGCCGAGCCUAUCGUGCACACUGAGCCUGCCCCCCAGCCGACCGUGAACGGAUGCUCUCCCCCUCACUGGCCCGUUAAAUCGCCGAUCGUCAUCGUGAUAGCACCGAUCAGAUCUGUCAUACCGAUCAUAACCAUUGCACUCAUGACAAUCUUUGAUAGUGGGAAGUUUUAUAUUUUCCUCCCAACAAUGGAUGAAGAACGGACUAUUCUAGUGAUCCCUAUGUCGAUUCCACUCCUGUCGGCGUCUUUCUUCCUCCAGACGAUAGUCCUCUUGCUGGCGCUGAUACUGAUCCUCACGUUGCUCCCAAGUCUCCCGAGGCCUUCUAUGAGUUAUCACAAUACCAGAUCGGGGAGGCCUUCCUGAAUUAGUUCCCUCCUGGAUCAAGCCUUUUCCUUUUGCAUCGGCAGUUGUAAUCUGAUGCUGAGGAUCUACCGAUGCACUUCUUUCAGCUACUUCCGAUGUCAAGACCUUGGCCUUUCCCUUGGCAUCCAACAUGUUUGUUGGGAAAGGAUGCUGAUCAAUCUUCAUCAGUUUCUGGGUUUUGGAACUGUCAAAUUUGAUCCCUCCAGAUUCUAUAGCCGAUUGCAGCUGUUGUCUGAAAACUUUGCAUUCAUUGGUGUCGUGAGAAGUUGCAUUGUGCCAUUUGCAGUACUUCAUCCUUUUUAAUUCUUUAGCCGAUGGGAUUACAUGAUUGGGUGACAAUUUGAUCUGACCUUCCUGAAGUAGAAAGUUAAAUAUCCUAUCGGCCUUGGUGAUGUCAAACACGAACUUCUCUUGCUCUUUAUGCCCAAAAGGGCAAGACAUCGGCUUCUUGUUUUUCACCCAUUCUGCCAAGCCGAUGACUGGUUCCUCAUCAGAAUCUGAGCUUGCUGCCUCAUCAACAAAUGAUACCUUUUUAUUCCAGGCCCUCUUGGGCUCAAAGGGCUUGAUAUCUUGAUCAGAAAUUCUCUGCACCAAAUGGCUUAGGCUUUGAAACUCCUGAGAUGCAUACUUGUCCCUGAUAUGUGGCAACAAAACCUGGAAAGCCAAAUCGGCCAGCUGCCGAUCAUCCAGAACCAGGCUAUAGCAUUUGUUCUUGACUUCCCGUAUCCUCUGCACAAAACCUUCAACGGAUUCAUCAUUGCGUUGCUUUAACUUGACCAAAUCGGUGAUCUUCUUCUCAUGAACCCCAGAAAAGAAGUAUUUGUGGAAUUAUUUCUCUAGAUCGGCCCAAGUAAUCACUGAGUUGGGAGGUAAUGAUAUAAACCAGGUGAAAGCCGAUCCAGAUAAUGAUGACGAGAAUAAGUGAACCCUUAACUUGUCCCUGUUAGCAGCUUCCCCGCAUUGGAUGAAGAACCUGUUGACAUGCUCCAUGGUUGAUGUAUCAUCCUGCCCUGAAAACUUAGUAAAAUCCGGUACUUUGUACCAAUUUGGAAGCGGGAUUAAAUCAUAUGCGGGAGGAUACAGUGUCCGAUAAGAGUAAGUGUUGACUUUGGGCUUUAUCCCAAAUUGGUCUCUCAUUACUUCAGCAAUCUUAUCGGCCCAAUAAGCAUCGGCAUGUUGCCGAUGAGGCGGUUGUGGAUCUGGCACCUGCUAGUAAGCUCCCACGUGUCUGUGCAGUGCACGAUCUGCAUCGAACAUUGGGUUGGCCAUCUGACCACCAUCCUGCUGACCACCGACCUGUUGACCGCCAAAUUGUUGCCCGCCGAUCUGCUGCCCAAGAUUCAUUUGCUGGUUGGGCAACCCUUGAUUUUGGAACCCGGGGUAGAUCUGGCCUUGCUGGAACCCUGUAGCUUGAUGAUGCUGUUGGGGCAUUUGUGGAAAGACUUGCUGCUCAGGCCAUCCACUAUUAGCAUUCAUCGGCAUAGGGCCUGCCGAUGACUGGUAAUUGGGCAUGAUCAUUGAGUUGACAUACCCUGGCUGAGUCAUAAACCUCUGUUGCAUCAGCAUUGAAUCUGUCGAUGCAUUAGGCAUCUGGAACAUUGGAGCUUGAGAAUUCCCAGUGUAAUGUCUUGCAGUAGUAGUUGUAGUAUACUGGGGACUCUGAUUCAUCGGCAUAUUGGGAGGUGCCGAUGCCGUAGGAGCCUUGCCUCUUCCAUCAGCCGCCUGAGAUGCACCAGGUGUCUUCAAUGUGAACUCUGGAGGCAUACCAAAACCCCACCAGUUUGGGGGAGGAACUGGUCCUGACAUUGCCGAUGCCAAUAGAUCUGUAGUAAGUUUAAUCUGCUCAUUUGAAAUCGGUGGAUUAGUCGUCAUCAGCGCAGAUUGUGCAUUAGUGACUCCCAACGUACUUGGAGGAACAGUAGUCUGGGUGCCCGCAGCGGCUGUAGCUGCCGAUGGAGCUGUGACCACCGGUGACCCUAGCUGAUGAUGAGAUGGGCCCACAUAAUUUGGUGGCAACUGUCCUUCUUUGAAAGUUCUAGCCACGGCAUUGAAAACCGUAUUGGACAGCACACCAGCUUGGUUGAUCAAAGCACGGUUAAUAGCAUUAUCAACCAUAUCUUGAAGUUUACCAAGAUUGGCAUCAAAAGUAACCUGCCGAGGCAUCGGCAGUGCUUCCUUCUAGAUCACCUCGCCACUCCUGUUUAUGCUUAAGGACCUCAAGCAUUGCUGCUUGUAAUCCUCCAUGGCUUUAGCAAUAGCUUGCUUCUGCUCAUCCUUGAGAUUGGCCUUAGUCACAGGGAUGACAUUCUCCUGAUCGAACUCAGUAGUCGACAUGUUGAUCUUGAUCUUGAAUCUGUCCCACUGGGCGUGCCAAAAGAUGUGUUGAUGCAAAAGCUGGAUCUGCAAACACAAAGGGCUAAUACCCGAUUCAAACGUUAAGGCGUGCCAGCCGAUUUGACCUUACUAUCGGCAAAGGUGAUAACUCGAAUACUUUGGUCCUGACAACAGCGAUGCGCCCGGAUGUCACGGCCAAGAUUCACAUGGAACUCGAGAAUACGCCGAGCUUAAGUCGACGAACUCCUAAGAACUCAUAAUGAAAAGAAAAGUAUGACGAAGUUGUCGAAAAUGUAGAUGCUAGAAUAUGAGUAAAAACUUGUGUUUUAUUGAUUGAUAGAUGUCCCGAUUACAAGGCCCUAGGGUCUACAUUUAUACCCGGCUCAAAGAGCUACAACCAGACACGACUAGAAUUCGAAUUCCAAAUUUAAACAGAAUCCGUGUAUAAAACGAUUUAAAUAACUAAGAAAAACAUAAAACUAUCCUUCCGUGACAAACAGGGACACCACCACGGACCAAUCGGCGACCUUCAAGUCUUCCUUCUAUGUCAUCAGCAGACUCCCCAUCGGCAACAGUUAAUACUGUCCAUCGGCAUAAACACAUCACCACCCACGGACUUAGCCACAUUCAACUGUCUCCUCAUCAGCAACUACCCUCAUCGGCAACUCCCCUGCAGACCAAUUACUAUUGCCCUUUCUUGCCGAUCUACUCUCCACCAAUCUUGGGUACGUGUCCAAAAACGGUGUCGACAAUCUCGUUAGCAGGAAGGAUAGGGUUUAUAGGUGCGGGUUGAACAUCCUUUGUGGUGUCUAGAUUCCGUUAGCCUCCCUAAUAGAACAGUAGAUCAUCCUUACCAAGGUUAGAAGGAGAUUACGGUUGUAGUCUUCUCUAUUUAUCACUCACAUCGAGAAACAUUCUUCGUUGCCUAAAGGGUUAGUAGUAAUAGACCGGGUUAGUCAGAUGCACUCUUUCUCCUAGUGGUAAAAAAAUAAAUACGAUACUCUAGAUAACCUCCCGGGUAAAGUGCUCACCGAUAUCCGUGCGCUUGCGGAUCAAUUCCUUAUUGCGUUCCCAAAUAUCAACACCGACACCAGCCCAUGUCAUCAAUGGACCGAUUACACGUAGUCGUGCAAAGAAUCUACAACAAGAGGUCCACGCGCUACUUUGUGAGAUUCAUUUUAACAUUAAUAAGAAUUAUAUACUACCUAAGUGUUGUAUCUUGAUUGUACUCAGGUAUAUAUAGAAGAAGAGAAGGAUGAAUCGGACCUGAAUAACGGAACAGUGCAAUUUCCAGAACAAGUCAAAAACGGACCAGUGGAAGUCAAAAACGGACCAGUGCAAAGAAAUCUUCAUAACUUUUUAGUCACAAAAGCUAUGAAGGUCCAUGAGGACUUGUUGAAAAGCUUGUCGAGUCUACUUUCCAAUGAAUCUAGUGGCGACCAGUUUGGAUACACCAUAUUGCCUGGAUAACAGAAUUAGUACAGACUACUCGGAAGGUCAACAGUCUAUCAUGACAGAAUGUUGGUACAACUUGCCAAGUAAAACUCUACCAAUCUACAAUGUAUCAUGCUGGUUGGCACACAUUUCUGGAAAGCCCUUUGAGUCUAGUUUCACACCCAAGAAACGGUUCAUCAUUUGGACUUCCCAAUAAAAAGUUAUGGUCAGUUUAUUGGAAACUGCUCUGGAGGCCAACAGUCACGCAAAGCCACUUCGAGAAUCCAUUUCGAGGGACCUUUCUAUUGACGGUCCUUAAGUAUCAAAUUUAAUUAUCAAAUAAACAAAGAAAAGGAUCUAAAUGAAAUCAACAUCUAGACUUAGGGUUUUAUCUGACAGAAUUCGACGAGUUUUGGUGUUUCUCUAUUUCUGCAGGGGGUUAUCAGGAAAUACGGAAGAAAGGCCCACACGUCGGGAUUACAUAGAGAUAUCAAUGUGCCGCGCAAGUAUUUUACAUCUAGAAGACUCCAGAAGCCACGGGAAGGAAGCGGAGGCCGAACGGAGCUAGGACCUGGGCGCCCGCCCAAGUCCUUAGGGCGCCCGCCUUGCUACAGUGGCCAAUCACGUUCAACCUCGCGGAUUAUGCUCCACCGACCUAAAGGAUCAAGAAUAACCGUUCAAUCAAUGUCGGUUUGAUCUGACGGCCCAGGUUCACUUGAGGGGACUAUAUAACCAGACCCCCUGGCCCCUGGAGGAGGCAACCCCUUGAUCAUUAUUCAUUAUUCAUAGACAGAGCAAAAGCUAGGGUUUAGAGAUGAGAGCUCUCCUCUCUUCUCUAAACUAGAGUAGAUCUAGAUAGUAGCAAGAUGGAGAGCGAAGGAGGAUUAGAGGAGAGGCCGGCCUGUCGGUUCUUCCUCCGGUUGUACUUCGCCAUGAUCAAGCUCUAAUCAAGCUUGCUCAUGGGAUGACUCUGGUAAUCUACUUCUAAUUCAUUAUGCAAUUACUAAUUAUGUAUGUUCUGGUUCACAACUCUUUUGAGUACUUUAAUCUAUAGGACGCUAUAGGUGAGAGUUGUAGUAUAGGUGUAAGCGAGGUGCUUAGAUCUAGAUUACUUGUGGAUAUCCCCUGUCUAGCUGGAUCGUGUGGUAGGCCGCGUAGGUGACAGUUACGUUGGUCCUCUGUAGUCCACCUCUCGUUAGUAGGACGGGUAGGGUUUAUCGGCCUAUGGAUAAGCAUCCUUUGUGGUGUAUUCUUAUCACGUGGUUCGUCCUAGACAUAGACAUACCCCUUUGAAGUAGAGAAACCAUAGUUAUCCUCUCUAUUCUGCUACCAUCGCCCAUAUACUAGAAUUGCUCUAUUCUCUAUUCCCAUAUUAUCACUCACUAUUAUCUUACCUUUAAUAUUGUUCUUAUUCAAUUCUACCAUCUUUCCUAUUUACACUUAUCUAUUUAUCUUGGUUAAGUUAGAGCGUAGUUAGUUCUCCCGUUUCCCUGUGGAUACGAUAAAACCUUUAACCGGGUAAAAGCUUCAACAGUAUCCGUGCGCUUGCGGAUUAUCUGUGUGCGUAUAAAUACCAUAGUACACUCUAGUGCCAUGCUGGAGAUGACAACCUAGUAUUCAAGUGGUGUUAGCAAGUGUCAAUAAGCAUUAUUGGCGCCGUUGCCGGGGAAACGGUUGCUGAGUUGACUACGAACUAGCUUAAUCAUUUUCUAAAAAAAAUAAUAAAAAAAUAUAUAUACUUUUCCUUUUAUCCUUUGCCUCAUCUCUGCUAUUCUUUCUUCUUAUCUAAUCCUUGAUCUCUGGUCUAUCAUGAAUUCAAACAUGUCUAUCUAUGAAUUUCAUAGACCUACCAUAGCAUCUAGUUUUGAGAUAGACCCCGAAUACAUAGAAUUUGUUCAAAAACAACCUUUCUCAGGAGAAGGUGAGGAAAACCCAUACACACACCUAAGAGAGUUUUAUUGAGUCUGUGACCUCCUUCGUAUAGUAGGCAUGUCUGAUGAAACCCUUAAAUGGAAGCUCUUUCCAUUCUCUUUAAUAGGAAAAGCUAGACAUUGGCAUAAACUAAAAAUAGGGAGUGUUCAUGGAGAUUGGAAGGAGUUAUAUAGUAGUUUUCUUUCUAAAUAUUUUCCAAUCUCCAAAGUGGCGGAACUUCGACGUGAGAUUAUUUCUUAUAGACAACUGGAAGAAGAAUCUCUUAGGAAGAAGUUCCAGAAGAAGUUCUUCUAUUUCACUUUUUUAAGGGCCUUAGUGGGGAAAAUAAGCAAACCUUGAAUACAGCCUCUAGAGGAUCCUUCUAUCACCUACUUGCUAGUGAAGCUUGGAAUUUGAUUGAUUUAUUAAGCGGAAAGUCUCAGCUUUUAUAUCCCUGAGAAAGAGAAAGAACCAGUUCCUAGACAAGAAGAAGAAGUUUCGAUAGCCAGAUCACAACCACUUCAAUUCCAAACUUUAGCUAUCGAUCCUAAACCAUCAAUACCCCAAAAUUCUCCAAGGGAGGAAGGAAUUCCGACCUUAAAUCUUUCAGAUGCUGAUGGUUUAGACUUCUGGUUCCAUAAGAGACCUUCAUGCAGGGAUAAUUCAAAUCCUCGCAAUAAUGGUUCUCUUAGAGAAUGUCCUGAUUCCUGUUAUGAAGAAGUCGAGGAUGACAUAUCAAGUGAAGGAGAGCUAAGCCAUAUUGAAAAUUAUAACACCUCCCCAUUCCUUAUCACAAGUUAUAAAUGGCUAGAAUGUGUAGAAUGGAUGGAUAAGGAAGAAGCCUUAAUGAAUUCUGACUUUGGUUCAAUUUCAAAUGGUGAGUUCUUGACUCCCUUUAAAGAUGAGAUUCAUCCAACUACAGAAGAGGACAUAAGUGAGACCAAUCCAAGAGAAACUCUGAACAUUCAGAUUGAAGACGAAGAUAACAUUAAUGAGCAUGGAAUUUAUUUCAUAGCCACUUUGUUUACUCCAUGCUCACAUGCAACAUCUUCCCAAUCUAUUGGUCUCUCCAAUAUCACCACAUUUGAGAUCUCCAGCCCCCUCUUCCUUUCUAUUUAUAAAAACUUUAAAAGGGCGAUUGUCGAUGCAUAUGUCUAUAAUAAAUAUUGCAGAUCUCGUUGAGUUGAUCAUGAUAUAGGUCAGCGUUGGAAGGGAAACCACUUCGCUGACAUAAAUUGAUGGUUUCACAAGGACAAGCUUGGUGUCCUAAAAUAAGCACUGAUCAGAUCGUAACAUGAGUUUUUAAUUAUUUGCAACAUUACCUUGUGUAUUGAGCAUAUAAGGAUAAUUGUAAAAAUAUUCCUUCGGGUAUUCUUGUCACUAACCUUUCUAGGAUUGGAGCAAGAAGAUCGGAUGAAUGACAAGCAAGUACAAGGUAUGUCCAACCAAUCAUCAUGCAACACUGAACUAAAUUCAUCCAAACUUGAAUUCUGCAAAAUUCAAGCUUGGGGGAGUACUUUACAUAAAAACAUCCUUUGCCAUGUUGCUGUGUUGGUUGUCCCUACCUUUAAGACAUGCUCAAUUUGUUAAAUAACAAUCACACUACUUCAUCUCCACUUGAGUAGAUCUCUAUAAAUGCUGUCAUGUUACCUUUGCCUAUUUACUAGCAAGUGUUAGUUUGGAAGUACUGCACAUACUUCUAUUGGCUUUUAAAUUAAGCAUGGUGCUUAGGUUAAAUAGUCUUCCUUAAUCUGAUUAGACAUGGAGUCUAGUUCGGUUAUUGAACUAAAAACUGCUUGUGUAGACAUUGGUAUAUAUUUGUCGGACUAACCCCUGCAGAAAAACUUCCAAUAUCGAUUUGGGAAGUCCUGAGAUAAACUCACAUCAGAGACGAAGAGAGUGACACAUGAAGUUUAACAAUUUGCACAAGAAGGACAUAGCUCAUUCAUCAUAGAGAGAUGAUCCAUGGAGGGUGCCACUAACACGAUGCACAACCGCUAAGAAAGGAAAGCUUCCACAAGGUGAUACUGUACCGUCACUCUUCAAGUAUGGUAACACCUUAAGGUACUUGCCGAUCACUUUUAUAAGCUUCUCCUUGGUUUUGGUGUUCAUAUGAAUAAAAGAGACAAACAUGUAUGAUUUAUAGCUCUAGGUUAACCAACCCAAUCGAUUCAACAUGUUUAGUCCUUCUACUUUUGUGAUCCCACACUCCUAAUCAUAUGAGCUAAAAUGUUACGCAUUCAAUCUUUGAGAGAUAUAAAGAAAAAGACAUAUACAUAGAUAGAUUAUCUUUCCAUAAGGUUGAGCGAUCUGAUCUGACAAAUGUUAUAAGUGCUACACUCAUGAACUUUUCAUCCAUCAACUUUGUCUUGCUCACUAUGCUUAGGGUUAGAGAAAAACAAAUACACUUUUGGUUCUGUUGGUCCACCAACAGGACCCAUGCACUUGAUCUCUGCCUUGUCUCUAUGAGCAGGUACACUUCGAGCAAAACAUGGAGGAGUUUUAUAACUCUCAGACUCUACCAAGUAAAGCACCUGAAUCAAAUGACGCAUCUGAAGAAUGAACACAUUGAACCCUCACCGAAAGGUAAGAUCGGUAGUUAUCCAUAUUUAUCCUUUCUGCAUUCCCUUUUCCCUUUAAUUUUUUACUUUCCUUAAAUAGAUUAUUAGUUAAUCAUGCUAUCUUGAAAAGAAAAUAAAAAUGUUAAAAAAUACUAAGCCCCAUGUGAGUAUACGAGUGGCAUAAAACCCAUAAGUACCUUCACUUUGGUGGCAUAAAAAUAAAAUAAAUAUUUCUUUUCUGCUUUAUAAAAUAAAAAUAUAAAAACAGGGAGUAAUAUUUAUUGAGGAAGCUCAACAUGAUGAAGGCUAGAUAUUUAUGCUAACACUUAAUUAGUUCCACAAGCUUUGUUGUCUAUUUGAGCUCCACAGAAUUUAAGAAUCAAGAAGACUAGCAGACGGAGGACAUUCUAAUCGCUGUCAGAAUGCUGCUGACUUUCAAAUACACCUCUGCCACCUGCUAGCAACAUCAAGAGAAAUUACGUCAAAAUUCAGCUUGGGGGAGAGCACCCCCAUUUAUCUCGCUAAGUAUUUCUACCUAUCUUUAUACUUAUAUUAUAUUAGAAUAUUAAAAUACAUAAACUAUGAAAAACCAAAUAAAGAUUUUGUGCUUAUAUAUAUAUCUUUUGCUUAGUGUGUUUAAUAAAUAAAGUGGCUAUGCUAAUCUGAAUCUUAAUAAUAAAACUCUAGCAUGGAUAUGACGAAUAGUUGCUCUGCCUAAUUUGCAAAUUUGAAGUUCUCUCUCAAGUUUAGACAUAACUGUUAUAAUUUAAAGCUUGCUCUAGAUCUAAACUUGUGGGAUGAAAACUUGAUCUGAAAUCUAAGUUGUUAACGGAUAUGAUAUGGGAAGGUUGAGCUGCUGUUUAUCUGUUCCUAGAGAUGCUAGAAUUCUGGAGAAUUUUAUCUUUAAAAAAUCUUUAAAAUAUUGCAUGAUGAGUUCCUGUAUGAUGAGAGUUUAAAUUCCUACCACAACCAUAUAUAUACAUGCUUGCUAGACUUUGAGCCACACAUUUAUUAUUUACUGCUUAUGAGCAUUGAGUGUGGUCAAGCUAUGUAGACCCUUAGGAGCUUGUCAUGUGGUUAAAUCAAGAUUCACUUGCACGUUCACUCAUAUAUGCUACUUCUACUCCGGAAGUACCAUCCACAUAUAUCCAUCCAUGUCCAUCUCCAGAACCAGCCAAAAAUAUUCUACUCCUAAUUCGAGAGAGAAUAGCCAAAAAUAUUUUUGUUUUCCCUUGUGAAAUAAAUGCUCAAGUUAUCUUGCUACUACCACUUGCUAUAUUAUCUCAAGAGAUGAGUGCUCUGAAAAAAAGAAAAAAAAUAAUAAACGAGGAAAUAAAAAGGGGCAAGUGCCCGGAACCUCGAAAGAAAAAAAAAGAGUGAGACGAGAGGUAAAAAUGGACAAGUGUCCGACAGUAGAAUUAGGGGUACAGGAUACCCACCUGAGAGGAAAGAAAAAUGAAAGAUAGAGCAUCUCAUUCUCCUCAUAAAGUUUCAAAAAGCAAGUAAGGUAUGUAUCCCUUCAAAAGAGCAAAAGUAGAAUUAGACUUCCACCGUUGUUAUCACCAUCAUCACCAUACACCAUUCAUUCGCCACACAUGCACAUCUUGAUUUGACUUAUUGACUUGUUUCUCUAGAUCCAUGGUUUGACUAUGCAAUAAAUGUCUUGUAAGUAUGUAUUAGUUGUCUCCCACCUAUGAGCUCUAGAUAUUAAAGACUUAUUAGAGUAGGGUGAGAGAGAAGGCAAUGUCACUAUGCCUUAUACCACAAAUACCAUAUAUCUUGAGAGAAGGCAUAUACCAUCACUGCCUUGGUAAGGAUCCAGAAAUACCAUAAAAGAGAGAUUUAGAGAGUCAUACAAGGAAUCUCUAAGUUUUAUUUGAAAAUCUGCAAAAACUCCAGAGCUAUAGCUGAUCAAGAAUAAGAGCCAUGGCACUUGGCUAGACUGUUCUAUCUUUUAACUACUCAAGACAGAAGUGACGGUUACAAGUCCCAUGGUGAAAGGUAAAGUAAGUAAGUUUUAGUUCUUGACAGUUUACUCUAACUCAGAGAUGAGAUCUUAUUUAAAAGCAUGUGUACCAUCAAAUUUCUAAGAUAUUGCAACAACUUCUAAUCCAUUGCUGAGUCUAUCCUUGCUCAGGGACGAGCAAGAGGUAAGCUUGGGGAGUAUGUUGACGGUCCUUAAGUAUCAAAUUUAAUUAUCAAAUAAACAAAGAAAAGGAUCUAAAUGAAAUCAACAUCUAGACUUAGGGUUUUAUCUGACAGAAUUCCACGAGUUUUGGUGUUUCUCUAUUUCUGCAGGGGAUUAUCAGGAAAUACGGAAGAAAAGCCCACAUGUCGGGAUUACAUAGAGAUAUCAAUGUGCCGCGCAAUUAUUUUACAUCUAGAAGACUCCAGAAGCCACGGGAAGGAAGCGGAGGCCGAACGGAGCCAGGACCUGGGCGCCCGCCCAAGUCCUUAGGGCGCCCGCCCUGCUACAGUGGCCAAUCACGUUCAACCUCGCGGAUUAUGCUCCACCGACCUAAAGGAUCAUGAAUAACCGUUCAAUCAAUGUCGGUUUGAUCCAACGGGUCAGGUUCACUUGAGGGGACUAUAUAACCAGACCCCCUGGCCCCUAGAGGAGGCAACCCCUUGAUCAUUAUUCAUUAUUCAUAGACAGAGCAAAAGUUAGGGUUUAGAGAUGAGAGCUCUCCUCUCUUCUCUAAACUAGAGUAGAUCUAGAUAGUAGCAAGAUGGAGAGCGAAGGAGGAUUAGAGGAGAGGCCGGCCUGUCGGUUCUUCCUCCAGUUGUACUUCGCCAUGAUCAAGCUCUAAUCAAGCUUGCUCAUGGGAUGACUCUGGUAAUCUACUUCUAAUUCAUUAUGCAAUUACUAAUUAUGUAUGUUCUGGUUCACAACUCUUUUGAGUACUUUAAUCUAUAGGACGCUAUAGGUGAGAGUUGUAGUAUAGGUGUAAGCGAGGUGCUUAGAUCUAGAUUACUUGUGGAUAUCCCCUGUCUAGCUGGAUCGUGUGGUAGGCCGCGUAGGUGACAAUUACGUUGGUCCUCUGUAGUCCACCUCUCGUUAGCAGGACGGCUAGGGUUUAUCGGCCUAUGGAUAAGCAUCCUUUGUGGUGUAUUCUUAUCACGUGGUUCGUCCCAGACAUAGACAUACCCCUUUGAAGUAGAGAAACCAUAGUUAUCCUCUCUAUUCUGCUACCAUCACCCAUAUACUAGAAUUGCUCUAUUCUCUAUUCCCAUAUUAUCACUCACUGUUAUCUUACCUUUAAUAUUGUUCUUAUUCAAUUCUACCAUCUUUCCUAUUUACACAUAUUUAUUUAUCUUGGUUAAGUUAGAGCGUAGUUAGUUCUCCCGUUUCUCUGUGGAUACGAUAAAACCUUUAACCGGGUAAAAGCUUCAACGGUAUCCGUGCGCUUGCGGAUUAUCUGUGUGCGUAUAAAUACCAUAGUACACUCUAGUGCCAUGCUGGGGAUGACAACCUAGUAUUCAAGUGGUGUUAGCAAGUGUCAACACUUUCAUAUUACCUUCCCUCGGAAACUCUACUUCAUUUUCAUACCUAUCUAGCAGGGCUGUUGCUAGUAUAAAUACCCCCUAAGACUCAUUGUAAUCUAAGACUUUUGAUAAUUGAGAUACAGAACCCCUUUUGUUUAGCUGUGUGCUAGCAAAUAUUCAGAGAGUGAUCUCUACCCCUUGCUCUUGUGAUUUCUUCGCGGGAUUACAUAGACGGCGGCUUCAUCCGCUCUCAAUUGGUGCUCCUACUCCCUUCAAGGUAUUCCUUGAUUGAUUGUAGGUUGUGUUUGUUGGUUCUUUGAGAGUGUGGUUGGGCGAAUCCCCGGUUAAAGACGGUGGUUGGCUUCGAGUUUUAUUUGCCAGGUUGCACUAGUUAUUGCUGCUUGCAGCAAGUUAUCUGGCUAUUCUUCAGCUAGUUAUCGGUGUUCUUCCUACAUCAUGAAGAUCGGGACAACGUGACGCAUCAUAAAGUGUCACCUUAUCAGUUGGUAUAUGGGCACAAUGCUGUGUUACCUUGGGAAAUCAAAGCUGCCUCUAGGCGGAUAUUUUCUCAAGAUCAAUUAGCUACCGAUGAUUAUGUUACUCUAAUGAAAGAUGAGUUGGAGGAUUUGGUGGGACAUCGGUUGAAGGCUUUGGAGAAUAUAGAAGAGAAUAAGAAGAGAGUAGCUAGAUGGUAUGAUAAAAGUGUAAAGGCUAAGGAGUUCACUUAUGGUGAUUUAGUUUGUAAAUUAAUUCUAUCGAUUGGGACUAAAAGUUGUAAAUUUGGAAAAUGGUCUCCUAAUUGGGAAGGUCCUUAUCGGAUAAAUCGAUCUGCUCCUGGCAAUGCAUUUAUUCUAGAGAUUCUCGAAGGAGUUGAAUUUCCCAGAGCAUUAAACAGAAAGUAUUUAAAAUGAUACUACCCUAGUAUUUGGGUCGAUGCAUAAGAAGUUUUAGUGCCGAUAACAGUACUAUCAGCUUGACAAAAUACUUGUGUUUUUGAAAGAGCUGAUGAGGCAUACUACCGAUGAAAAACUUUAUAGAUUCAAUAGAGCUUGGAUGGCCGAUAUUGCACAAAGACGAAUUUGGUUGGCUGCCUCAAUCUCUUUGGUGUCUUCAUCGGCCGACCCUUCUAUCAGUUUGAGUUUCUUCUUCAUCUGCAAGGCCUUUUGGGCUUGGGCAUCCCUUUCUUGCUGAAGGUCCUUAAGCAUAUCUGGCAGCUGGCUUUCUUCUUGCUUGGCCUGAGUUAGUGCUUCUUCAACUUGCUUGAGCUUAGCAAGUAAAGCUUCUCUUUUGGUCGACAAAUCAAAAAUCUUUUGCUUUAGUUUGGAUCCUGAGCUUUGUAGAGUGCCGAUGCUUUUGUGCUUCUCAUCGGCAAUGUGCUUCACUAACAACAUUUCCUCUUUACGUUUGGCUUGUGCAGCUCUGUCGGCAAGGCGUUGGGUAGCUUUUUGGUAUUGGAGACGGCGACUUUCCAGAUGAGCAGCUUGGAAGAGUACCUCUUCGACAUCGGCAGGGAUCUGACCGCGGAGAGUCUUGAAAAUAACUUUAGCCAGAUCGGAGUCGUCUACCAGUUGAGCUAUAUCUUGCUGAAGUAAGGCCAAUAGAUCCUCCAGCUUGGACUUGAUUUCCGCUAAUACGAUCCCGAGUGCCAGGGAGGAGCUUGAUUCUUCUCCUUCAUCGUCGGAAAUAUCGAUGGCAAAAUAAAAUAGACUAUUAGGGGAGUCUUGUUCCUAAAAAUAGAAAAGAAAAUAAGUUAGUCAGGAUUAAGUAUGAAUAAUACAGGACUGGCCAGGUUGGGUGACUUACUUGUUUCAAGGCGAUUUCUUGCCUUUGGCUGAAGGAUAUGGUUUGAAUGGUGCCCUGAUCGGCUAGAUUUGCCGAUGGAAUAUCUUCAGCUACAAAAUUGGUUAAGUGUUAAGAAUUAUGGUUUCUUUAUGAGAUGCAUCGGUAAUGGUCCAAUAAGUGAUCUGUAUUCUACCUUGGGAAGAGACGAUGGUUGUUUGCUUGGGAAUGGCGACGGAUGAUGUGCCUUGAUCAGAUGGAUCGAUGGUCUGUUCAGGUGCAUCGGUCGGGUCUGCUUGAAUCUAGGGCGCCGGAUGAGGUGGAGAGGAUGGUGCUGCUUUCUACCGUUUCGGCUGAGUCUCGGUACUUGUAGGAGCCUUUCUCUUGGGAGGAGCUUGACUGGAUGUUGGCUGGGGGGCAUCGGCACCCGAUGAUUGGACACUUUGGACCUUUGCCAAUGCGCUGGUUUGCUGCUACAAGACAUAAGGUUUUAUGGGUUAAGUAUGAAAGCAGAGGAAUAUUUCUGAAGUUCAUUAAUAAUGAAAGUGUCUAUUGCAAAGUUACCGAUGACACUCCAGUUGUAGUCGAUACACCCUGAAAGGAUAGUGUAAGUGCAGGCUAAAAUCGGUAUAACAGAAAUAAAUUGAGGAUUACCUUAAAAGCUUGUGCUAGAGUGGCGGUAGCAACCGAUGGAGCGGCCUUUGACCAUUUGGUGGUCAUCUUCUUGAAACGAAUUCCUUGGUGCAUCAGGGCUGCUAGACUGGGAGCGUUGUGGCCGAUCAGAGAAAUUGGAGAUACUGCCUAGAGAUCAAACGGCCGCCCACUUCUACCCACCGAUGGUGCCGGAUCAUCGACAUGUUAAAAUGAAGAAGUAAGUUGCCGAUAAAAUUAGAAGUAAAGAAAGAAUUGAGUAUUGGAGAGAGACUUACAACAACAUCCGGAAUUUCAUACUCAGAGUCGAUCAUGUUCUGGUAUGCAUGAGCCGAUGUUGUGAACAAUUGUUCUUUCCAUUAUUCCCACCGUAGUUUGUAAGAUUCGGUGAUGAAGGAAGCUGGAACCCAAGCCGAUAGGUCGACAUCUACUGUAUCAGCGUCUAGCGGAAGUUGGGCUACUUUUAUCCACUCAAGGCCGCUAGUGAUUGUUUCCCUUGGCUUGAUCACAUCGGCAUAGCAAAGUUUGAUUGACAGUUGACCGAAGCCAACUGACGAGAUAAUGUUGAUGGAUUGUAGAAUUCGUAAGUCGCAUUGGUAUUCUUUCCUCUGCCGAAGAUGUUCACUGGAAUUGCCCUUGGGGUGAUAAUGGCCAUCAUCAAAUCAUUGUUCUUGUUAAGUGCUUCAUCGGCAGGAUGAAAGAGGAGGGGGAAUCUUGAUUCUUCAUGUUCAUAGGGCAUCCAGGCCCGAUGGUCCUAGGAAAGACCAUUAUAGAGAGUUUGAAAGAAUCGGCCGAUCUGAUUCUCAUGUGCAUCAGUCCUAGGAAGGACUAUGAUGGCCUCACCGAAGUUGAGGGGCGAGCGAGUUGUCGAUUCAUCUUCUGCUAACUUGUAAUCUGUGCAAAGAAAUCCGAUUGCACACGCUUGUGCAUAUGAGCAUUAAGCCACAUGUUGAUAAACCACCAAGGACCUCCCAGGUAACCGAUGGGUUCACCCAACAAAAGCUUCUCAGCCACUUGAUGAAGGAGAUGAUAGGCAUUACUCAAACGGUAUUAGCCAAGGGGAAAUUGGGAACCAUUGGCUAACCGCUCAGCAACUGCUAAGUAGACACAAGUCGACCCUACCGAUCGGUCGCAAAAGAUAAACUUAUGCAGCCACAUGUUUAGGAAAAUGGCAUGCUCUCUCUGGCUGACCGAUCCGGUUUGCUGAUACUUCUGGAUGUAUCCUGACCAACCACCGAUGUUACGGGUGUCUACUCUAUGAUCUGGUUUCUAAUUGAAAAGACUACCAUCAUCAGCAGUUGAGAUAUCUAGCCCUGUGAGCAUGAGUACAUCGGCAAGUGUGGGGGAAGCUGGGCUGUGACCAAACUUAAAAGCAUUGAAGGUUCUGACCAAAAGUAUGCAGCAGCUAUCAUCAUCGACUCAUUUUUCUCCAUAUCGGCAAUGGAGAGUCUGAUAUAAUGGUCUAGUUUGCGUUCUCCCCAAUACAUCUCAUUAGCCCCACUGACUCUUAGAAACCAAUCUUUCCAUCCAUUAGUGGGUUUUGGUAGGAUCGGAAGGUGUCUUUCCAUAGAUCUAGGGAGAAAUUUUCAGCUCUAAAAGGAAUUCUGUUGGUUUCUGUGUUUAUUAUGUCAGUAGGAUCUGGAUCACCCAUCGGACCCAAACAUGGGAUGUGAGGUUGCUUAGUAGGGAUAACUAUUUUGUCACUUAGUUCAUAAGUUUGGGGAAUCAAAAGGACAUAAGAAAACAAAAAGAAAGUACAAAGUAUAUAAACUUGUAAGAAUGUGAAGAACUACGGUAAGGAAAAAGGAGAAGAUAGAAGUAGAUUAACCUCGGGUGCGAUGAAUUUGAUGGGCAUUUCUUCCAAGGUGAAGGGGAGACUGAGGGCUUGAAGAUACUGGGUUGAGAGUUUUGCUGCAGGGGAGCUUCUCGUUGCUGGAGUUCUGAAGCUUUUCGUCGAGGUCUUCGCCGGAGGAGAUGGGAUUGAAGAUGGAGAAUGGCAGGGUGGAAGAUGAGUACUGAGGAAGGAAGUAUUUAUAGGUUGAGAUGAGUGGGGGUAUUUUUGACUUAUCUCUUUGCCGCAUCCAUGAAAUUCAAGGUUGUUUAGAUGGAUAUGGUAACUGUUCGCACGAUAAUCAAGGGAUUGUGCAGGUGAUUUGAUGGCAAGUAAUCUUGAUCUUGAAGAUAUUUCACUGUGCGCAAUGUUUUAAUGAGUCAUUGGCAAUCCAUCCUGAUAGUAAAGUUUUGCCGAUGGGCGGUUUUCCCUAUGAUUUGGUGUAGGUGGUUGGAAGAUUUAAGGUGUUUACUGAGAUGCGAGUAUCAAGGUUGAGGUUGUUUGGAUUUGGUAACAGAUUUUUACCAGAAGGAAAGUAAUUAUAAAAAGGUCAUCAUUAUCUAGAGUAAAUUUUGGGGCAUUAAUGAUUUCAUACUCCAAAAUUGUGGGCCAUGUGUUGACACUGUUUUUAGGUAUGAGUCAAGAUAGUUAAGACAAGCUGAUCGGUGGUAGGGAAGUUGCUGUGAUCAAUCGAUAAAAGAGUGUCGAUAGCCGAUGAUGCCGAUGACAGAAUGAUGGUUGGAGGAUUCUGCUGGCCUGAGGUUGGAGACGACAACUGCUGAUUGUUGUCGAUUAGUCGCCGAUGCCGAUAAGGGACGGUUGAUUGCCGAUGCCGACGGAAGAGAAUGUAAAAAUCAUUGCUAAAGGGGCAUGUAUGUGUCGAUGGGGCAAGACUCGAUGAAGGUUUGGAACAAAAAGUCAAUGAAGACUUGAAGCAGUAACCAAUGAAGAUUUCAUCGUUAUUAGGAUGGACAUAGGAAUAGAUGAUCAUUGUUUCUUUCUAUAAUUAUCGAGAUAUGCCUUAUAUGUAAGAGUCUCAUUUGCUUUAGAUGAAUCUUAGUUGUUUUCGGUUGUAACUCUUAAGGGAUAGGGUAUAAAUAUAAACCCAGUGGCAAUGUAAAAUCAAUCAAUACCAAACACAAGUUUUACAUCUACUUUCACAUCUAAUUUUCGACGACUUCGUCAAUUCGCAUACUUUUUUUCUGUUUACGAGUUUUCAAGGAUUCGACGAGUCAUACUCGAUGACUUCUCGGGUUCCAUGUGAGUACCUCUUGGCCGUGACAUCCGGGCGCAUCGCUGUUGUUAGGACUAAAGUAUUAAAGUUAUCACCUUUGUCGAUUGCUAGGUCAAAUCGGCUGGCACGCCUUGAUAUCAAAAUUGAGUAUUAGCCCUUUGUGUUUGCAGAUUUAUUUUUUGCAUCAACAAGUUUCCAUCUUAGAGUUUCAUUGGCCAUGCUCUUAAUACUUAGACAUGAACAUGUCUGCUCAAAAUUAGCUAAGUGGGAAUAGGGUUUUCCGCUAGAAUUACCACAAAAAAUAUGUUCUUGAACUAAUUUGUCCCGGGCGUAGCUCAUAGCCACAUGAUGUGAUAGGUUUAGAAGAUUCUUUUGGCUGGAGGUACAAUCCCAAUGGUUCUCCAUAUUGAUAUAAAAGUUGAGAUUCAAUUUCCAUAUUUAUAUAUUAUUAUAUAUAUUUAUAAUUUUUUAUAAAAGGAUAACUAUAGACUAAGAUAGACUAAUGUCAAAAAUCAGCAAACUAUUCCCUGGCAACGGCACCAGAAAUGAUUGUUGGUAUAAAUUAACUGCACCCUAAUAAUGAUUAUAAUUAUAUUAUCCACAAGCGCAUAGAUAUAUACUGAUCAGCACUUCACCAAGAUCAACCCAGUUUUAAUAUCGAACCCAAAGGAACAGUAGGUGAUUUAUAACCUAGCCUAUAAUUCUUAAUCUAAGGGGUCACAAUCGAUCUAGAAACUAUUGAUGAUGAGGAAAUACUAAUGUACUCUGUUUCUAAUAACCAGUAAACUUUGUAUAGUAUUGUCUUAUCGGACAAGUAACCCAAAUAGGGGAAGAAUGAGUGUAAUCCCCUAUCAAGCACCUAUAAGCCUAUCAAUCCUAUCAAUGGGAAGUGGACUACAGACGAAUCUCGUAGCUAUAAAGUCACCUACGUGAACUACCACUGUCCGGCUGAUCAGGGGACAUUCACAAGCAACCAUAGCCCAGACACCACGUCUAUGCUACGAAUCACUACUCCGACCCAGGAGCUACCCAAAUCAUAGUACUCAAUAUAAUAUGAGUUGCAAACCAAAGACAAAUACAAACAAAUUUCUUAUUCUUACUUGAAUCAGAAGGGUAAAUACAAAAGUACCUCAGAACGUGGUUCUAGGCGAGGGAGCCGAAUCGAGACGUAUACAGCUCCUGAGGAAGCUCCGACAGACCGGGACUCCUCUGAAUCUCUACUCCUCUACUCUAUCUCUCUAAUCUCUAUAUUGAUUGCUAGCCUAGAUCUAGUGGAUCUCUAUCUAAUGCUCCGGCUCUUCAUCUCUGGAUCUAGCCUCCUCUAGGGGGGUCUAGCCUUCUAUAUAUAGCCUGGUGGGAUGAACACGCGCUGUCGGAUCAAAUCGACUUAACAAGCGGUCAAGAUGGCUCCUUAGAGGCGGUGGAGGACCAGCCAGCGCUAAGGUGGGGCCGACCGGCCCCACCUGGCGGCUGCUGGUUCCCACCUCGCGUUGGCUGUCUUCUAGAGUGUUCCUGAAUCCUCUGGUGUUAUCCUUCCAUCGCGGAUAAGUUUCAUGGCCAAUUAGCACUUAAAUCCCUCUUUUCAGCACUUUUGAAAUAAUCUCUAGAAAACACAGAAUAUACAAAACUCGUGGAAAUUGUCAGUGAUAACCCUAUUCUUGUAGAUAUUCAUUUCCGGUGGAGAGAUAAAUGCUAACAAAUUUUGUAACUUAACAGGUGUCAGCAAUAACGGUAGGGAGUAUCUACUGAAAUAACUGGAGAUUUAUUAGACAAGAUAGAAUGAAUAUUUUUGGGUGUCUUCUAGUGUAGGAGUAGAACAUUUUCUAAGUGUAUGUGGAAUGUGUAUGAAUAAAAGAAUGGUACUCCUAGGAUAGGAGCAGCAUAGGCGCGUGUCUCUAGGAUAGAAACAACAUAGAGUGUAGUAUAUAUUUUUGGGUGGUACUUCUUGGAACAAAAGUAGCACAUAGUGAAUGUGGUGGAUGUAAGUGGUUGUGUACUUCUAAGGACAGAAGUAGCUAAGAUCAAUGGAUGGAGAGCACAUAAUAUUGAUUUUUACAAGACUAGUUCCUUAGGGUCUACACAGCUUAACUACCCUCAGUGCUUAUAGGUUGAAAUAUAAUCGGAGGCUUUCCUAAUCUAGUAAAGUAUUUGGCUAUGGUAGUAAUUUUAAACUCUCAUCAUGUAGUAAUUUAAGAUUUUCAAAAUAGAAUUCUUUAGAAAUCUAACAUCUCUAGGAGCAAGACUGAUAGCAGCUCAAAGCCUUCACAUAUUGUAUCCAUCAACUACCUAGACUUUAGUUCAAGUGAUUACUACCCACAAGUUUGAGGCUCAGAGCAAAUCUUAAGUCUAAACAGUUGUGUUUAAAACUAGAGAGAGUACAAGGUUGAAAACUUGGUACUUAUAAGGAAUUAUGGCAGAGCAACUAUUCAUCAUCUCCAUAUAAGAGUUUAUUCUAGAGGUUCAUUUAAAUAGAUUCAUUAAGAGCACUCCUAACAAGAUUAAUUAUGAAAGAUGAAAUAUUUAUUGGGUUUCUAAGAUUACUCAUCUUUUUAUCUUAUCACAACAUACUAGUAAUAAAUAGAUAAGUGAGUUAGGGACACUUAGCUUGGUAUACAGGGGUUGCUCUCCCCCAAGCUAGAUGUUAACAUAGUCUGCUGACGUUGCUGACGGGCACUGAAGGCAUACUGAUCCUCCUAGAGCGACGUGGGUACUUGUUGUCAUAAACAACACUUGCCUGCUAUGAAUAGUACUCCAACAGGGGACAAGACGUCUUCUGCCUGUUAGUUCUUCUUGAUCAUUUAAAGGCUGUGAAGCUCAAAUAGACAACAAAGCUUGUGGAACUGAUUAAGCUUUAGUAAUAAACCUCUAAGCUUUGGGAGUCUAGAACUUUCUUAUACCCAUUUAUCUUUUAGCAGGAUCAAUAUGCUUUCCAUAUUUAUGGUAUGCUGACAGUAGAUAAGUUUGUGAGUUGUUCCAUCACAUAUUAAAUACAUGGGGCUUAGCAAUUUUUCUAGAUGCAAUGCAAUACAUAUUUAUUUUCUUUUUCUAAUUCAAAAAUAAUAAAGAUGAAACUACUAAUGCAAUUAAGAGAAGUAAAUAUGCUAAAGGAAAAUGCAGAUAAAUACCAAGUUACCUCGUAGCGCAGUGUUAGGUGAUUUUAAGUCCUCCAAAUAGGACCUUCUUGUUCACUCAAUGAUUGAGGGGCACAUCAGAUGGCGCCACAGGUGUUGUGUCCUCUACAGGAUUUAAUUUUGAAUUUACCUUUGGUUUCCAUACCUGCCCUGUAGGUGAUGGUGUCUUGGAGGAGAGAGUGUCUAGAAUCACUAUGUCUUCUUCUGUGGGUACCCCCACUUUGGCAGUGUUCUCCUUGUCGUGAUAUCGAUCUUCGAACCUUGAAACCUCUCCUUCAUAGUUGGCCCAUCCGUCUACAAAAUUCUUCUUUUCUGAUGGUGGGUACGUCGCCUUCUCCUUCACCUAUUCUUCUUGGGAUCUUCCUCAAUUAUAUAUUUGCUAUUGAAGUGAAGGCGUACCUUUUCUAAGGGAAAUUAGAAAUGGACCUCCCCUGUUGCAAUGUAUAUGAUGGCCUUGGUGGUGUUGAGGAAUAGUCUUCCUAGGAUGAUGGGUGGAUCACAUUCAUCUUCUCCCAUGUCGAUGACCAAGUUAGUGGGGAUGUAGUGGUCGUCAAUAUGGACAGGGACGUUUUUGACUUUCCCUUCCACGAAGCGAAAGGACUGGUCUACCAAUUGUAGCUACGCAUAGGUAGGGUCCAUAGGCAUAGUACCAUAUAGAAAUUCAUAAGUUACCUUGGCCAUUAUGUUGACGCCUGAUCAGGUAUCGUCCUUCUUGAUCACAUGUGGAGACUUGAGCAGGUGGUCAUACUCCAUGCGGAUUGCAGUGACCAUCUGUGUGUCUCUGUCUUCUGGGUCUUCUGUUUGCCCUUAUUCUUGGUCUUAGCCUUGUUUUGAGUGUUGCUCUUGUUCCUAGCACCAACAGUUUUGUUCUGAGUAGGGAAUGACAAUGUCCUGUUCUCGAAAUAAAUGGCUUCCCUAUUGCCCUUAAUGUUGAAAGUAAUCUUGGCAUUGUUGGCAUAGAUAAUAGCUCUGGCAGUGUUCAAGAAUGGUCAUCCCAUAAUGAUAGGUGACCUCUCAUCAGUAACUGUGUUCACUACUAUGAAGUCUACAGGUACGUUAGAGUUGCCUAUUCACACGCAGAUCUCUUCCAAGAUUCCCAUGGGGUAGCAGAGUGACUAGUCUGCAAGCUGCAAACACAUGGUUGUGUCUGAUAAAGGAAUAUUGAAAAGUUUUUCAUAUAUCACCUCGACAUGAUGUUGACGCUUGCACCGAAGUCACAGAUCGCCUCAUCAAAGUUUGUACUUCCAAUGGAGAUUGGGAUGACUAGCCUCCCUAGAUCACCUUCCCUUGUUCAUAGGGACGAGUCUAACCAUGUUGCUUUCAGAGGGUCCCUCUAGUAGCUUUCUGCAUUAAAGAUGUCUACAAGAUUUGCAGUUUCUAAUUCUCUGAUUGUCCAGGAAUCUUACCUUGAUCGUUGGUGGCAGCAAAGGGAGCAAGUUGUUGUAACUAAGACUCUAGCAUCUUAUUAAAGCUAAGCUCAUUCUUGAUAGCAUUUGAAAAACUUUUCAUUCUAAUAUUAAUUGAUUCUAAAGUUUUAUCAUUAGAUGCUAGCUUCUUAGAUAGUCUAUCCAUUAACUUGCCCUGAUUAAUUACUAACUCCCUUAAAGGUGGUUGAUUAGUAUUAUUGUAAGAAUUAUUACCUUGGUAUUUACCUGAGUAGUUACCUGAGUAGUUAGGCCAUUGUUUCUGGUUCCAGCCUUGAUUCUACUGAGGAUGGUAGUGGUAGUUGUUGUUGUUGUUGAUGAUGUAGUUCAUGUCCUUCGUUAGCUCUGGGUAGUUGGUACCUGUAUGCCCAGUUUCUCCACACUCUUCAUAAGUCAUGCCAGAAUCAUGAAUGUGCGUGACUCUCUUCUUCUCAAUGGUUCUCUCAUCAAGUCUUUUCAUCAACAGGCCCAUCUUGUCAACUAGCAUGUCUACCUCCUUGAGGUGGUGCAUUCCUCCACCUCUCUUGCGGGUCUAGGUUGUCUCUUCACUCCAACCUUGGUUGGAGGCCAUCUUUUCCAUAAGAACAGUGGCUUGUGUAAUGGUAAGUGAUAAGAAUGCUCCUCCAGCAGUCGUAUCCAUGGUUUCAUGAGUGCUGUUGCCAAGCCCAUGAUAGAAUAUUGUCGAGGGUAUCGGUAAGGGGUACCCUCAGCGAUGCGCAUUAUGAGAUUGCCCAUACGAAGGUUGGGACCCCCAAUUCGACGCCUUAAUCUUACUUACGCGCCGCCAACGACGGUCGCAGCCUCGAAUACGGAAAUAGCGUCGAGCGAAUCGGUCAGGGCUCGAGCAACGACUACCGUCGAAGACGGAAGCGGGCUCGAGCGAACCGAGAGACGUCGAGCGUUAGGACACUGUCCGCCGCCUGACGCGCGCACGCGGGCGGGAGCAUUAAAUGCACCUGACGUUUCCCACCUAACACCCGGGUCACGGAAGGCGUGAUAGGGAACAAGCUUCUGUCCCAUCAUUCUUUUUGCAGCCUUCCCACCGAACGACCCAGGGUGCGUCAGGACGCAGGAAACGAGGAUGGAACGUCUAAUCAGGACCCCCUCGAGGCACCCAAGGUCAGCGCUCCGGAUGUCAGCCUAUUACGCGGCGCCCGACAUUCGACCGAACGAGGUCCCUUCUCGGGGACGAGUCGGGCAUCGACUGACAACACCACAGCUGCUCCGCCGGAUCCGCCACCAUACCAUACGAGCAUGCGGUCUCAGAACCAGCACAAGGCGGCUGGCAGGACAGCACGCAGGAGCACGCGUAAUCAUCACCAAGCUAUCAAGAUGGGACGGCUCGAGGCCAUGACGUACGGAAGCCUCGAGUAGGUCAGCGCUCCAUGCGGCUAUCGAUCCAUACUCUAAUAUCUAUGCAUGUACCCUUUGUCUCUCCUUGGAGCUAUAAAAGGAGGGACUCAGGAAUAGAAGAGGGACACAUCACAACGCAAGCACACACACACACACGUAGUGGAGCGACACAUUUCAUUCCACGCUUGUAUUCGCCCCUGUACAAGCACUUAGGUGCAAGAUAAUACGAACUCUCUCCCCCCGCUGGACGUAGGGCCUUCUCUUGCCCGAACCAGGAUAAAUCUCCGUGUCUUCUUGCAUCACCAUCCGGAAAGGGGAGCACGCAUACAAAUUUACUCGUUGGUGUGACCCCCCCCGGGGAAAAAACACCGACAGUUGGCGCGCCAGAUAGGGGUCCUGCGUGUUUUUCACCGAUUUCCCACCACUUUCCGGAUGGCUACUCCUGCCUCGCCGCUUCCGCACUCCACGGUGAUUUGGUUUGGGAGUCUCGAGUUCAUGUCCACGGGCUUCGGCUACGACAUGAUCUUGCUCUCGGUCAAAGGACCAGGAGGAGUCCGUGUUACGCCAGCACGGUUGAAGGCUCCAAGACGCCCUCACCACCACGCCUCCCCGCCUAAGAAGAGGCGCGGGCAGCACCACCGCGGCCCCCUUGCUUCGGCACGACCAACAACUCGUGCAAGGCAGGAUGCGGGCCACGGGUCGGCAACACCGUCUGACCGAGCAACAAGCGCGACGACUCAGCACCACGCGACGACGGGGGGAGACGCGUCUCGCGCGCCCUCCCCCACCGCAGCUAGGCUACCUCCACGCGGGUUGUUCUCUCCAAGGACGGCACUGCCGUUCGGAUUGGACAACGCCGCGGCAUCGCUCGCCAAGACGAUAUGCCCAAACGCUCAGACAUACGUGGAAAGACCAAUGGUCAUCCCACGUAGUUCCGAAGAGCGGCGGCCGACGUCCGAACUGCCGGACCUUUCCCAAGUACGGGGCCUUCGCCGUCUAGGCCCCGGACGAUACUCGAUCACCUCCCUCAGGCAACGAUGGCUGGAGGAAGGACGUGAAUGUCUCCACGCUGCCGAGCUGGACUCCGACUCCGAGACAGACAGUUAUGACCCUACGAGGGAAUGCUAUCACCUCGACGGAGCGGCAGAAACCACCGACGAGACACGGGAUGCUGUUGCGGGUGGACGAGCCCCCGCGGCGCAAGAAGACCCCAGGACGCCUGGGAACGACGGACGGUUCGACCCUCUUCCUCAGGAAGAUAGAACUGCGCAGCUCGCGCAGCUGCGGGAGCUCAAGAUGAAGCUCGACGAAGAUCGCGAGCGCCUCGUCCUGCUCGAGCAAAUCCUCGAACAAGACCUGCCCUACCCGCCAGGCGGAAGUGUCCGCAGACGCGCUCGAGAGGUACAUCGACAAAUCGUCGGUGACACGGAGGCGGAGCAACCUGUCGGCCGUUUCCCUCGAGCAGGCCAAAAUGUAGUGGCAGCGACGAUGCUGCUGCGUAACAUGCCAGAACCAUCGAAUUCCCAGGCCCGACGAAUUCGGGAUGAGGUUCAGACGUUGCUCCAGGUGGCAGCAGUUCAACAAGCCGAAAGUUCGGCAUCUCGACGACGAGGAGCUGCCACAGAGAAGCGCGACGAACAGCCUCUAAUCGAAGAGGAGGUGUCUGUCCAGCAACAACCUCCCCCUCGAGGCAGAAAGACCGCUCUCAUCCUCCCUGCCGACAAUCAACGUCGACACGACGCGCGACACGACGUCAAAGAAAGUAGACGCCGACGGCACGGAGACGCGGAAGAACGUGGUUAUAGCGCGCAUCGCGGUGGGAGGUACGACAGCGACGAGGACCGGGUGGCCCCCGAGCCACCAGGCCCGCGGGUGUUCAGCAGAGCAAUUCGCAGCACGCCCCUGCCUAGUCCAUUCCGACCCCCAACCAGCAUCGCGAAGUACAAUGGAGAAACCAAGCCAGAGCUAUGGCUGGCCGAUUUCAGACUGGCUUGUCAGCUAGACGGCGCUCGGGGGGAUGAUCGAGCCAUCAUCAGACAACUACCCCUUUUCCUCUCCGACACCGCCCGUCGAUGGCUCGAGGAACUCCCAGCCAAUCAGAUUCACAACUGGGUUGACCUGGUCAGAGUCUUCGAGGGUAACUUCAAAGGGACCUAUAUACGGCCAGGGAACUCGUGGGACCUCAGCAAAUGCAAGCAGAAGACAGGAGAGACUCUUCGGGAGUACGCUCGACGCUUCUCGAAGCAACGCACUGAGUUACCACACAUCCCCGACCACGACGUCAUCUUGGCGUUUGUCUCGGGCACCACCAGUCGAGACUUGGUGCGGGAAUUAGGCCGCAAUCGACCUCAGACCGUCGACGAGCUGAUGGACGUAGUAGCUAACUACGCGGCAGGGGAGGAGGCAGUCGGCGCUUUCUUCAGCUCAGAAGGAAGAAAGGGCAAGCAGCCCGUCGAUGAAGAAGGGACUUUCGGUCGAGGCCUCAAGAAAAAUAAAAAGAAGCAGAAAGUACGGCAGUUCCACCAGGGAGAUUCGGGUGACGACCUUGUCGCCACGAUGGAUCGAAAGAAGCCGCGAGGCCCUCCGGAGGGGGGAAUCUUCGACAAAAUGUUGGAGGAGCCGUGCCCUUACCAUAAGGGAGGCGCUAACCACAAACUCAAGGAUUGUCGCAUGCUGAGAAAGCAUUUCGACGGUCAGGGGCUCAAAAAAGAUGCGCGUGAUGACUCCAAGAAGGAGAAGGCUGGCGGCAAGGAGGACAACAAAGAUGACGACGGCUUCCCCGCCGUCCACGACUGCUACAUGAUCUAUGGCGGGCCUUCGACUCAGUUGACCACGAGGCAACGCAAGAGGGAGCGUCGCGAAGUCUUUGCAGCAAGGAUGGCGGUGCCCCAGUAUCUUAGCUGGUCAAGCACUCCCAUCACCUUCGACCGAGAGGAUCACCCCGACAAAGUGGUCGCCCCAGGCGUCUACCCGCUCGUCGUCGACCCCAUCAUCGUCAACACCCGACUCUCGAAAGUGUUGAUGGACGGCGGCAGCAGCCUCAACAUCAUCUACCUCGAGACCCUUGAUCUCCUCGGCAUCGAUAGAGAACGCCUCCAGCCGAGCGCCGGCGGCUUCCAUGGCGUCGUACCGGGGAAAAAAGCACUGCCAGUAGGUCGAAUCGACCUACCGGUCUGCUUCGGAACGGCGGCCAACUUCAGGAAGGAGACCCUCACCUUUGAGGUGGUUGGGUUCCGAGGCACGUACCACGCCAUCAUCGGACGCCCGGGCUACGCGAAGUUCAUGGCUAUACCUAACUACACAUACUUGAAGCUGAAGAUGCCUGGUCCCAAAGGCGUCAUCACCAUCAGUUCUUCCUUCGAGCACGCGUACGAGUGCGACGUCGAGUGCGUCGAGUACGGGGAGGCGGUCGAGAGCUCCACCGAGCUCGUUGCGAAGCUCGAAGCCAUGGCCGCUGAGGCUCCAGAACCUAAACGUCAUGCGGGCAGCUUCGAGGCGGUGGAAGGUACUAAGAAGAUCCCGCUCGACCCCAACAACUCCGACGGCAAGGUGCUGACAAUCAGCACCGACCUCGACCCCAAAUAGGAAGCCGUGCUCGUCGACUUUCUCCGUGCGAAUGCUGAUAUGUUUGCAUGGAGUCCCUCGGAUAUGCCGGGCAUACCGAGGGAAGUCGCCGAGCACUCCUUGGAGAUUCGAGCCGGUUCCAAGCCAGUGAAGCAGCGGUUGCGCCGAUUCGACGAGGAAAAGCGCAAGAUCAUUGGCGAGGAAGUCCAAAAGCUUUUGACGGCCGGAUUCAUCAAGGAGGUUCAUCAUCCUGACUGGUUAGCGAACCCUGUAUUAGUUAAGAAAAAGAAUGGGAAAAUGAGGAUGUAUGUUGAUUAUACUAGUUUGAAUAAAGCAUGUCCAAAAGUUCCCUUUCCAUUGCCACGCAUUGAUCAGAUUGUCGAUUCUACCGCGGGAUGUGAAACCCUUUCUUUCCUUGAUGCAUAUUCUGGUUAUCACCAAAUAAAAAUGAAAGAGUCCGACCAGCUCGCGACCUCUUUCAUCACGCCUUUCGGGAUGUAUUGCUACGUGACCAUGCCAUUUGGGCUUCGAAACGCGGGAGCCACGUAUCAACGUUGCAUGCUCCACGUAUUUGGCGAACAUAUAGGUUCAACGGUCGAGGCCUACGUCGACGACAUUGUCGUCAAGUCAAAGCAACGAGGAGACCUGAUCCAGGACCUCGAGGUUGCUUUCAGCUGCUUGCGCACCAGCCGGAUCAAGCUUAAUCCCGAGAAGUGCGUUUUUGGCGUGCCUCGAGGCAUGCUCUUAGGAUACAUUGUUUCACAACGCGGUAUCGAGGCCAACCCCGAGAAAGUCUCGGCCAUCACGAAAAUGGGGCCAAUUCGAGACAUCAAGGGUGUCCAGAGAGUCACGGGGUGCCUGGCGGCUCUGAGCCGUUUCAUCUCGAGACUAGGAGAAAAGGCAUUACCAUUAUAUCGACUCCUGAAGAAGGUCGAGCGUUUUUCUUGGACCCCCGAGGCCGAGGAAGCACUCGAAAAGCUGAAAAAGAUGCUGACUUCGGCACCAGUCCUGGUUCCACCUCAACCUGCGGAGCCGCUGCUCCUCUACGUCGCGUCGACGACCCAGGUCGUCAGCGCGGCGGUGGUGGUCGAAAGACAAGAAGAGGGUCACGCGCUGCCAGUCCAAAGGCCGGUCUAUUUCGUCAGCGAGGUGCUUUCGGAGACCAAGGCGCGUUACCCCCAAAUCCAGAAGCUGAUCUACGCCGUAAUCCUUGCCCGCCGUAAAUUACAACAUUAUUUCCUUGGUCAUCCUAUCACGGUGGUCUCUUCUUUCCCUUUGGGCGAAAUAAUCCAGAGCAAGGAGGCCAUGGGAAGGAUAGCGAAGUGGUCGGUCGAGCUCAUGAGCGAGACUCUCACUUAUGCGCCUCGAAAGGCUAUCAAAUCGCAAGCCCUGGUAGACUUCGUCGCAGAAUGGACGGACUCCCAGCUUCCCCCGACUCAGGUCCAGGCGGAGCUGUGGACAAUGUAUUUCGACGGGUCACUCAUGAAAACUGUGGCCGGGGCCGGCCUACUGUUCAUCUCACCUUUGGGCGUCCACAUGAGGUACAUAAUCAGGAUUCAUUUCGCCGCAUCUAACAAUGUCGCAGAAUAUGAGGCCCUCGUCAACGGUCUCAAGAUCGCUAUUGAGUUAGGAGUCCGACGCCUCGACGUCCGAGGCGACUCCCAACUCGUCAUCGACCAGGUAAUGAAAGCCUCGAGUUGCCAUGACCCAAAGAUGGAAGCAUACUGCAAGGAGGUGCGUCGACUCGAAGACAAAUUCCACGGCCUCGAGCUCAUCCAUGUCGCUCGACGCUACAACGAGGCAGCCGACGAACUCGCCAAGAUUGCAUCUACCAGAGGCACAGUGCCGCCUGAUGUAUUCUCAAAGGAUCUACACGAGCCAUCCGUCGACUUAGGCACGGGGGCUGGCGCCGAUACCACCAUCGCCCAACCAACCAAUGCUGUCGAUGCGCUCUUGAUGGAGGAAGAGGUGAUGGAAAUAGAACGACGACCGGGUCGACCAUUCGAUUGGCGCACACCGUUCCUCGACUGCCUUAUCCGCGGUGAGUUGCCAGAAGACAGGACAGAAGCUCGUCGUAUCGCUCGACGGGCCAAAUCAUAUGUGAUCUACGGUGAAGACAACGAGCUAUAUCGACGGAGCCCGACGGGAAUCUUACAGCGUUGCAUCACCAUAGAGGAAGGCCGAAAACUCCUCGACGACCUGCAUUCGGGGGCUUGUGGCCACCACGCCGCCCCACGGACCCUUGUAGGAAACGCUUUUCGGCAAGGCUUUUACUGGCCAACGGCCGUGGCGGAUGCCGUCGAGCUCGUACGCUCGUGUCACGGGUGCCAAUUCUACGCCAAACAGACGCACCUGCCCGCCCAUGCUCUUCAGAUGAUCCCCAUCACCUGGCCGUUUGCGGUGUGGGGGCUCGACUUAGUAGGACCUCUACAAAAGGCGAAAGGAGGGUAUACACAUUUACUGGUGGCUAUUGACAAGUUCUCUAAAUGGAUCGAGGCUCGACCCAUCACUAACAUCCGCUCCGAGCAAGCCGUCCUCUUCUUCUCCGACAUCAUCCAUCGAUUUGGGAUCCCCAAUGUCAUCAUCACCGACAACGGCACCCAGUUUACUGGCAGAAAGUUCUUGGAUUUCUGUGAUCAGCAUCACAUCCGUGUGAAUUGGUCCGCAGUAGCCCACCCUCGAACUAACGGCCAAGUCGAGCGUGCCAACGGCAUGAUUUUACAAGGACUCAAGCCAAGGAUCUACAAUCGAUUGAAGAAAUUCGGCAAGAGAUGGGUCGAGGAGCUUUCCUCGGUCCUAUGGAGCCUAAGGACAACGCCGAGCAGAGCCACCAAAUACACCCCGUUCUUUAUGGUCUACGGCUCUGAGGCUAUCCUCCCCACAGACCUCGAGUAUGGGUCACCUCGACUCAGGGCUUACAAUGAGCAAUCGAACAAAGAAGCUCAAGAAAACGCGGUCGACCAACUCGAGGAAGCUCGAGACAUGGCCCUCUUCAACUCUGCUAGAUAUCAGCAGAGACUCCGACGCUACCACGACAAGCACGUACGCAAGAGGGACCUCAACGUAGGCGACCUUGUCCUACGACGCCGGCAAAGCAACCAAGGACGCCACAAGCUAACCCCACCUUGGGAAGGCCCGUAUGUGGUGGCCGAGGUCCUUAAGCCAGGAACGUACAAAUUGGCGGACGAAAAGGGGGCAGUCUUCACCAACGCAUGGAACAUCGAACAGCUACGUCGAUUCUACCCCUAGAAGUCCUAGAUUUACGAUCCUACUUUUUGUACGAAGACUUUGUAAAUGAACGCAUGAAUAAAUAAAGUCUUUCCCUCGAGUAGUUUCUUUCUGUACCAAAAAUAGUUACGAAUUAUAGUCUCGACGUUAAAAGGGGAUGCCGACCAUGACCCAUCAUAGUCCGCACCCCCUCGGGGGCUACCAGAGGGACGACCCCUCCCCAAGCGUCGAAAAAGCCAAAAAGUUUCUCUAUUUCCUACUUAGUAAACCUUGAACGAUCGAGUAGUCAAGGCGCCUCGAGCCCCUCGAGGACCGAAGGAUAGCGAGCCUGAGAACACCUACGCCCCCGGGCUAUGGAAACUCUACUCACUCCCUCACCCUCGAGGCGAUCGAGGCUGUGUUUUACGAAAAAUCGAACAAGGAACACAUGUGUAGGCGCAGAGGAAACAAAAGAACCUCGAGUGGAAAGACAAACAAACAUUUAACAACCACAAAAGUACUGUAUCGCUCAGAAACAGGAUUAACUAAGUUUUAUACAAGGGGCCCCAGGCACCCCGAGCAGGCUCGCAGGCCUCAGUCCAUGGUACGACCCUCGCCACCCUCACCUCCGCCCGAGCCAGUCUCAGGAGGAAGCACCUCAGGUUCAAAUAGCUUGGCCAGCCUCUCUCCAGGGGCCUCCGCGUCAUCGAUCAAAGUGUGAAGCCUUUCUUCGUUCUCCGCGUCGGUCUUAGAGAUGUCGGUGACGAAGCCGUGGGAUACUACAUCCAUGUCGUAGGAGAAGCCCGAGCAGACAACCGCCAUCGCCCGCUUCACCCCGAUGUGGAGGGCAUCCCGCACCCGAUCUCGCAGCGUCGCACCUAAGUAGCACAGCUGAUCGACCAGUGCGUCACCUCGAGAGUCCUCCCUCGACUCAUCCAUAGGCUCGACCUCCCAAGAGGUCGAGAGAUCGCUUAUCGCCGUCCGCACUCGACGGUUCAAAGCAACCUCAGCCUCGAGUUGAGCCUUGGAGUUGCGAGCCUCGGCUUGGGCGGCCAGGAGUUCGUCCUUGAGCCCUACAGAUACCGAUACAAAGGAGCUUUAGAAAAAACUCAAGCACACCUCGAAAAGGAAAUUCGACAAAGGGAACAUACCUUUGAUGCUCUCCUCUAGAGCCGUGUUCUCGCCAACCAAUCUGGUAUUGGCACGCUCGAUCUCUCUGUUGGAGCGCGUCAGCUCAGUAUUGGCAACACGGAGAUCUUCGAUCACCCUGCCAGCCUGAGCGACGGCUCCACUCUUCUCUAGCAGUUCUCCCUUCAGACGCUCGACGUCGUCAGAGAGACUGCGGGAUCGAGCUCGCUCCAUCUCGAGGUCUUCGAGGGCUUUCUUUUUUGCGUCCUCGGCGGCACCCCUGGCGACCUCACUUUCCACGAACGCUACCUUCAUCUUCUGGAAGGUAUCGCGGAGGGAGUCCAGGUCGGUCUGGAGAAGGCCCUUCUCCUUAUCCAGGUCCGCAAUGAUGCCCUUGUGGGACAGGACCUCCUCCCGGGCUCUGGACGCGGCCUCCUCGACCGAAAGAGCCCGCUCCCGUAGCCGCACCGCCUCCUCCUCCGCCUUCUUCGAGACCUCUCGGGCCUCGGCCAAAGCAGCCUCCCUCACCUUCUUCUCCUCCUCGAGUGCUAUAAGAUCUUUAUAAGCUUUAAGCAGCUUUUCCUGUGACUCGAGGAGUUGAUCCUUGAGGAGGGGAAGCUGCUCCCAUCCGCCCCUCGUGGCAUGAAUGAAGCUAGAUUUGAUGCGAGAGGUCUCUUUCAUAUCCUGCCAAUCAGGGGCCAGGGGGGUUAGAACACAGAAACCCAAAAACACCACCAAGAUUGGAGCUCGAGAAACACUUACAAAAUAAGCUGGCCCAAGCCCGUUGUUGAUGACGUCCGAUAGGAGCCCCACCACGUGUUUCAUCCAAAGGCGGAGCUCCUCGACGUGCUCCUACUUCUCGACCUCCUUCUUGUCGUCGAGGAAGAUAUUGGGCUCGGACGGGUCGCUGGAAGCUCGGAUACGAAUCCGAUCGGGACACCAGUUCUCCAUCUCCCGAUCGGCCCGUACCUUGACGCCGCGGAGAAAGUUCUCGACGGUCUCGAGGGAACCCCCGUGGCGCAAGAACAGGUCGGCGAGGCAAGGGAACCGCCCGUCGUCAUCCACCGUUUUCCAUGUACCGUCCUUACUCCCAGACGACCCGAUCUCGUCCUCCUCAGAGGGGAAGCGAUCCUCCCACGCUCGACGCUCCCGGAGGAACCCUGGGGCGAUCCCGUCCAUGCCAUAGAGUGUCCUCUUGAUCUCGGACUCGGGGUCGGUGGGGGUGCGCAUCAUGCAGGCGAGCGCCACCACUCCGUCCGCUCGCCCCGAUUCUGCCCGGAUCGCGGCAGGCGCCCCCGGGAGAAGCCACGCUGGGGUGGGAGGCCCGUACACCGGCAAAUCUCCCUCUUGAUCGCCGGGCUCUUGCGACGCCUGCGGCGCCGGUCCGGCCAAAAUUUGAGGCGGGGGCUCGAGUGGCUCGUUCUCUUGGCCCCCCAGCUGCUGUUGCCGCCCCAGCUGCUGCUGCUGCUCGUCAUGCUGAUGCUGCGGUUGCUCCUCCGGCUGGGGUUGCUACUGCUGCUGCUCCAGUGAUGGCUGCACCGCCUCGCGCUCCCGCGCCUCCUCCUCCUCCAUCUUCCUCUGCGUCUCGAGGGCUCGAAGGCCUGCGGGCCAGGGAGUCCGUCCUGCGACGUUGGGAGUCGACGCCUCUUCCUCCAUGGGUCGAACGCCCCCAGACGCUUCGUUACCAUCAGACGUAUCGCUGAUGGUGAUGGGCUCCCCCUCGACCCCCAAUCGAGGGGGCUCGGGGGCUCCCUCUGACGCUCGUGUCUGGGGGGUCGCAUCAUGAGUUGGUGGCGGCGGAAUAGGCGCGGGACGAGGCGAAGCCAUCUCGACGCCGGCUGAAGAUUGGGUGCUUGACGGGCCUGCAAAACAAAGGGUAAGGGUCAGACGUUAUGAUAACCGACAUAAUAAUAUCGCGACACCCAGGAAUUAACUACAAACCUGGUUCAGUGGAGGCGGCACCCGUUCUGAGCCUCUUGGCCAUCGAUGGUUGGGCCUGCUCGAGGGUCCGUUUCAGCCUGAAAAAAAAAAGUCAGCAUGUGAGGAAAGGCGAGAGAAUGAGGGGACAAAGACCGCAAUAACAAAAGAGCUUACCCCACGGGCAGAACGGCUCGCCUUCCGCCACCCCGACCAGCGGGCCUCGAGCCACCCCGCGUCGGGGCGCUAGGCCCCUCGAGGGCAGAAAUUGGCCUAGGUACGUCGGAUCCCGCUUGGCGGGCGCCGGGACUCGCGCUCCUACGACCGGCGUCUCCUUUCUCAGAAGCCGCAGCGCGACCGCGGGUCAGCGGCCCCGACGCCUGGGACCUAGCCGGACCGCUCUCCUUGGGCGCCAGGGGAGGGCGCGGUGCGUCCUGGCCCGCCUUGAGCGCGGAAGGAGCGUCGGGCCGGGGACGACGAGACCCGCUCGGACCCUCCUCCGGCGCCUCCGUCCGGGGGGCGUCGACGUCAUCUCGAGGCGGGCCCUCGAGGAUCCGAUCGAGACGCGACGCCAUCCCCUCGGAGUCGUCGCUACUCUCGUCGUCAUCAUCGUCGUCGUUGGGGGAUUCUUCCUCAGGCUCCCCCCUCUGCCUGGAUUUGGCUCGACGCGCUUCUAAUGCUUGGCGGUCGAGAUUCUUCUUCUUCUCCCCCUUUUUUGCGGAGUCCUUGGCGGACUUCAACUUCUCGGCGGAUUGACGCCGUUUGUCGCGAUCGACCUCGUCCUCCUUUACUGGAGGCCUCGAGGACCGGACAUCAAUCCGACCCUGCCAAAACUGAGGUAGACUUAGAAAAAAAAAGAGAGGGGAGAGGGGAAACCUAGAAUCGAGGAUGCGCGCAAGAAGAAAGCGUACCAGAUCUAUCGAGCCUGCGUCGGGUCGCAUGGGGAAGCCGUUGACGUGCUCCGGCUUAAAAUCACCGGCAAUUGCGGCCCUGACUCGGGCCGCGACUUCAUCGUCCGUCGGAGGCCCGCUGGACAUCCGACAUGCCUCGAGGUCCCGAGACGAGACGCCAGGGCCCAUCUCGUCCAUCCUCAGCGGUCGUGACAUCAGAGGGAGAACUCUCCGAUGAUGGACGGCCGAGAGGACGAGUGCGGCGGUCAAACCUUCCUGGCGAAGCUUCUUCAGGGCGUCGAGGAGAGGGUCGAGCCGAGGCUGAUGAGCUUGGACGACGCCGUAUGUCCAGUCCGCUGGGCGCUCCAAGAUUAGACGGCCCGAGUAGGGAGGUAGGAGGUUGUCGUCGUUCCGCAGGUAGAACCAUUGAGAGUCCCAACCGGCAUGGUUGGUCGACAACCCUACCGGGAUGUACUCCCGCGGCCGGUCCGUCUUCCCCGUCUUCUGCACCAGAUUGAGGCAACCCGCUCGCACGGGUUUCCUCACGCCCGUGGUUCCGGUGGAGGCGUGAAACAGCUCGCCCCUGUAGAGGUGGAGCCACAGCUCCCAGUGCGGCAUCAUCCCUAGGAAGCCCUCACAGACGGCGGCGAAGACCGCCGCCACGGUGAUGGCGUUCGGGGAGAAGUGCUGCAGCUCCACCCCAUAAUGGAAGCAGAGGGCCCGCAUGAAGCGGCUUGGAGGCGCGCCCAGACCGUGGCGGUGGAACUUGGCGAAGGACACCACGUAGCCCUCAGGUGGCUGAGGCGUCCUGUGGCUCGCUGGCGGCGCGAUCCACUCUGGCGACGACAGCGAGGUGCGGCGGCGCAGCAGUCCCUCCUUCUCGAGCUCCAACAGCCGGCGCUCCGUCAUCGACGACGGGCGCCAGUCAUCGGCGGCGACGAGUCUUACAGGCAUCUUGGUUAACGGGACGGUGGGUUCGCUACGGCUCGAGGGGGCGUGUGCGCGUGAGAUGACGAGAAAGCAAAGGCAGCGAAAGAACGAGAGCGAGAAGGCGGAAGGGAGAGGAACGGCGGUGACGCGACGACAUAUUUAUAGGCAGCUGACCGCCAACGGACAGAUCCGAGAAGUAAGGUAACUCCCCCAUAAAUGCGCCGCCUGACAGCUCCCUCUCCCUCCUCACAGGCCGGACUCUCCGAAUUCCUCGCCGAUACGGUGUCGCAACGUCAUCCGCCUAAAAAGACGCGCCCAACGGGCAGAAAUGCGAACCGCCACGACCGUUUCCUUCCCUCGUAAGCCAGGGGACAUAACCGCAAAAGUCUCGGGAGGUCGACGGCUGGCCCGCCGAAAGGGUUCGACAGCCGAUCUCGAGCGCCAGAGUCAGGGAUCCCCAGCGAGUGGUCGAAAAUCGAGGCCCGCCUCGAGGACUUGCUGGCGAUGUUCAAGGUAGGAUCGAGACAGUCGAGAGGAAUCCCCCCGAAGGGAGGCAUCGAGCCACUGGACUCUAUCGAAUGAGACCGGUAUCCCCGACCACGUCGACCCUGCUUUAUGAGGACGCCUCCGGGCUACAGCUGACCCCCCUCGAAAGGGGCACAGGUUCUCACUUGGACUACCCGCUAGGAACUCAAUUUGGGAUGAAAGACGCUCGCUCUAUCGAGAGUACGUCGAAACCCACGGGCAAAAACGAGCCAGUCAGAAUCUUCCACCACUGGUGUCGAAAGCGUUUCUGCGAAUUAGAUAACAUAACCCUCGAAGGAGUCAAAAACUCCUCCGAGGUCUCGGGGGCUACCCCGCGGGGUCGCUCGCGCGCCCCCACGAAAAUUCGACCGUAAAUCAAAACCUCCAUUCGAGCGCUAGCGCUCGAAUGAAGGCUCGGGGGCUACUGUCGAGGGUAUCGGUAAGGGGUACCCUCAGCGAUGCGCAUUAUGAGAUUGCCCAUACGAAGGUUGGGACCCCCAAUUCGACGCCUUAAUCUUACUUACGCGCCGCCAACGACGGUCGCAGCCUCGAAUACGGAAAUAGCGUCGAGCGAAUCGGUCAGGGCUCGAGCAACGACUACCGUCGAAGACGGAAGCGGGCUCGAGCGAACCGAGAGACGUCGAGCGUUAGGACACUGUCCGCCGCCUGACGCGCGCACGCGGGCGGGAGCAUUAAAUGCACCUGACGUUUCCCACCUAACACCCGGGUCACGGAAGGCGUGAUAGGGAACAAGCUUCUGUCCCAUCGUUCUUUUUGCAGCCUUCCCACCGAACGACCCAGGGUGCGUCAGGACGCAGGAAACGAGGAUGGAACGUCUAAUCAGGACCCCCUCGAGGCACCCAAGGUCAGCGCUCCGGAUGUCAGCCUAUUACGCGGCGCCCGACCCUCGACCGAACGAGGUCCCUUCUCGGGGACGAGUCGGGCAUCGACUGACAACACCACAGCUGCUCCGCCGGAUCCGCCACCAUACCAUACGAGCAUGCGGUCUCAGAACCAGCACAAGGCGGCUGGCAGGACAGCACGCAGGAGCACGCGUAAUCAUCACCAAGCUAUCAAGAUGGGACGGCUCGAGGCCAUGACGUACGGAAGCCUCGAGUAGGUCAGCGCUCCAUGCGGCUAUCGAUCCAUACUCUAAUAUCUAUGCAUGUACCCUUUGUCUCUCCUCGGAGCUAUAAAAGGAGGGACUCAGGAAUAGAAGAGGGACACAUCACAACGCAAGCACACACACACACACGUAGUGGAGCGACACAUUUCAUUCCACGCUUGUAUUCGCCCCUGUACAAGCACUUAGGUGCAAGAUAAUACGAACUCUCUCCCCCCGCUGGACGUAGGGCCUUCUCUUGCCCGAACCAGGAUAAAUCUCCGUGUCUUCUUGCAUCACCAUCCGGAAAGGGGAGCACGCAUACAAAUUUACUCGUUGGUGUGACCCCCCCCGGGGAAAAAACACCGACAAAUAUAUACAUGAGCAGCCAAUUCUCCAUCCCAUGAUGAGGACACUCAAGUAUGUAGUCUUGAAUGCACUCCCAAGCUUCUAGGAUUGUCUCAUCAUGUUGUUGCUAAAAGCUUGAUAUCUUCCCACGACGAGCAUUAGUCUUGCCUGUGGGAAAGAACUUCGCCAGGAAAUUGGUGGAACGUAAUGCCCAUGUAGUAUUCUUCUCCUUGUUGGCGUAGAACCAUUGCUUCACUUUCCCCAAGAGUGAGAAUUAGAAAAGGCAAAGUAAUAUAGCAUCUCUGGGGAUGUCCUUGAUAGUGAAAGUGCUACAGAUAUCUAGAAAGUGUUGAAGAUGAGCACUAGCAUCUUCAUGGGCCUUCCCACAGAACUGGCUUGCCUGCACAUGUUGAUCAGCACCGGCUUGAGCUCAAAUGACCCAUUGAUGUCCACAGCUGGUGUCAAACUUUGAAUAGUAGGUUGAUCUUCUGAUUUAGGAGGAUUGGUAAGCUGACAUGAUGGUGAUGUUGAUUAAUUCCUUCUCAACCUAGCCUUCGUCUUCCUUAUCAAUGUCUCUGGACUAUCAACGACAUUAUCUUGGAGAUCAAACCUGUUCAUACAUUACCCUGCAUAUGAUAUAUAAAAAUAGAUAAAAGACAAGGGUAAGUCUGCAUGAGUGAGAAGGGUGGAUGGUGCUCAAUCCAUGAGUUGAUGCAGUGAUGCUCAUUAUCCUUUCUUGCUUUCACCUUUCCCAACAACGGCGCCAAAAAUGCUUGUUGACACUUCUUAACGCGAUCACUAUAAAUAGACUUUUAAACCUAUCCCUAGCAACAUGUCAAAAUUACUUUACAUCACUUAAGCAAGGUUGUCAUCCCCAACAAGAUGUAGAAGUGUUGGUAUUAAAUCUAUAUGUUUUUCUAGGAAUGGAUAAAUAAAUAAAAGAUCCACAAGUGCAUAGAUAAUACCAAUGUAGCAUUUUAACUGGGAGUAAUCCACGUAUCAUUAUUUAUAUUUUUACCACUGGGAAGGGACAUGCAACGGAUAAUGAGCAAUGAGCACUGCAUGUAAUCACGAAGAUAUUAACCAUGUCUUUAUCUAUCUCUCAUGCAGGGUAAGUGUCAGAUAAGAUAAAUAUAUAAAUAUUAAUAAUAAGUGAUAGAUGAUAAAUAAGAAUUUAUAGCCAUAUAAUAAAUAUGAUAAUCAUCUCAAUUAGACUACUCUAAGUCUAUAGCACUAGCAUGGACUAGGACAAUCUACAAGAACAAAUCCUAAGUUAACUAUAUUGUGAAAGCAUACAUUGAUUAGUGCAAGUACACCUAGCAUCAUCGUAAGAAAAUGUUAUAUCUACGCAUAGUAAUAUUACCAAGAAAGAUUAUGAACAUAGCAAUCACUUCUCUAUAAUAAUGGUGCUCUACAAGCCAUAUAAUCAGGAGAAGGAAUACAGAGGACUCAAUAGGACUGUCACUCCCGCGAUCUACCUCAAGCUCCAGACUAUAACGGGUAAUCACAGAUAAAUAUGGUCUAGGCACCUCGUCUACACAAUAUCUACCACUUACCCAUCGGCCUAAUGAGUAAGCGCAAUACAAUCCUAUGCAUAAACAUAAUUCUAAUCUAAGUACGCUAUGGAUAUAAUCAAAGUAGACUAAUAACAAUAUAAUUGAGAACAUAAGCCAAUAGAAUAAAGUCAAUUCUGAUAUAAUCAAAUAGAUCAAAGUCAUAUUCAUAGUAGCAAGAACUAAUAUGAAUAUCACAAAGAAGAAUAAGAGUUAACCAAGAACGACGAUAGAUCUGGACUCCAAGCUUAACUUGACUCCUUCUAGAUCUAUUCCUCUGUAGCUAUGCUAUAGAACUAUAGAGAUCUAAUUGAGAUGGGGGCUAAGAACCCUAUAGAGACAGAUCCAUUUGAGGGAACCCUCUAUGUCUAAUUCUUCUUCUCUUGAUCUUCUCAGAGAAUAAUGAACUCCUCUCCAAUGGGGUCUGUUGACACUUACUAACACCACUUGAAUACUAGGUUGUCAUCCCCAGCAUGGCACUAGAGUGUACUAUGGUGUUUAUACGCACACAGAUAAAUCCGCAAGUGCAUGGAUACCGUUGUAACUUUUACCCGGUUAAAGGUUUCAUCGUAUCCACAGGGAAACGAGAGAACUGAUCUACGGUCUAACUUAACCUAGAUAGAUAGGUAGGUGUAAAUAUGAAAGAUGGUAGAAUUGAAUAAGAACAAUAUUAAAGGUAAGAUAACAAUGGGUGAUAAUAUGGGAAUAGAGAGUAGAGCAAUCUAAUAUAUGGGCGAUGGUAGGAAAAUAGAGCGGAUAACUAUGGUUUCUCUACUUCAAAGGGGUAUGUCUAUGUCUGGGAUGUACCACGUGACAAGAAUACACCAUAAAAUAUGUUUAUCCAUAGGCCGAUAAACCCUACCAGUCGUGCUAACAGGAGGUGGACUACAGAGGACCAACGUAACUGUCACCUACGCGGCCUACCACACGAUCCGGCUAGACAGGGGAUAUCCACAAGUAAUCUAGGUCUAAGCACCACGCUUACACCUAUACUACAACUCUAACCUAUAGGGUCCUAUAGAUUAAAAGUACUCAAAAGAGUUUUGAACCAGAACAUACAUGGAUAUUAAUUGCAUAAUGAAAUAGAUGUAGAUUACCAGAGUCAUCCAAUGAGCAAGCUUGAUUAGAGCUUGAUCAUGGCAAAGUACAACUGGAGGAAGAACCGACAAGCCGGCCUCUCCUCCAAUCCUCCCUCGCUCUCCAUCUCGCUACUAUCUAGAUCUACUCUAGUUUAGAGAAGAGAGGAGAGCUCUCAUCUCCAAACCCUAGCUUUUGCUCUGUCUAUGAAUAAUGAACAAGGAUGAAGGGGGUGUCUCCUCCAGGGGACAGGGGGCCUGCUUACAUAACCCCUCCAAAUGAAUGUGGGCCGUCGGAUCAAACUGACCUUAAUCGUAUGGUUUUCCUUAAUCCUUUAGGUCGGUGGAGCAUAAUCCACGAGGCAGAGCCUGAUUGGCUCCUGUAGCUGGACGGGCGCCUAAGGAGAGAGGGCGGGCGCCCUGCCCCCGAGCCCACUUGGACUCCCGUUCGUUCCCGUGGCUUCUGGAGUCUUCUAGAUGAUAGAAAAUUGCCGCACACGUUAAUAUUUCUAGGUAAACCCGACAUGUGGGCAUUUCCUCCAUAUUUCCUGAUAACCCCCUACAGAAAUAGACAAACACCAAAACUCGUGGAAUUAUGUCAGAUAAAACCCUAAGUCUGGGUGUUGGUUGCAUAUGGAUCCUUUUCUUUGUUUAUUUGAUGAUUAAAUUUGAUACUUAAGGACCGUCAACAACUCCCCCAAGCUUACCUCUUGCUCGUCCUUGAGCAAGGAUGGACUCAAAAGUUUCUGCAGUGGUUUCAUGCCUUAAGGGUACACAUGCGUUCAAACAAUAUCUCAUCUCUGGGUUAGGGUAAACUGUUAAGAUUUAAACUUACUCAUAUUACCUUCCACCAUAGAGCUUUCAACCGUCACUUGUGUCUUGAGCAGUUAAAAGUUAGAACUGUCAAGUCAAGCGCAAUGUCUCUUGUUAUUGAUCAACUAUAGCUCUGGAGUUUUUGUAGAUUUUCAAAUAAAACUCAGAGAUUCCUUUGUAUGACUCUCUCAAAUCUCUCUUUUGUGGUAUUUCUGGAUCCUUACCAAGGUAGUGAUGUUAUAUGCCUUCUCUCAAAGUAUGUGGUAUUUGUGGUAUGAGGCAUAGUGACAUUGCCUUCUCUCUCAUCCUACUCUAAUAAGGCUUUGAUAUUUGGAGCUCAUAGGUGGGAAAUAAAGUAUACAUACUUACAAGACAUUUAUUGCAUAGUCAAACCAUGGAUCCAGAGAAACAAGUCAAUAAGUCAAUAUCAAGAUAUGCAUGUGUGGCGAAUGAAUGGUGUAUGGUGAUGAUGGUGAAAACAAUGGUGAAAGUCUAAUUCUACUUUUGCUCUUUUGAGGGGAUACAUACCUUUCUUGCACUUUGAAGCUUUUUGAAGGGAAUGAGAUGCUCUACAUUUUCUUUUUCUUUUCUCUCAGGUGGGUAUCUUGUACCCCUAAUUCUACUGUGGACACUUGUCCAUUUUUACCUCUCGUCUCACUUUUUCUUUUCUUCGAGGUUCUGGGCACUUGCCCUUUUUUAUUUCCUCGUAUUCACUUUUUUUCAGAGCACUCACCCUCCUGGAAUAAUGUAGCAAGUGGUAGUAACCAAAAUAUCUCGAGGAUUUAUUUCAUGGGGAAUAAUAGGGAUAGGAUAAUGUUUUUGGCUAUUCUCUCCCGGAUAGGAGUAGAAUAAUUUUGGGUGAAUCUAGAGAUGGAAAUGAGUGGAUGUAUGUGGAUGCGUACUUCCGGAGUAGAAGCAGCAUGUAUGAGUGAACGUGCAAGUGAAUCUUGAUUUUAACCGCAUGACAAGCUCCUAAGGGUCUACAAAGCUUGACCACACUCAAUGCUCAUAAGCAGUAAAAAGUAAAUGUAUGGUUCAUAGUCUAAUAAGCAUGUAUAUGUGGUUGUGGUAGGAUUUUAAACUCACAUCAUACAGGAACUCAUCAUGCAACAUUUGAAGAUGUUCAAAGAUAAAAAUUCUCCACAAUUCUAGCAUCUCUAGGAACAGAUAAAUAGCAGCUCAACCUUCCCAUAUCGUAUCUGUUAAUGACUUAGACUUUAGAUCAUGUACUCUUCCCACAAGUUCAGGUUUAGAGCAAAUCUUAAUUCAUAACAGUCAUGCCUAAACUUGACAGAGAAUUCAAUUUUGAGAACUAGUCAUGGCAAAGCAACUAUUCAUCAUUUCCAUGUGAGAGCUUAUCAUGAGGGUUAUAGCAAACUUUAUUUAUUUAUUCAUUUAGCAAACUAAACAAAGAUAUAUACAUAAGCAUAAAGUCUUUAUUUGGGUUUUUAUGAUUAUGCAUCUUUUUAUUAUUUGAGUAAAGUAUAAACGCGAGUAGAAACACUUACCUAGAUAAAUUGGGGUGCUCUCCCCCAAGCUGGAUUUUGACGUAAUUUCUUCUGAUGUAGCUAGCAGGUGGCGGAGGUAUAUUUGAAUGUCGGCACCACCCUGAUAGCGAUUAGGAUGUCAUCCGUUUGCUAGUCUUCUUUGAUCCUUGAAUUCUGUAGAGCUCAAAUAGAUAACAAAGCUUUGUGGAACUAGUUAAGUGUUAGCAUAAAAAUCUAUUUGCCCUUCCUCUAAUAAAUAUUACUCUCUUUGGUAGGAUCAUAAAUUUAUUUUUAUAUUUUCAUUUCUAUAGGACAGGAAUAUAUUUAUUUUCAUUUUUACGCCACCACAGUGAAUGUACUUAUGGGUUUUAUGCCACGAGCAUACUCACAUGGGGCUUACUAUUUUUAACAUUUUUAAUUUAUUUUCAAGAUAGCUUGAUUAACUAACAAGCCAUUUAAGGAAAGUAAAUAAUUUAAGGGAAAAGGGAAUGCACAAAGGAUAAAUAUGGAUAACUACCGAUUUUACCUUUCGGCGAGGGUUCAAUGUUUUAAGUCUUUUGAACAAGACUUCUCACUGUGUUCAUUCUUUAGGUGCGUUAUUUGAUUUACGUGUGAACCUUGAUGUCUGCACCAGUUGAUACAAUGUCAACCAUGUUCUUCGUUUGCCCAGCAGUUUGAAGUGCGGCGUUGGCAGCAUCCUGCUUAGUGUGUUUGUGCUCGUAGAUCCAGGUCCUUCACUUGGUGGAAUCUGGGAGUUGUAAAACUUCACCAUGUUUUGCUCCAAGUGUACCUGCUCAUAGAGACAAAGCAGAGGUCAAGUCCAUGGGCCCUGUUGGUGGAAAACACCAACAGAACCAAAAGUGUAUUUAUUCUUCUCUAACCUUAAGCAUAGUGAGCAAGACAAAUUUGAUGGAUAAUAAGAUCAUGAGUGUAGUAUUUAAAACAUUGGUCAGAUCAGAUCGCUCAACCUAAUGGAAAGAUAAUCUAUCUAUAUUUUUGUUUUUUUAUAUAUCUUCCAAAGAUUGAGUGUGCAACAUUUUAGCUCAUAUGAUUAGGAGUGUGGGAUCACAAAGGUGGAGGGACUAAACAUGUUGAAUCGAUUGGGUUGGUUAACCUAGAGUUGUAAAUCAUACAUGUUUGUCUCUUUUAUUCAUAUGAACGCCAAAACCAAGGAGAAGCUUAUAAAAGUGAUAGUCAAGUACAUUAAGAUGUUACCUUACUUGAAGUGUGAUGGUACAGUAUCACCUUGUGGAAGCUUUCCUUUCUUAGCGGUUGUGCAUCAUGUUUGUGGCACCCUCCAUGGGUCAUCUCUUAUGAGCUACGUCUUCCUUGUGUAAAUUGUUAAACUUGAUGUGUCUCUCUCUUUAUCUCCAAUGUGAGUUGAUCUCAGGAUAUCCCAGGUCGAUAUUGAAAGUUUUCCUGCUGGGGUUAGUCCAACAAAAUAUCCAAUAUCUACUAUUGCAUACUAUCGGCUCAAAAAUCAACCUAGACACCAUGUCUAAUUUGAUUUAGGAGGGCAUUUUAACCAAAGCACCAUACUUAAUUUAAAAUCCCUUAGAAGUAAGAUCAUCAUUCCUAAAUUAAGCACCAUGCUUAUUUAAGAGAUAAAUGAAACUACUCCAAACCUAGACAUAUACUAAAGCAAAUAAAGGUAGCAUGAGAGCAUUUAUAGAGAUCUACUCAAGCGGAGAUGAAGUAGUGUGAUUAGUAUUUAACAAAUUGAGCAUGCCUCAAAGGUAGGGACAACCAACAUAGCAACAUGGCAAAGGAUGUUUUUAUGUAAAGUACUCCCCCAAGCUUGAAUUUUGCAAAAUUCAAGUUUGGAUUUAAUUCAAAGUUGUAUGAUGAUUGGUUGGACAUACCUUGUGCUUGUCAUUCAUCCAAUCUUCUUGCUCCAAUCCUGGAAAGGUUAGUGACAAGAAUACCCAAAGGAAUAUUUUUACAAUUAUCCUUAUAUGCUCAAUACACAAGGUAAUGUUGUAAAUAAUUAAAAGCUCAUGUUACGAUUUGAUUAGUCCUUAUUUUUUGACACUAAGCUUCUCCAUGGGAAACCAUCAAUUUAUGUCGGCGAAGUGGUUUCCCUUCCAACGCUGACCUAUAUCAAGAUCAACUCAAUGAGAUCUGCAAUAUUUAUUAUAGACGUAUGCAUCGACAACCGCCCUUUUAAAGUUUUUAUAAAUAGAAAGGAAGAGGGGGUCGGAGAUCUCAAAUGUGGUGAUGUUGGAGAGACCAAAAGAUUGGGAAGAUGUUGCAUAUGAGCAUGGAGUAAACGAAGUGGCUAUGAAAUAAAUUCCAUGCUCAUGAAUGUUAUCUUCAUCUUCAAUCUGAAUGUUUGGAGUUUCACCUAGAUUGGUAUCGCCUAUGUCCUCUUCUGUAGUUGGAUGAAUCUCAUCUUCAAAGGGAGUCAAGAACUCACCAUUUGAAAUUGAGCCAAAGUCAUAAUCCAUUAAGGCUUCUUCCUUGUCCAUCCAUUCUACACAUUCCAGCCAUUUAGAACUUGUGAUCAAGACAGGGGAGCUGAUAGAAUCUUCUAUAUGGCUUAGCUCUCCUUCUAUGGCAUUACUUGACAUGCCAUCCUUAUGGUCUUCAUGACUCCUAUGGUUUGGUCGUCUUGGUGAAUUGCUAGGAUCCUCAUGAGACUGGAAAGGAGACGGAUAAGAGGGAUCUCUAAGGUCAAGGAUGGAUUUAGAACUUGUGAACAUGGGAGGGGAGAAGAUAGAAUCUUCUAUAUGGUUUAGCUCUCCUUCACUUGAUAUGUCAUCCUCGACUUCUUCAUAACAGGAACUAGGACAUUCUCUAAGAGAACCAUUAUUGCAAGGAUUUGAAUUAUCCCUGGAAGGUCUCUUAUGGAACCAGAAGUCUAAACCAUCAGCAUGUGAAAGAUUUAAGGUCGGAAUUCCUUCCUCCCUUCGAGAAUUUUGGGGUAUUGAUGGGUUAGGAUCGAUAGCUAAAGUUUGGGAUUGAAGUGGUUGUGAUUUGGCUAUUGAAGCUUCUUCUUCUUGUCUAGGAACUGGUUCUUUCUCUUUCUCAGAGAUAUAAAUGAUAGGAAACUUUCCACUCAAUGAAUCAAUUAAAUCCCUAGCUUCACUAGCAGGUAGGUGAUAGAAGGAUCCUGUAGAUGCUGUAUUCAAGGUUUGCUUAUUUUCCCUACUAAGGCCCUCAAAAAAGUGAAUUAGAAGAACUUCUUCUGGAAUAGAAAGCUUUGGGCUAGUGAGAAUAAGGUUAAUAAAGUGAUCCCAUGAUUUGCCAAGAGAUUCUUCUUCCAGUUGUCUAAAAGAAAUAAUCUCACGCCUAAGUUCCGCCACUUUGGAGAUUGGAAAAUAUUUAAAAAGAAAACUAUUAUAUAACUCCUUCCAAUCUCCAUGAACACUCCCUACUUUGAGUUUGUUCCAAUGUCUAGCUUUUCCUGUUAAAGAGAAUGGAAAGAGCUUCCAUUUAAGGGUCUCAUUGGACAUGCCUUCUAUGCGUAGGAGGUCACAGACUCGAUAAAACUCUCUUAGGUGUGUGUAUGGGUUUUCCUAACCUUCUCUUGAGAAAGGUUGUUUUUGAACAAAUUCUAUGUAUUCGGGGUCUAUCUCAAAACUAGAUGCUAUGAUAGGCUUUGAAGAUUUUGGUGGUCCGAGAUGUGUGCCCGUAGGUCUACGAAAUUCAUAGAUAGACAUGUUUGAAUUCAUGAUAGACCAGAUAUCAAGGAUUAGAUAAGAAGAAAGAAUAGCAGAGAUAAGGCAAAAGAUAAAAGGAAAAGUAUAUAUAUUUUUUAUUUUUUUAGAAAAUGAUUAAGCUAGUUCGUAGUCAACUCAGCAACCGUCUCCCCGGCAACAGCACCAAAAAGCUUGUUGACACUUACUAACACCACUUGAAUACUUGGUUGUCAUCCCCAGUAUGGCACUAGAGUGUACUAUGGUAUUUAUACGCACACAGAUAAAUCCGCAAGCGCACGGAUACCGUUGUAGCUUUUACCCGGUUAAAGGUUUUAUCGUAUCCACAAGGGAACGGGAGAACUGAUCUACGGUCUAACUUAACCUAGAUAGAUAGGUAGGUGUAAAUAGGAAAGAUGGUAUAAUUGAAUAAGAACAAUAUUAAAGGUAAGAUAACAAUGGGUGAUAAUAUGUGAAUAGAGAGUAGAGCAAUCUAAUAUAUGGGCGAUGGUAGGAGAAUAGAGAGGAUAACUAUGGUUUCUCUACUUCAAAGUGGUAUGUCUAUGUCUAGGACGAACCACGUGUUUAGAAUACACCACAAAGGAUGCUUAUCCAUAGGCCGAUAAACCCUACCAGUCCUGCUAACAGGAGGUGGGCUACAGGGGACCAACGUAACUGUCACCUACGCGGCCUACCACACGAUCUGGCUAGACAGGGGAUAUCCACAAGUAAUCUAGGUCUAAGCACCACGCUUACACCUAUACUACAACUCUAACCUAUAGGGUCCUAUCGAUUAAAAGUACGCAAAAGAGUUGUGAACCAGAACAUACAUGGAUAGUAAUUGCAUAAUGAAAGAGAAGCAGAUUACCAGAGUCAUCUCAUGAGCAAGCUUGAUUAGAGCUUGAUCAUGGCAAAGUACAACCGAAGGAAGAACUAACAGGCCGGCCUCUCCUCCAAUCCUCUCUCGCUCUCCAUCUCGCUACUAUCUAGAUCUACUCUAGUUUAGAUAAGAGAGGAGAGCUCUCAUCUCCAAACCCUAGCUUUUGAUUUGUUUAUGAAUAAUGAAUAAGGAUAAAGUGGGUGUCUCUUCCAGGGGCCAGGGGGCCUGCUUAUAUAGCCCCUCAAAAUGAAUGUGGGCCGUCGGAUCAAACCGACCUUAAUCAUACGGUUUUCCUUAAUCCUUUAGGUCGGUGGAGCAUAAUCCGCGAGGCAGAGCCUGAUUGGCUCCUGUAGCUGGGCGGGCGCCCAAGGGGAGAGGGCGGGCGCCCUGCCCCUGGGCCCGCUCGGCCUCCCGUUCGUUCCAGUGGCUUCUAGAGUCUUCUAGAUGGUAGAAAAUUGCUGCACACGUUAAUAUCUCUAUGUAAACCCGACAUGUGGGCCUUUCCUCCAUAUUUCCUGAUAACCCCCUGCAGAAAUAGACAAACACCAAAACUCGUGGAAUUCUGUUAGAUAAAACCCUACGUCUAGGUGUUGGUUCCAUUUGGAUCCUUUUCUUUGUUUAUUUGAUGAUUAAAUUUGAUACUUAAAGACCGUCAAUAGGGUUAGGGUCAUAUUUAUAGCCCCCUAGGAAGCACCACAACCCUCGAAUCAAACCGACUUAAAUGUACGCUCAAGAUUACUCCUUAAAGGCGGUGGAGGUAGGAUUUGCGAGGUGGAACCUGAUUGAUCCACCUGCCGGCCGGCCACCCCUGACAUGUGGGGCGCCCGCCCCUGGCUCGCUGCCAGGGGGUCCCCACUUUGCAGGGUCGCCUCCUUGAGUCUUCUAGAAUAUUCCUGAGUUGACGUUUCAUGUAUUCUCUCUAUGUAAAUCUGACAUGUGGACCUCCUUUUAUUCUUAUUCUAAUAACCCCCUACAGAAAUAGAUAAUCACCAAAACUUUUGAUAUUCUGUUAGUGAUAACCCCUAUAGCUAGAUAAUAUUCUGAUGUAAGUCUAGCCUCAUGCUAUGUUGACGGUUAAAAAUAGUAUUUAUCUACCAUCAACUGAAGGUGACUUGUCUUAUGGUCAUCCAAGAAACAAAAUAGUGUUGCACUAUCAACCGCUGAAGCAAAGUACAUUGCCACCGGUUGUUGUUGUGCACAAGUCCUAUGGGUGAAGGCCAUAUUGAAGGACUUCAGAGUCAAUUUCAAAGAAGUUCCAUUGUUAUGUAACAAUGAAAGUGUCGUAAAGCUCACUAACAAUGUGGUUCAACAUUCAAGAACAAAGUAUAUAGAUGUCUGUCAUCACUUCAUAAGAGACCAUCAACAAAAAUGGGACAUGUGUAUUGAGAGUGUGGGCACCAAUGAUCAACUUGCCAUUAUAUUCACAAAGUCACUUGAUGAGCAGAGAUUUUGCAAGCUAAGGAAUGAAUUGAACAUACUUGACUUCUCAAAUAUGUGUUGAUGCACCCCACUUAUAUGACAUGUCUCUCCUAUGAGCAACACAAGGUAAACUUGGUUGACAUGUCAUUCAUCAUAUGCUAAGGACUUAUAUAGUGCAUCUAGUCAUUACUAUCAUGUCUUAGGCUUAUUCAUGAAAAUCAAAUGAGUUUGAUUCUGUAUGGUACCACUAUUGCUUAAAUGUUUGAAAUGAUCUUGUGGUAGCAUAUGACAUGUUUGUAGGCUUCUGAACCUAGUGCUUGAUCUAUAAUAUGAGCUAUAAGUGUUUGACUCAACAUGGUACAAGAUUUCCCUUAUUUUGAGGUGUGAAAAAGCUUAUCCUUAGACAAAACUAUGUUAAAUAUCUCAGGCAAGUAAUCUAGAUUGAACCAAUUUGGGAAAAUGAUCAUACUUCACAUGGUUUCACACUAACCUAUCUAAAAUUUGUGCUCAACUUUUGUGGUCAUUAAUGACAAAGGGGUGAGAAAAUUCCAAAGAUAUCAAAAAGGGAACGGAAGAAAGUACAAAGAUAGGGGUUAACAUGAACAAUUUAAAAAGAGGUAUCAAUUAAAAUUUUGAAGCACACAAGUAGGAGGAGCAAGCUCAUAAACUUGUCACUUCUCAAAUAUGUGUUGAUGCACCUCCACUUAUAUGACAUGCCUCUCCCUCGAGCAAAGCAAGGUAAAAUUGGUUGACAUGUCAUACAUUCUAUGCUAAGGACUUGUUUAGUGCAUGUAGUCAUUCGUUACAUGUCUUAGGCUCAUUCAUGAAAAUGAAAUGAAUUUGAUGCUUGUACCACUAUUGCUUCCAUGCUUGAAUUGAUCUAGUGGUAGCAUAUGACAUAUUUGUGGGCUUCCAACCCUAGUAUUUAAUCUAUAAUAUGAGCAAUUAGUGUUUAACACAACAUGGUACAAAAUAACCAUUGUUUGUGGUGUCAAAAAGCUUGUCCUUGGAUCAAACCAAGUUAAAUAUCUUAGGCAAUUAGUCUAGAUUGAACCAAUUAGGAAAAUGAUCUCAGUUCACAUGGUUUCACACUAACCUAUCUAAAAUUUGAGCAUACCUUUUCUAGUCUUUGAUGACAAAGGGGGGGAGAAAUUUCCCAAAGAUUUGCUAAAGGGGGAGAAGUGCAAAGAUAGGGGAGUAACAUGACAAAGGAAGGGGGUCAAUUAAAACUUGGAAGCACACGAGUAGGGGGAGCAAGCUCAUAAACUUGUAUGUUGCAUUUGAAUGUGCAUCACAUAUGCUUGCUUGCAUUUGAAUGUGCAUCACAUAUGUAUGCUAGUUGUAGGUUUGAUUGAUGUAAUGAAGAACUAGGAUGCAUAGGAAGAGUAACUAGACUUGUGUUUUCACAAGUGGUAGUAGAGACUUAUUUAUAAUGAUUGAUCUCAAUGGGUGUCCUAUUUUUGUGAAUGUCUAGUUACAAAUGGUGCUAAGGAUGGUGUAUAUCGGCAAAUCCAGUUGGUAUCACGCUUCAGAGGUCCAUUCCUUACACAUUAGCAUCAUUUGGUAGAAAUUGACUCCUAUCUUUCCUAUUUAAGCAAGUGUAAGCUUUCAAACCCAAAAACUCUUAGCACAUAUGUAGGGAGAGCAAUUGCUACCAAUUUGGGUUUAUAAUUGUUCAUAACCUUUGCACAUCAUAAAAUUGUUGGGCAAGCAACAUGAAUCCAAAAAAAUUUAUUGAAAAUCUUUGUAAAUGGGUUGUCAUCAAUGACCAAAAAGGGGGAGAUUGAAAGCCCUAGAUUAGUUUUGGAUAAUCGAUAAAACCCAAAGUACUAACCUCUAUGCUAAGUGUGUGAAGAUUAGAUGAGGUUGGUACAUACCAAGUGAUGGAGCAAGAGAUGAUUAUAGUGAUGAUGGUGAUGACCACAAGGAGAUCAAGUGCUCAACGUGGAAAAGAAGAAAAAGAAACACUAAAUCCUAUGGAGAUCAAGGCAAAGGUAUUGCUUAGGGCUUUGGUUUUGGUGAUCGGGACACCAUAGAGGGUGUGAUCACAUUUUAGGAUAGAUAUGCAUUCUAUAAAGAGGGGAAUUCUUUGGAUAAACGGUCUAUCAAGUGGCACUAGGUGACAUUGUUCAUGUGCAUGCAUUUAGAACCUAGUAUGCUAACUUAAUCCUUGAAAAUGUUUGUGAAAAUAUGCUAACACACGUGCACAAUGUGAAACACUUCGUGGUUAGCAUGUUUGUGUUACCUUUGCUUUUGUAGCAUCAUUAACUAGUGACUAUGGUACGGAUGGGGAUGUAGAAGAGUGGUCAAGCUAAGCUUCUUGGCAAAAUAUAAACUCACUAAAUUAUUGCAGCUACUUCCAUCAAUGAUGACAAGUGCUCACCAGUUGCUAAUAACAAAGAAAAUCUAGAACAAAAAUUAUGUUGUUGUAGCGUCUCAGGUUGUUAAAGUUGUGUAGUGAGCACUCGCUGCACAACGAUGCUCAUGUAGGCUUCUGUGCCCAUGGUAUCAAAGAUACAAAUGUUGGUGUAGUGAGAUCAUAUAUGCAUAGAUUAUUGUAACUGUUGUUUGAUUUCUUCCAGCUUACAUAUGUAAAGUCCCUUUUAUUUUUUUUCAUUUGUUUUAACAAGUGAUGUUUGUUUCCGAUGUGUUUUCUAUAGGACAUGGAUAAAUUUCAGCAACCUAAGUUAUUCACUCAUGCUCAUAACACCAAGAAAACCUAGCUGCCAGCACACACUAUUAGUUUGGUGACUAAGUUCACUUUUAAGAUUGGGAUGUGAGAUUUCCAUUCCAUUUCUUUAUUUUAUCUAAGAUAACUUGUGACUAAGGUCCCUCAGAGAACUAUUAGUUUGGUGUUCGUGAUGAAUGUAAUAAAUAUAUUGGUGAAUGACUUGUUAACCUAUUGAUUUGGUCAUGAAUGUAAUAUAUUGUUGGAUCUACAUGUGUUAAUAUGGAUUGUUUGAUGUUUGGGGUUGGGUACGUGAUGGUAUGUAUUGAGCCAAAUCAAUGAGUCAUCCUAUGUGACAAGGCAUAAGAACCUAUGACAUAAAAGUAGAAGUCAUAAACGCUUGUGACGUCUAAAACGAAUAUCACAAUAUUAUGACAUGAACACUUAAAUGUCACAAGUUGUCAUGAAAGACACAUAUCUUUUGAUAUUUCAGUUUUCGUCAACUUGGUGUCAUAAAUGGGGAUCUCUGACUUAUUUUUCAUGUAUUAUGACAUAUAUUGAAUGUCAAAAGAUAUCACAUUUCUUAUAGUGGGAGAGCACUAGCUUGCACGUGCGUGUUCGAGGCCCUGCCUCUGGAACCCUAGAGGGGGAGGGAUCGUGACUCAUGAGAGCACAGAGGAGUGGAUAAGCUAUCCUCGAAACUAGCUGUUCUUCCUUCUUGCUCUGCAUUCCUCUCCCAAAAUUCUCCUUGUCUUAUCUACCAGACUCUUAAUAGUCAACUAGUCUAAGAAAUAUUCAAUCCAUCCUAAAUUAUAAGGCAUUUGACUUUUCUACACUAAAUUUGACCACUCGUCUUGUUAAAAUUUUUUUGCAAAAUAUCAUUUAUUUUGUCGUGGCUUGGUUUAUUAAUAAAACUUCUUCGAAUAACUUAAAUUUAAUUAUAUUUGAAUAACACAAGUGGUCAAAUUUGGGGUUGAAAAGUCACUAGUACAAAAAAGCUCUAUGCAGACGGUUGAAUUUUUUUACAAGUGGUUUCAAUUAAAAAAUGCCUGUGAAAAGAAAUCGGCGGGCCCGACUAAAAAACCGCUAGCGAAAAUAAAUUUUUAUUGGCAGUUUUUCUAACAAAACCGCCAGUAAAAAUGGUGCAUUUGUACAGGCGGUUUCUCUAACAAAACCGUCUAUAGAAAUCAUGUAUUUCUACAGGCAGGUUUCCUAAGGAAAAAUCAUAUUUCAACAUGCGAUUUUUAAGAAAACUGGCUGCAGAAAUAAUUUCAAAUUAAAAUUUUUAAGCUUUUCAAAUGACCUCGAUUGAAAAAACUGCAAAAAUGAAAUUUGCAGAUCUCAAAAAGUUAUGAAACUUUUAGUUGAUAAUUUUUCAUUUGAAAUCAUCUUGUUGUUAAAAGCAACAUUUGAAUUUCUUAAAUUUAAAAUUCAAAUUUUAUAAAAGACCUACGAUGGAGAAAGUACCAAUAUAAAAGAUGCUCGGUGUAAGAUAAUAUGAAAUUUUAUAGUUGAUAACUUUUCCAUUUGAAUCUAUUUAGGGCCUCAAAUAAUCAAUGUAUGCUCGGUGUAAGAUAAUAUGUGGAGAGUGAUAAGUAGAGUGGUAGAUGAGGCUACACGUGAGGGGGAGGUCUCACGUUCAAAUCCCACCGAUCGUGUAGUGUGUGCUUUUAUGUAAAAAAAAUGCUCGGGCGAUUAGCUAGUGAGCUUUCCCAAGGAUUAAUUUUUUCUUAUUUUUAAAAGCUGAAUUCGUUGGCCCCUAAUACUCGUUGGCCCCUAAUACUGGCCGUUACGAAAAACGUUUAUAGAAAUAUGUUUAGAACCGCUUGUAUAGAGGUUCAUUCUACUAGUGAGUCAAACAUCUUGUAAUUUAGGAUAGAGAGAGUAGAUUUUCAAAUGCAGCGGUUGACCUGAUGGGUAAAUCGCUUUCAGAUGGAGAUGCGACUGCUAGCUAUACCGCUUGUGAAAAAUCAAUUGUGAAUCCCACCAGCCGUGUUGUGUGUGCUUUUAUUAAAAAAAAAUGCUCGGGCGAUUAGCCAGUGGGCUUUUCAUAGGAUUAUUAUUUUUUCUUAUUUUUAAAAAUCGAAUUCGUUGGUUCCUAAUACUGGCAGUUACGAAAAACGAUCGUAGAAAUAUGUUUAGAACCGCUUGUAUAGAGGUUCAUUCUACUAUAGUGAGUCAAAUAUCUUGUAAUAUGGGAUAGAUGGAGUAGAUUUUCAAAUGUAGCUUAUAUGGUUCGGUUGACCUGAUCGGUAAAUCGCUUUCAGAUGGAGAUGCGACUGCUAGCUAUACCGCUUGUGAAAAAUCAAUCCUGAUCAUAUCUAAAAAUAGAAAUCGUUACCGUACUGAAUCAGGUUUUGGUGAUCCUGCACAACUAUUCUCGACCAGCUACCAUUAAUUAAGGCCACUAAUGCCAGCCAAACUGAUGAGAAACUAUAAAAAUGGUAACCUCCGUCACACCGUCGUGGCAAUCAUUCACUCAGCCAUGUGGUGACGCGUCGCCGGCCGUGUCGUCUGCCUGCCUGGUAGGAAUACGAUCGAUCACUUUGUUGCGUGCAUGCGUGGCAUGAUUCUUCCUUCAUGUGGGCCUCCACAGAAGCCCACCUGCCCACUUGUCUACACUACCGGUCUCCUUCUCCAUAGUCCAUGCAUCCCACCUUCUCUUCUCCUUCCGGCAUCUCCAUUUAAACCGGAGCUCACAGCAAUGCGCAUGAGCGGUGUGGUUAGCUGUGAGGCGCUCGAGUUGCGGGGAGAAAAACAAAAGCUGUCAAGACUUUGCCUGCAGUUUUUUCCUUGCAAGGUUGCAAAUUUCAUCAAUGGCGAUGCCGGUGGAGAUGGCGGUGUGCAUCGCGCACAACGUAUUCUUGCUACUGGACAGCUGGAUCUGGACGUGCGUCCUCGCUGCCGACGAGGCCGCGCGCCUCCUCCGAUCGGCCACACGCUGAUCCUCUAGCUGACUCACGGUGAGGCUGUACCUGCUGUUAUUUGUCAUCCUUGUGACUAAUAACGGCUCGCUUCUUCGAAGUCACGAGGGGUGUUGUUUUAUUUGCCUAAUUCUCGGCAAUCAGGAUAGUUGUCACUUUUUUAGCUUUCCAUUCGGUUACUUUUGUUGCUUUGCCUUUCUGCAUUUAAAUUUUUUGAAUUAAUUAUCCAAAUUUAGGGUCCUAUUUGGAUCAAAGGAAAUUUUAACAAACAAAUUCCAAUGAAGAGAAUAGUUCCUCCAUUCUAAUGAUAAUUUGAUUUAACUUUUUAGAUACAUAUUUUUUUGGCUUUGAGAUACAUGAUUUUAUUAUAUAUCUAGAUAUAGUGCAUAUGUAAUAAGUGCAUAACAAAAACUACAAAAAAGCCAAAACGUCUUAAAUUUUAGAAUGAAAAGGGAGUAUAUAUUUAGGCAUAGUCUAUAUCUAGAUGCAUAGUAAAAAUUAUAUAUUGAAAAAGACAGAAUGACAUGUAAUUUGAAAUGAGGGAGUACAUGAUAGUGCUUAGAAAGGAAAGUUCUUUUCCAAGAAAAGGAAAUCAUGAUAGUGUUUACAAUGGAGGAAAUUUGAUUUUUUUCCUAGAAGGAAAUCAGAGUAGCAUAGAACAUAGGAAAAUCCUCACUUCAACCUAAGAGAAAUAAAUUUUGUGCUCUCUCUUGCUAUGCUCUCAUGUUUUUGUAUUUUUUCCUCAAUUCCAAAUAACUCAAAUUAUCCAUUUCCAUGUUGUGAAAACCUAUAGUUUUUCACUAUUCACUCUAUCUAAUUUCUACCUAUUUUUCAUUCCUUUGUUUCUAACAGGUCCCCAGUGUCCACGUACAAAGCCAAAGAUAUCAUCUACUCCAGUGUUAACCGACACCUAUACCCGAACUAACCGUAUAAAGUUCGGUUAGUUGGAAGCAGGGACCGAAUUUAUGACCGAAAAGUUCGGUCUCGGUCUUGGUCAGUUUGGUUCGGUCUUCGGUCUUCGGGUAAUUAUGCCCAGAGUGACUCCUACAUGACCUCCUCAACCAGUCCCCUUAGUACAGGUGAUGUACUUUUCACAAACUUUUGGUUCCAUCUGGGCCUUGUUUAGUUCCCCAAAAAUUUUGCAAAAUUUUUCAGAUUCUCCGUCACAUCGAAUCUUUAGACGUAUGCAUGGAGUAUUAAAUAUAGAUAAAAAUAAAAAUUAAUUACACAGUUUGAUCGGAAUUGACGAGACGAAUCUUUUAAGCCUAGUUAGUACAUAAUUGGACAAUAUUUGUCAAAUACAAACGAAAGUGCUAAUAUUCCUAUUUUGCAAAAAAUUUUGGAAGUAAACAAGGCCCUAGAGUUCCAAUGAAUAAAAGUCCACUGUACAUUUUGGAUGGCCGUACAGCCGCCUCUGCGUUGUUCAUCAAUGAUUUGCAUUAUGCUGUUCUGAACAUAACUUAUUGUGGUCACCUAUACAGACAAGUGGCUCUACGUACAUAGAGAUCACAUGUGCUUGUCUUUGGUUAGGUAGCACGUUCCAUUUCAUAGUCCAUAUUAAUUUUUCUAUUUAAUUUGAUGAUGUGGCAUGUUGGUUGAGAAGUUAAACAAUAUUUUCGCUCAAUUAAUAGGUGUUCAGAUAAUAGGCAACGUUAGUACGAAUGUCAAGCAAAUUAACCUCAUAUGGUAAAGUAAAAUAAAAAGAUAUUGUAGAAUAUAUAGUAUAUCUGGUAAUAUUGAUUCUUUAAAAAAAAAUUUCCUCUCUCCCAUUUCAGGGCUCCUCAAGAAUGUGUAUAGCAACGAUAGUUAGGUAUUGAAGUCGUCCAUGUGAUAUAAUCUUUUGUUUUUUCCAUUACAAGUAAUGAUUCUGAAACAGCUACUUAUUAUGUCCUUUCUUUUAAUUCAUCCUCUUAGAGAAUGAUAUUGCUGUGAAGUAUAUAUGUGACAGAAAGCAGCGGUGUUAAUUGCAAAUGAAUUCUUAUUAAUGCAUCAGUAUACUAGUUUCUUUGCAUUUCAUGGUGAACCUCAAGGAACAAGUAAUGCCCCCUUGAAUCUACAUUUUUUCUGUUCAGAUUUUUCUUUUGUACAGUAGUAGUUAUAAUAUAAGGUAGAGCCUUCGUUACUCUGUCAUUGUCGGAACCAUACCAAUUUGUGACUAGAGAAACAAAGUAAUCUGUCGCUACAGAUUAGCUGUUGUUGCGUUUGCCAAAGUUUUGAUUUGAAAUCAGGCAAAGACAACAGAAGUGAAGGACCUUACCCUAACAUGCAUAUAUAACCACCACCAAAACGGAAGAGACGACGAAGAUACAGAAAGGACAAAAGACAAUAUCAACUGCCUACAAGAUAUGGCAACUGCUCCGGUACUCUCUUUUUUUAAAAAAAAAAAAUCUACACGAAUCUAAAAGCACAUAAUUAAAAAAAUUAAUUAUUUAAUUAUCUUGGAUCUGGGUCCUGCCUGGCUCAGCCCGUCCAAGCAAAGACCUAGGUCCAGCCCAUCUGCUUAGCUCCAUUAGUGCCUCCGAGAUGGCGUCGCGAGCAGCCAUCGCUACCCAUCCCGAUCUUCCGUCGCACGACCAGUCCACAUGAUGGCUGGCGGCGUCGACCUGGCCGCACUCCACAAGCAGGUUGCCCUCGCAUCCUCCGCUGCCAUCUCCGCCUCCGACCUCGACCUCGCAUUCCAACUCUAGGUCACCGAGGCCAUCCAAGCCUCUCUCCGCUCACUCAAUGUCGCCGCCCCAUCCAAGUAAUUGUGAUUUUUAUAGACGGGGUGAGUCCCCGGAACAAAGUAAUCUUUCGUAUCCAUGGAAAAUUGUUUUCUUUACGUAUUCCGGCGGCUACUGCUGGCCUGGUUGGGUGACAGACCUUGUUCACGAGAAGCAGCACAGGCUAAGACUAAAGGUUCACCGUACUAGAUCAAUUAUAGGUACAAGUUAACUCCAUAAUGAAUUUUUAGUCAUGCCAAAAACCAAAUAAGUAGAAGAACGAAAGCCUGAUAUGUCCCUAGAGGUUAGUUAAACAUAAGAGGAACUGAAUAAUUAUUACCGUCAGUUUGAACUUUGAAGCCAGCAAUGAAUUAACUAAACGAGAACUUACUGUUGAUGACUUUUUGGUUUGGUAACAUAUCUCCUCUUAGUUAAAUUACUCAUAUUCUAUUGAUUACUUUCAGGUUUGGGAUACAACAAAUAUCUGAUGGAGCAGUAUGCAGAUGGACUGUUAUUCUAUCGACUCAUGCUUGUUGCAAGCUUUGCUCAAACUCUGGGUGUAACUUGUGAUUUGUUUGUGUUUCAUGAUCUGUAACAAUUAAAACUGUUAGUUUCGGCUGAUCCUGAUAUUCAGUACCAUGGAUCUUCGCCUCAGUAGAUAGGAGUAACAUCUUUUUUCUCGUAUCAGAUGUACAGUGACGAGUUGGUAUGGGAAAAGUUCAUUUGUGUUCAGUUUGGAGUAAAAGUUAUAUCUAUUGCUCUCAUGAUUGCUUGAGUGGAUGCCUCACUGUUGCACGAAAAAUACAAUUCACAAAAUGAAACCUGUGUAAGUUCGCAGUACGAGAACAAAAUUUACAAACUCAAACUCUGAAUAUUCAGUGAACUAUAAGCUAAAAUCCUGAAAUCUGAAACAAACUGUGCAACGGUGGAAGACACAAACACUAGUACACACAUGCUAUAAACCGGCGAGGGCAAAAAGUUUGCACAGGUUUAAUUAUAAUGCGCCUGUGUUGUAAAUUGGUAUGGCUAGAAUUAAAAACUGCCUGUAUAAAAGGUUCAGUACAAGCGGUUAUUGUAAGAAAACCGUUGUGUAAAUGGUUUAUUUAAACAGACGGUUCAGUUAUGUGAACCGCCUCUGUAAAUAUACUAACAUAGACGGUUCACAUAACUGAAGCGCCUGUGUAAAUGAACCAAUUAUACAGGCGGUUCUGUUACGUGAACCGUCUGUAUUAAUAGAUUUAUACAAGCGGUUCCAUAAACAAACCGCAUGUGCUUUAUCUUCCUAUAAAUACCACCAGCCCGGGCCCUUCUUUGACCUUGGGCGGAACUGUAGCUCGCAGCCACCUUCCAUUAUAGCCCAUCUUAGAGGUCCAGAUUUUCCAAAAUACAAGGGGGAGGUUUUGAUCUUCAUUUCUUGGAAGGAGGUGGCUAAGAAAGGUUAGUUGAUGCCUCUAAUGCCUAUUUUUGUGCCCUCUCGCUCAAUUUGAGCUACUUUUUAGAUCUAGGGUUUCAGCCUGAGAGGGAGAGAGUAGAAUAGCUAUACAUGGACUAUAUUUGCUCAAAUGAGGUUGCUUAAGAUGGUUAGAUGAUGUCUCUCCUCUCAUCUUUUUAUGUUUCCUUCUCUAAUUAGUGAAUCCAAUAAAUAUAUAUGUAGUAGUUUACAUGAAUGGUGUUUCCAUGCUUGGGAAGAGAGAGAACGAUAAGUUUUCUUUUUAGUUAUUUAAAUUAUAUUGUUUAGGAUGUUAUUUUUUAUGUAAAUUUGAUUUAAUUAUGAAAUAAGCAUUUUCAUGUAUGAGGUUGCUUAAGAUGUUGCCUCUCCUCUCAUCAUUUCCAUGUUUCCUUGUCAAAUUUAUUUUAGUGAUAUAAAGAUAUAUAUUUAGUUUCUAUCAAUAGUGUCUUUGUACCUUGUCAAUUUGAUUUAGUUGUUAGGUGUUCUUUUUUGAAUUAUUACUUAGGGUUUUGUCUUUAUUUUUUAUACUUGUUUUAUUUUUUCAAUUUGAUUUUAUUGUUAGGUGUUCUUUAUUUUUGAUAACAAAUAUUCCUAGACAAUAUUUCAAUUAAUUUACUAAUUUUUCAAACGCUCAUGAUGGAGAGGUCCUUAUGGAUGUAUAACUUAUCAAGACUAGAUCUAUCAUAUAUACCCGAGGUGUAUAGGUUUGUUGAUGCCGCUAAGAACCAUGCUUUGAGAACAAAGAUGAAGCACAUAUAUUGUCCAUGCUACGACUGUUGAAAUAUUGUUCUAUUUGAAGAUUUUGAUGUAAUCAUUUUUCAUCUAGUCUGCCAAGGAAUGAAGGAUUACUUGAUUUGGACAAAGCUUGGAGAGGGUAGCUCGGCGCCUUAUACAGUUGGGGACCCAGCAAACGUCGACACCGAUGGACCAGGCAUGCCUGCUGAUCAGUUUUUCCACGACACACCCUACAGUGAACAUGUUGUGCCAAAUGUUACCGCUGGUGGAUUCGCUGGGGGAAAUGGUGGUGUAAGAACUCAUGUCUUACCAAAUGAUACGGCAGCGGACGAUGCAGAAUUCUUGGAGGCAAUGUUGCGUCGUCAUACUAAACCAUCAAUGUUAUUAAUGAAAGGGAUGGAGGCCUUGAAGAAGGCAGCAGAAGAGCCUUUGUAUGAUGAGUCUAAGGGUUGUACCAAAGAGUUCACAACGUUGCGAGCUGUGCUAAAACUGUUGAUGGCAAAAGCCAUGUAUGGUUUGUUUGAUGCUGGAUUUGAUGCGUUUGUUGACGGUCCUUAAGUAUCAAAUUUAACUAUCAAAUAAACAAAGAAAAGGAUCCAAAUGAAAUCAACAUCUAGACUUAGGGUUUUAUCUGACAGAAUUCCACGAGUUUUGGUGUUUGUCUAUUUCUGCAGGGUGUUAUCAGAAAAUAAGGAAGAAAGGCCCACACGUCGGGAUUACAUAGAGAUAUUAACGUGCUGCGCAAUUAUCUUACAUCUAGAAGACUCCAGAAGCCACGAGACCGAAGCGGAGGCAAAACGGGGCCAGAGACAGGGCGCCCGCCCUGUCCUACUGGGCGCCCGCCCACUUCCUGUGGCCAAUCACGCUCAAUCUCGCGGAUUAUGCUCCACCGACCUAAAGGAUCAAGAAUAACCGUUCAAUCUAUGUCGGUUUGAUCAGACGGCCCAGGUUCACUUGAGGGGACUAUAAAACCAGACCCCCUGGCCCCUGGAGGAGGCACCCCUUGAUCAUUAUUCAUUAUUCAUAGACAGAGCAAAAGCUAGGGUUUAGAGAUGAGAGCUCUCCUCUCUUCUCUAAACUAGAGUAGAUCUAGCUAGUAGCGAGAUGGAGAGCGAAGGAGGAUUAGAGGAGAGGCCGGCCUGUCGGUUCUUCCUCCGGUUGUACUUCUUCAUGAUCGAGCUCUAAUCAAGCUUGCUCAUGGGAUGACUCUGGUAAUCUACUUCUAGUUCAUUAUGCAAUUACUAAUCAUGUAUGUUCUGGUUCACAACUCUUUUGAGUACUUCUAAUCUAUAGGACCCUAUAGGUUAGAGUUGUAGUAUAGGUGUAAGCGUGGUGCUUAGACCUAGAUUACUUGUGGAUAUCCCCUGACUAGCUGGAUCGUGUGGUAGGCCGCGUAGGUGACAGUUACGUUGGUCCCCUGUAGUCCACCUCUCGUUAGCAGGACGGGUAGGGUUUAUCGGCCUAUGGAUAAGCAUCCUUUGUGGUGUACUCUUAUCACGUGGUUCAUCCCAGACAUAGACAUACCCCUUUGAAGUAGAGAAACCAUAGUUAUCCUCUCUAUUCUGCUACCAUCGCCCAUAUACUAGAAUUGCUCUAUUCUCUAUUCCCAUAUUAUCACUCACUGUUAUCUUACCUUUAAUAUUGUUCUUAUUCGAUUCUAUCAUCUUUCCUAUUUACACCUAUCUAUCUAUCUUGGUUAAGUUAGAGCAUAGUUGGUUCUCCCGUUUCCCUGUGGAUACGAUAAAACCUUUAACCGGGUAAAAGCUUCAACUGUAUCCGUGCGCUUGCGGAUUAUCUGUGUGCGUAUAAAUACCAUAGUACACUCUAGUGCCAUGCUGGGGAUGACAACCUAGUAUUCAAGUGGUGUUAGCAAGUGUCAACAAGCAUUUUUGGCGCCGUUGCCGGGGAAACGGUUGCUGAGUUGACUACGAACUAGCUUAAUCAUUUUCUAAAAACAAAUAAAGAAAAAUAUUUUCCUUUUAUCCUUUGCCUCAUCUCUGCUAUUCUUUCUUCUUAUCUAAUCCUUGAUCUCUAGUCUAUUAUGAAUUCAAACAUGUCUAUCUAUGAAUUUCAUAGACCUAUGGGCACACAUCUCGAACCACCAAAAUCUUCAAAGCCUAUCAUAGCAUCUAGUUUUGAGAUAGACCCCGAAUACAUAGAAUUUAUUCAAAAACAACCUUUCUUAGGAGAAGGUGAGGAAAACCCAUACACACACCUAAGAGAGUUUUAUCGAGUCUGUGACCUCCUUCGCACAGAAGGCAUGUCCGAUGAGACCCUUAAAUGGAAGCUCUUUCCGUUCUCUUUAACGGGAAAAGCUAGACAUUGGUAUAAACUCAAAGUAGGGAGUGUUCAUGGAGAUUGGAAGGAGUUAUAUAGUAGUUUUCUUUCUAAAUAUUUUCCAAUCUCCAAAGUGGUGGAACUUCGGCGUGAGAUUCUUUCUUUUAGACAACUAGAAGAAGAAUCUCUUGGCAAAUCAUGGGACCGCUUUAUUAACCUUACUCUCACUGGCCCAAAACUUUCUAUUCCAGAAGAAGUUCUUCUAAUUCACUUUUUUGAGGGCCUUAGUAAGGAAGAUAAGCAAACCCUUCAUGCGGCCUCUGGAGGAUCUUUCCACCACCUAUCCACUAGUGAAGCUUGGAAUUUGAUUGAUUUAAUGAGCGGAAAGUCUCCUAGCUUUUAUAUCCCUGAGAAAGAGAAAGAACCAGUUCCUAGACAAGAAGAAGAAGUUUCGAUAGCCAGAUCACAACCACUUCAAUCCCAAACUUUAGCUAUCGAUCCUAAACCAUCAAUACCCCAAAAUUCUCCAAGGGAGGAAGGAAUUCCGACCUUAAAUCUUUUAGAUGCUGAUGGUUUAGACUUCUGGUUCUAUAAGAGACCUUCAAGCAGGGAUAAUUCAAAUCAUUGCAAUAAUGUUUCUCUUAGAGAAUGUCCUCAUUCCUGUUAUGAAGAAGUCGAGGAUGACAUAUCAAGUGAAGGAGAGCUAAGCCAUAUUGAAAAUUCUAACACCUCCCUUUUCUUGAUCACAAGUUCUAAAUGGCUAGAAUGUGUAGAAUGGAUGGAUAAGCAAGAAGCCUUAAUAGGUUCUGACUUUGGCUCAAUUUCAAAUGGUGAGUUCUUGACUCCCUUUGAAGAUGAGAUUCAUCCAACUACAAAAGAGGACAUAGGUGAGACCAAUCCAGGAGAAACUCCGAACAUUCAGAUUAGAGACGAAGAUAACAUUAAUGAGCAUGGAAUUUAUUUCAUAGCCACUUCGUUUACUCCAUGCUCAUAUGCAACAUCUUCCCAAUCUAUUGGUCUCUCCGACAUCACCACACUUGAGAUCUCCAACCCCCUCUUCCUUUCUAUUUAUAAAAACUUUAAAAGGGCGGUUGUCGAUGCAUAUGUCUAUAAUAAAUAUUGCAGAUCUCGUUGAGUUGAUCUAGAUAUAGGUUGGCGUCGGAGGGGAAACCACUUCGCCAACAUAAACUGAUGGUUUCCCAAGGACAAGCUUAGUGUCUUAAAAUAAGCAUUGAUCAGAUCGUAACAUGAGCCUUUAUUUAUUUGCAACAUUACCUUGUGUACUGAGCAUAUAAGGAUAAUUGUAAAAAAAAUAUUCCUUCGGGUAUUCUUGUCACUAACCUUUCUAAGAUUGGAGCAAGAAGAUCGGAUGAAUGACAAGCACAAGGUAUGUCCAACCAAUCAUCAUACAACAUUGAAUUAAAUUCAUCCAAACUUGAAUUUUGCAAAAUUCAAGCUUGGGGGAGUACUUUACAUAAAAACAUCCUUUGCCAUGUUGCUAUGCUGGUUGUCCAUACCUUUGAGACAUGCUCAAUUUGUUAAAUACUAAUCACACUACUUCAUCUCCACUUGAGUAGAUCUCUAUAAAUGUUGUCAUGCUACCUUUGUCUAUUUACUAGCAAGUGUUCGUUUGGAAGUACUCGCCAUACUUCCAUUGGCAUUUAAAUUAAGCAUGGUGCUUAGGUUAAAUAGCCUUCCUUAAUCUGAUUAGACAUGGAGUCUAGUUUGGUUAUUGAACUAAAAAAAACUACUUGAGUAGAUAUUGGUAUAUUUUGUCGGACUAACCCCUGCAGAAAAACUUUCAAUAUCAAUUUGGGAAGUCCUGAGAUAAACUCACAUCAGAGACGAAGAGAGUGACACAUGAAGUUUAACAAUUAGCACAAGAAGGACAUAGCUCAUUCAUCAUAGAGAGAUGAUCCAUGGAGGGUGCCACAGACACGAUGCACAACCGCUAAGAAAGGAAAGCUUCCACAAGAUGAUACUGUACCAUCACUCUUCAAGAAAGGUAACAUCUUAAGGUACUUGACUAUCACUUUUAUAAGCUUCUCCUUGGUUCUGGCGUUCAUAUAAAUAAAAGAGACAAACAUGUAUGAUUUACAACUCUAGAUUAACCAACCCAACUGAUCAAACAUGUUUAGUCCUUUAAUCCUUGUUCUUAGUACUACCUCCAUGAUCCCACACUCCUAAUCAUAUGAGCUAAAAUGUUACACAUUCAAUCAUUGAGAGAUAUAAAGAAAAAGACAUAUACAUAGAUAGAUUAUCUUCCCAUAAGGUUGAGCGAUCUGAUCUGACAAAUGUUAUAAGUGCUACACUCAUGAACUUAUCAUCCAUCAACAUGUCUUGCUCACUAUGCUUAAGGUUAGAGAAGAACAAAUACACUUUUGGUUCUGUUGGUGUUUUCCACCAACAGGGCCCAUGCACUUGAUCUCUGCCUUGUCUCUAUGAGCAGGUACACUACGAGCACAAACACACUGAGCAAGAUACUGCUAACACCUCACUUCGAACUGCUGGGCAAACGAAGAACAUGGGUGACACCGUAUUAAAAGGUGCAGACGUCAAGGUCCGCACCUGAAUCAAAUGACGCACCUGAAGAAUGAACACGGUGAGAAGUCUUGUCAAGAAGACUUAAAACAUUGAACCCUCGCCGAAAGGUAAGAUUGGUAGUUAUCUAUAUUUAUCCUUUCUGCAUUCCCUUUUCCCUUUAAUUAUUUACUUUCCUUAAAUAGAUUAUUAGUUAAUCAUGCUAUCUUGAAAAGAAAAUAAAAAUGUUAAAAAAUACUAAGCCCCAUGUGAGUUACGAGUGGCAUAAAACCCAUAAGUACCUUCACUGUGGUGGCAUAAAAAUAAAAUAAAUAUUUCUUUUCUACUUUAUAAAAUAAAAAUAUAAAAACAGGGAAUAAUAUUUAUUGAGGAAGCUCAACGUGAUGAAGGCUAGAUAUUUAUGCUAACACUUAAUUAGUUCCACAAGCUUUGUUGUCUAUUUGAGCUCCACAGAAUUUAAGAAUCAAGAAGACUAGCAGACGGAGGACAUUCUAAUCGCUGUCAGAAUGCUGCUGACUUUCAAAUACACCUCUGCCACCUGCUAGCUACAUCAAGAGAAAUUACGCCAAAAUUCAGCUUGGGGGAGAGCACCCCUAUUUAUCUCGCUAAGUAUUUCUACCUAUCUUUAUACUUAUAUUAUAUUAGAAUAUUAAAAUACAUAAACUAUGAAAAACCAAAUAAAGAUUUUAUGCUUAUAUAUAUAUAUAUAUUUUCUUAGUUUGCUAAAUAAAUAAAUAAAGUUUGCUAUGAAACUUAAUAUUAAAACUCUAGCAUGGAUAUGAUGAAUAGUUGCUCUGCCUAAAUUGCAAAUUUAAAGUUCUCUCUCAAGUUUAGACAUAACUGUUAUAAUUUAAAGCUCGCUCUAGAUCUAAACUUGUGGGAUAAAAACUUGAUCUGAAAUCUAAGUUGUUAACGGAUAUGAUAUGGGAAGGUUGAGCUGCUAUUUAUCUGUUCCUAGAGAUGCUAGAAUUCUGGAGAAUUUUAUCUUUGAAAAAUCUUUAAAAUAUUGCAUGAUGAGUUCCUGUAUGAUGAGAGUUUAAAUUCCUACCACAGCCAUAUAUACAUGCUCGCUAGACUUUGAGCCACACAUUUAUUAUUUACUACUUAUGAGCAUUGAGUGUGGUCAAGCUGUGUAGACCCUUAGGAGCUUGUCAUGUGGUUAAAUCAAGAUUCACUUGCACGUUCACUCAAAUAUGCUACUUCUACUCCGGAAGUACCAUCCACAUAUAUCCAUCCAUUUCCAUCUCCAGUUUCACCCAAAAUCAUUCUACUCCUAAUCCGGGAGAGAAUAGCCAAAAACAUUUUCCUAUCCCUGUUAUUCUCUGUGAAAUAAAUACUUCAGUUAUUUUGGUUACUACCACUUGCUACAUUAUCUCAAGAGAUGAAUGCUCUGAAAAAAUAGAAGAAAAAAAAAGAAGAAAAAAAAAUAAAUAAACGAGGAAAUAAAAAGGGGCAAGUGCCCGGAACCUCGAAAGAAAAGAAAAAAAGUAAGACGAGAGGUAAAAAUGGACAAGUGUCCGACAGUAGAAUUAGGGGUACAAGAUACCCAUCUGAGAGAAAAGAAAAAGAAGAGCAUCUCAUUCUCCUCAUAAAGUUUCAAAAAGCAAGGAAGGUAUGUACCCCCUCAAAAGAGCAAAAGUAGAAUGAGACUUUCACCAUUGUUAUCACCAUCAUCACCAUACACCAUUCAUUCGCCACACAUGCACAUCUUGAUUUGGCUUAUUGAUUUGUUUCUUUGGAUCCAUGGUUUGACUACACAAUAAAUGUCUUGUAAGUAUGUAUACUUUAUCUCCCACUUAUAAGCUCCAGAUAUUAAAGCCUUAUUAGAGUAGGGUGAGAGAGAAGGCAAUGUCACUGUGCCUUAUACCACAAAUACCACAUAUCUUGAGAGAAGGCAUAUACCAUCACUGCCUUGGUAAGGAUCCAGAAAUACCACAAAAGAGAGAUUUAGAGAGUCAUACAAGGAAUCUCUGAUUUUUAUUUGAAAAUCUGCAAAAACUCCAGAGCUAUAGCUGAUCAAGAAUAAGAGACAUGACACUUGGCUAGACUGUUCUAUCUUUUAACUACUCAAGACAGAAGUGACGGUUACAAGUCCCAUGGUGAAAGGUAAAGUAAGUAAGUUUUAGUUCUUGACAGUUUACUCUAACUCAGAGAUGAGAACUUAUUUAAAAAGCAUGUGUACCGUCAAAUUUUUAAGAUAUUUGCAACAACUUCUGAUCCAUUGCUGAGUCUAUCCUUGCUCAGGGACGAGCAAGAGGUAAGCUUGGGGGAGUUUGUUGACGGUCCUUAAGUAUCAAAUUUAACUAUCAAAUAAACAAAGAAAAGGAUCCAAAUGAAAUCAACAUCUAGACUUAGGGUUUUAUCUGACAGAAUUCCACGAGUUUUGGUGUUUGUCUAUUUCUGCAGGGUGUUAUCAGGAAAUAAGGAAGAAAGGCCCACACGUCGGGAUUACAUAGAGAUAUUAACGUGCUGCGCAAUUAUCUUACAUCUAGAAGACUCCAGAAGCCACGAGACCGAAGCGGAGGCAAAACGGGGCCAGAGACAGGGCGCCCGCCCUGUCCUACUGGGCGCCCGCCCACCUCCUGUGGCCAAUCACGCUCAAUCUCGCGGAUUAUGCUCCACCGACCUAAAGGAUCAAGAAUAACCGUUCAAUCAAUGUCGGUUUGAUCUGACGGCCCAGGUUCACUUGAGGGGACUAUAAAACCAGACCCCCUGGCCCCCGGAGGAGGCACCCCUUGAUCAUUAUUCAUUAUUCAUAGACAGAGCAAAAUCUAGGGUUUAGAGAUGAGAGCUCUCCUCUCUUCUCUAAACUAGAGUAGAUCUAGAUAGU
rnacentral:lncRNA from 1 species